rnacentral:lncRNA from 1 species
CGGCGAGUCUGGCCACUUCUCCCGCGAGUGCCCCAACAAGGCCCACUAGGCGGCGCAGCUCGUCAGAUCUGAGUGCCCCGUUUCCUUUCGCUCCUUUACCUACCUCUUGAUUCUGCAGCAAGUCAUACCCUAUACCUAUCAGUACUAGUAUUAGUCGCCGUAGCGUUUCCCCCUGCUGCUCGAUGCGAGCUUGGUUUCAGAAGAAUUGCUGGUGGUGUGUUCGUUAAGAUCCAAGUUAUUUUGUUGUCUCUCUGUGAUGAGGACACAGAUCUAUCUAUGUGUUGGAUGGACUAAGUUAUCGAAGUCAAGUUUGGUGUCUUAAGAUUGAUCUAUGAUCUUGCAUGUCUAUUGUUUAUCUUGCAUAUCUGCCAGGCUUGAAAGUGUUGAUUCUGAUAUUCUAUUCUAGCUUAGUGGUGGAUUAUUUUGGAAUCCUGUUCUCCCAUUUCAAUGUGAUUCCAUUGGCGUUUUGAUAGUGGGUACGAUUCGCAAGUUUGAUGCUUUUCAACAGUUUCAUGGUUCAAAAUCUUUCUUAAAUAAGGUCCAUUCUUAUAUGUGCUUGUGCCACUGUAGACCUGCACUGCUUGUCUGACUGCUACUACUAGUUUCUUCUCGUGCCACUUGCUUGCAAAAUGUAACCUAGCUUAAUAUUUUUGCAUCCGUGUUAAGCAAGAUUCGAUGAUUCCUUGCCAUGAUGGAAGGCAAAUUCAAUCAGUUCUGCUGUCAAAUUCAUUAUAAGCUUAAUCUGAAUUCAGCAGUCUCUUAAGAAAGAAGGCACGUUAGCUUACUGAUUAAGCCUAACGCUCCGUUGCAGCUUAGUGGAGAGAGUGUGCUUUGUCUUGGAUGAACGGAAUGGAAUCAUGUCGCUUUAGACUUACGUGUGCGAAGAAUAACAGCCUAAAUUUAGAUCUCCUUAAACAUAUAUGACUGAACCCACGAACUAUGAUUACGAUGACUUAUUAUCUGCGGCUUUUUAGCAUAAAUUUAAUAGCUGUGAGCUUACGAUGACUUGUUAUCUGCGGCUUUUUAGCAUUUUUCAUAGGAAAUUCAAUAGCCACUCCCAAAUGAAACCAUGAUAUGAAUUAUGAAGUACACAUCUCAAUAUUCCAGAUCUCCUGCGUCCUUUGCAGGCAAUGAGCAGGGGGAGGGACCCUGCCCCUGCAGUCGUACUUGGUAGUCUUUUUAGUCCUAAAUGGCAGUUUGUCGGGUAAUCUCAUCGGGGAGGAGACUCCGGCGAGCCCUGUUCGUGGCCGCCAUAGCGUUUGCUGUCCUCGACUUCUUCGAUGCUGGCAACAACUUGGUCUGCCCCGUAUCUUACGAACCCAAUAACCUCCCUGUAUCCAGUUUGCUCCUGCUUUCUCUUCGUGUGUUGAUCUCCAUGGUGAGCUUACCGUCGGAACAAGGGGCGAUAGUGUAGGGAUGGAGGCAACCAAAUCCGUCUUCUCCCAAGUUCCCUUUGUUUCCCUUUAGCUCCAACAAAUUCCUUGUAGAAUUUGGUCAUAUUUAUUCCGUUUCUCUGGCGUUGUUGGUCUAGGUUUUCUCUCCAAUCUACCUUCUGGUCUCUGCUGGUUGGUAUGAAUUGAAGACUGCCUCGAAUUCUGUCCUUAUGGCUUCUGUUCCUGCUUAUGUUCCAUACGUUUUUACGGUCAAUUGGUUGCUAGGUCCAAUCAAUACUUGUUCAUGCCCUCUCCAACCUCUGACUUGGGGCCCCGCAUGGUGAUUCUUGGCUGUGGUGGCCAUUGUUUUAACCUGGUGGCGCUGUAGGAGCCACUCCGUGGUAGGUUUUAGGGCGCAUUUCUCAAGGUUGGAGCUUGGUCGUUGAAGAUUGUAGUAGGACAAGGUGGUGGUGUUUUUUCUUCUUUGAAACGGAGGCAAAAGAUUUGCGUUAUUCAUUAAUUAAACAGAAAAGAAUUGCUUAGUUAAUUACCGAAAAACUGGGCAAAAACCGUCACAAUACACUGAGCGGCACACAUAGUAUACCCCACGCCUCCUUUCAGAGGGCCUCGUCGAGCUAGUACACAUGCAUCAUCGUCAUCACUUCUCCCAAAACAGCGUCAUUGCCUUGCCAAAACGGCGUCACUGCCUUUCCUAAUCCCUGAGCAAGCGAUCCGACUUCACCGUAGACGAGCAUCAACCCAACCCACACCAUUGCUAAGUAAAUAAGCAAUUUUUCGACUAAUUUAAUCUAUAAGUAGAUGACUAGCAAGGCAUUGAAAGAAUUAACGACAUAUUGAUCUAAACAAGCACGUACUACGCAAAGAGUAGACAAAUCUACACAUGAUGCUAGUACUGCUAAUACGAAAAUAAUCAGGAAAGGGAUAAACGCGUUAUACCCUCCAGUAGGCCAUGCAGAAGCCGCCGCGGUGGUGGCGACAACAUCAGCGUUCCCGGCGGCCUUCUUGUCAGCCUCGGUCUUCUCGGCGGCGGCACGUUCGACGUUGGUGGACAUGGUGAUGACGGAGACGACACAGACGUAGUGGAUCGGAGGCGAGCAGUCGCGUAGUCGCUUCCCAAAAACCUAUUCGCUUCUCUCCCGUACAGGAACCGGAGAGAUGGUGUUUCGGAGACCUGCUCUCCCGUCGACCGUGUACGCGACGAACAGGAUGGAGUCACCGGUGGCAACAACAGCAAAGGAACGACGGUGGGUGGUUCGCGUGGAGCAGAUGUGAUCUGAUCGUGGCGGCUAGGGUUAGGAGACACCACAUAUUUAUAUAGGCGCAGCCGCGUGGAGAGACGUGGGCUCGACCCAUGUCCGAGUCCGUGACAGCCCAUGAUCCGACGUCUCAGAUCGUGGCCCAGCUGUCAGAAACUCUCCGUUAGUGACUGGCAAAAAUAAGCGCGUAGGUGUGAGCUCGGCUCGGCUUAUUCCCGCAACCCGCAUCGCGUCGCGUCGCGACGAGGCGUGGCGGGCGGAGGAGGAGGAGCGCGCGAGGGCCUCUUCUCUUCUCAAGCUCCAAUAGCAUGUAGAAGAGAAACCCUUAUAAGAAGGUCCAACUCCUCUUCCACUUUCGGGGUGGGACUAAACUUCCCACCUCCACCUAGUGCCAAUAAACCCACAUGGGUCCUUAGAGAUUUUUCUGAAAUUGUUGGAUGGGCCUAAAGCCCACCCCAUAUUUCAACAAUCCCCCAUCAGAUCUCGAGGGCCCAUUGUGUCCUUUGUCCCAAUAGCUGUUUCGAUAUACUAGUGUUUCAGUGAAGACCUGUUAAGGUUGAGCUUCACCUAGAGCAAGUAGCUAGACUCCUUCACAACUGAACAAUGGACUAUGCCUUGAAUUGUCAGUUUGGCGUAAAGAAGCUUCGCCACAUGUCUUACUAGUACUAGGCUGUCGAUGGCUGACCCCUUGGGUGGAGCAUAUAAGUUACACUCCUGGCCUGUUUAUGAGUUUACUAGAGAUCACCCCAAUCUCAUAGACUGUGACCAGCAGUCGGGCUCACAUAGGUGUGUUCCUUCAAAGAUCGCUCUGUAGGAUAUCAUCCUGCUUACAUAAGCUUUGGAACACAUUAAGACAGUAGUCAUCCUACCAUACAAUAUCGAGAGUAUUGCAUCUCCAACGGAGUGGGUUAGUGUAGUUACUCUCCUCAGUUCACCACUGACUUGUUUUCCCAGGUCCUACUUCACGGCAUCUUCGAUCACAUAGGUUGGGUUACCACCAUGGCAACUCAUGUGGGUCUCAUACCCAUCUCCCACGAUACACUAUCUAUCACAACACGUGAUAGCCCUUUUGUAAAGGGGUCUGCCAGAUUCUUAGCCAUAUGGACAUACUCCAACGCUAUCACUCCGGAGUUUCUUAAUUUUUCGACAGCUUUUAAUCUCAUUCUUAUGUGUUUGUUGGACUUCAUGUUGUCCUUUGAACUCUUCACCUUGGUGAUGACAGUCUGAUUAUCACAGUUCAUAAGGAUAGCCGGAACGUGUUUAUCAACCAAUGGCAAGUCCAUCAGAAGAUCUUGAAGCCAUCCUGCUUCGACACCAGAUUUGUCUAAUGCUGUUAAUUCUGCUUCCAUUGUCGAUCUCAUUAAGAUCGUUUGCUUGCAAGACUUCCAGGAAACAGCACCACCUCCAAGAGUAAACAUAUACCCAGCUGUGGCCUUUAUCUCAUUAGCAUCAAAGAUCCAAUUCACAUCACUAUACCAUUCAAGUACCGACGGGUAUCCGGUAUAGUGAAAUCCGUAGUUCAUAGUACCUUUCAGAUAAUGCAUUACCCUCUCAAUAGCAUGCUAAUGUACAUCACCCGAAUUGGAAACAAACCGUCUCAGUUUGCUUACAGCAAACGCGAUGUCAGGCCUCGUUGCGCUCGCUAGGUACAUGAGUGAACCAAUGAUUUGAGAGUAUCUCAGUUGAUCCUUAGGUGUGCCUUCUGUCGUGGAAUUGUCAUGUCAGAUGUCCUAGUGAAAGGACUUAGUCGUGGAGCCAUCGCAACUAGGAAUCUUAAAGGGGUUAAUCGGGACAAAGUGUUGGGGAACGUUGCAGAAAAUAAAAUUUUUCCUACAGUUUCACCAAGAUCCAUCUAUGAGUUCAUCUAAGCAACGAGUGAAAGGGUAGAUGCAUCUACAUACCACUUUGUAGAUCGCGAGCGGAAGCGUUCAGAAGAACGGGGUUGAGGUAGUCGUUCUCGUCGUGAUCCUAUCACCGGAGAUCCUAGUGCCGAAUGGACGGCACCUCCGCGUUCAACACACGUACGGUCAGCGUGACGUAUCCUCCGUCUUGAUCCAGCAAGGGGGAAGGAGAGGUUGAUGACGAUCCAGCAGCACGACGACGUGGUGGUGGAUGCAGCAGAACUCCGGCAGGGCUUCGCCAAGCUGCUGCGGGAGGAGGACGAGGUGUAGCAGGGGGAGGGAGGCGCCAAGACUUCUGGUGCGGCUGCCCUCCCCCUGCCCUCCUUUAUAUAGGCCCCCAGGGGGGGGGGGCGCCGGCCCUAGGAGAUCAAUCUCCCAAGGGGGGGCGACGGCCAAGGGGGGUGGAGUGCCCCCCUAGGCAAGUGGUGCGCCCCCCCACCUAGGGUUUCCAACCCUAGGUGUAGGGGGGGGGGCCAAGGGGGGGCGCACCAGCCCACUAGGGGCUGGUUCCCCUCCCACUUCAGCCCACGGGGCCCUCCGGGAUAGGUGGCCCCACCCGGUGGACCCCCGGGACCCUUCCGGUGGUCCCGGUAUAAUACCGGGUGACCCCGAAACUUUCCUGAUGGCCGAAACAGCACUUCCUAUAUAGUUUUCUUUACCUCCGGACCAUUCCGGAACUCCUCGUGACGUCCGGGAUCUCAUCCGGGACUCCGAACAACAUUCAGUUUGCUGCAUACUCAUAUUCAUACAACCCUGGCGUCACCGAACCUUAAGUGUGUAGACCCUACGGGUUCGGGAGACAUGCAGACAUGACCGAGACGGCUCUCCGGUCAAUAACCAACAGCGGGAUCUGGAUACCCAUGUUGGCUCCCACAUACUCCUCGAUGAUCUCAUCGGAUGAACCACGAUGUCGAGGGUUCAAGCAACCCCGUAUACUAUUCCCUUUGUCAGACGGUAUGUUACUUGCCCGAGACUCGAUCGUUGGUAUCCCAAUACCUCGUUCAGUCUCGUUACCGGCAAGUCACUUUACUCGUACCGUAAUGCGUGAUCCCGUGACCAGACACUUGGUCACUUUGAGCUCAUUAUGAUGAUGCACUAUCGAGUGGGCCCAGUGAUACCUCUCCGUUAUACGGAGUGACAAAUCCCAGUCUCGAUCCGUGUCAACCCAACAGAAACUUUCGGAGAUACCUGUAGUGCACCUUUAUAGUCACCCAGUUAUGUUGUGACAUUUGGUACACCCAAAGCACUCCUACGGUAUCCGAGAGUUACACGAUCUCAUGGUCUAAGGAAGAGAUACUUGACAUUGGAAAAGCUCUAGCAAAACGAACUACACGAUCUUGUGCUAUGCUUAGGAAUGGGUCUUGUCCAUGACAUCAUUCUCCUAAUGAUGUGAUCCCGUUGUCAACGACAUCUAAUGUCCAUAGUCAGGAAACCAUGACUAUCUGUUGACCAACGAGCUAGUCAACUAGAGGCUUACUAGGGACGUAUUUGGUCUAAGUAUUCACACGUGUAUUACGAUUUCCGGAUAAUACAAUUAUAGCAUGAAUAAAAGACAAUUAUCAUGAACAAGGAAAUAUAAUAAUAAUCCUUUUAUUAUUGCCUCUAGGGCAUAUUUCCAACAGUCUCCGACUUGCACUAGAGUCAGUAAUCUAGUUACAUUGUGAUGAAUCGAACACCCAUAGAGUUCUGGUGUUGAUCAUGUUUUGCUCGCGAAAGAGGUUUAGUCAAUGGAUCUGCGACAUUCAGAUCCGUAUGUACUUUGCAAAUAUCUAUGUCUCCAUCUUGAACAUUUUCACGGAUGGAGUUGAAACGACGCUUGAUGUGCCUAGUCUUCUUGUGAAACCUGGGCUCCUUGGCAAGGGCAAUAGCUCCAGUGUUGUCACAGAAGAGUUUGAUCGGCCCCGACGCAUUGUGUAUGAAUCCUAGGUCGGUGAUGAACUCCUUCACCCAAAUUGCUUCAUGCGCUGCCUCCGAGGCUGCCAUGUACUCCGCUUCACAUGUAGAUCCCGCCACGACGCUCUGCUUGUAGCUGCACUAGCUUACCGCUCCACCAUUCAACAUAUACACGUAUCCGGUUUGUGACUUAGAGUCAUCCAGAUCUGUGUCGAAGCUAGCGUCGACGUAACCCUUUACGACGAGCUCUUCGUCACCUCCAUAAACGAGAAACAUGUCCUUUAUCCUUUUCAGGUACUUCAGGAUAUUCUUGACCGCUGUCCAGUGUUCCUUGCCGGGAUUACUUUGGUACCUUCCUACCAAACUUACGGCAAGGUUUACAUCAGGUCUGGUACACAUCAUGGCAUACAUAAUAGAUCCUAUGGCUGAGGCAUAGGGGAUGAUGCUCAUCUCUUCUUUAUCUUUUGCCGUGGUCGGGCAUUGAGCCGAGCUCAAUCUCACACCUUGCAGUACAGGCAAGAACCCUUUUUUGGACUGAUCCAUUUUGAACUUCUUCAAAAUCUUAUCAAGGUAUGUGCUUUGUGAAAGACCUAUGAGGCGUCUCGAUCUAUCCCUAUAGAUCUUGAUGCCUAAUAUGUAAGCAGCUUCUCCAAGGUCCUUCAUUGAAAAACACUUAUUCAAGUAGGCCUUAAUGCUGUCCAAGAAUUCUAUAUCAUUUCCCAUCAAAAGUAUGCAUCUACAUAUAAUAUGAGAAAUGCUACAGAGCUCCCACUCACUUUCUUGUAAACGCAGGCUUCUCCAUAAGUCUGCAUAAACCCAAACGCUUUGAUCAUCUCAUCAAAGCGAAUGUUCCAACUCCGAGAUGCUUGCACCAGCCCAUAAAUGGAUCGCUGGAGCUUGCACACUUUGUUAGCAUUCUUAGGAUCGACAAAACCCUCCGGCUGCAUCAUAUACAAUUCUUCCUUAAGAUGUCCGUUAAGGAAUGCCGUUUUGACGUCCAUCUGCCAUAUCUCAUAAUCAUAGUAUGCGGCAAUUGCUAACAUGAUUCGGACGGACUUAAACUUUGCUACGGGAGAGAAAGUCUGAUCGUAGUCAAUCCCUUGAACUUGCCGAUAACCCUUAGCGACAAGUUGAGCUUUAUAGAUGGUGACAUUACCAUCCGCGUCCGUCUUCUUCUUAAAGAUCCAUUUGUUUUCUAUCGCUCGCCGAUCAUCGGGCAAGUCAGUCAAAGUCCAUACUUUGUUUUCAUACAUGGAUUCUAUCUCGGAUUUCAUGGCUUCUAGCCAUUUGUUGGAAUCUGGGCCCGCCAUCGCUUCUUCAUAGUUCGAAGGUUCACCGUUGUCUAACAACAUGAUUUCCAGGACAGGGUUGCCAUACCACUCUGGUGUGGAACAUGUCCUUGUGGACCUACAAAGUUCAGUAGCAACUUGAUCAGAAGUACCUUGAUCAUCAUCAUUAAUUUCCUCUCUAGUUGGUGUAGGCACCAAACGUUUUCCUGAGCUGCACUACUUUCCGGUUCAAGAGGUAGUACUUCAUCGAGUUCUACUUUCCUCCCACUUACUCCUUUCGAGAGAAACUCUUUUUCCAGAAAGGAUCCGUUCUUGGCAACAAAGAUCUUGCCCUCGGAUCUUAAGUAUAAGGUAUACCCAAUGGUUUUCUUAGGGUAUCCUAUGAAGACACAUUUUUCCGACUUGGGUUCGAGCUUUUCAGGUUGAAGUUUCUUGACAUAAGCAUCGCAUCCCCAAAAUUUUAGAAACGACAGCUUAGGUUUCUUCCCAAACCAUAAUUCAUACGGUGUCGUCUCAACGGAUUUAGACGGUGCCCUAUUUAAAGUGAAUGUAGCUGUCUCUAGAGCGUAUCCCCAAAAUGAUAGCGGUAAAUCGGUAAGAGACAUCAUAGAUUGCACCAUAUCCAAUAGAGUGCGAUUACGACGUUCGUACACACCGUUACGCUGAGGUGUUCCUGGCGGCGUGAGUUGUGAAAUGAUUCCACAUUUUCUUAAGUGUGUACCAAAUUCGUGACUUAAAUAUUCUCCUCCACGAUCCGAUCGUAAGAAUUUUAUCUUUCGGUCAUGUUGAUUCUCUACUUCAUUCUGAAAUUCCUUGAACUUUUCAAAGGUCUCAAACUUGUGUUUCAUCAAGUAGACAUACCCAUAUCUACUCAAGUCAUCAGUGAGAGUGAGAACAUAACGAUAUCCUCCGCGAGCCUCAACGCUCAUUGGACCGCACACAUCGGUAUGUAUGAUUUCCAACAAGUUGGUUGCUCGCUCCAUUGUUCCGGAGAACGGAGUCUUGGUCAUUUUGCCCAUGAGGCAUGGUUCGCAUGUGUCAAAUGAUUCAUAAGCGAGAGACUCCAAAAGUCCAUCAGCAUGGAGCUUCUUCAUGCGCUUGACACCAAUGUGACCAAGGCGGCAGUGCCACAAGUAUGUGGGACUAUCGUUAUCAACUUUACAUCUUUUGGUAUUCACGCUAUGAAUAUGUGUAACAUUACGUUCGAGAUUCAUUAAGAAUAAACCAUUGACCAUCGGGGCAUGACCAUAAAACAUAUCUCUCAUAUAAAUAGAACAACCAUUAUUCUCGGAUUUAAAUGAGUAGCCAUCUCGUAUCAAACGAGAUCCAGAUACAAUGUUCAUGCUCAAACUUGGCACUAAAUAACAAUUAUUGAGGUUCAUAACUAAUCCCGUGGGUAAAUGUAGAGGUAGCGUGCCGACGGCGAUCACAUCGACCUUGGAACCAUUCCCGACGCGCAUCGUCACCUUGUCCUUCGCCAGUCUCCGCUUAUUCCGCAACUCCUGCUGUGAGUUACAAAUGUGAGCAACGGCACCGGUAUCAAAUACCCAGGAGUUACUAUGAGUACUGGUAAGGUACACAUCAAUUACAUGUAUAUCAAAUAUACCUUCAGUGUUGCCGGCCUUCUUAUCCGCUAAGUAUUUGGGGCAGUUCCACUUCCAGUGACCCUUCCCUUUGCAAUAAAAGCACUCAGUCUCAGGCUUGGGUCCAUUCUUUGACUUCUUCCCAGCAACUGGCUUACCGGGCGCGGCAACAUCUUUGCCAUCCUUCUUGAAGUUCUUCUUACCCUUGCCCUUCUUGAACUUAGUGGUCUUAUUGACCAUCAACACUUGAUGUUCUUUCUUGAUUUCAACCUUUGCUGACUUCAGCAUUGAGAAUACUUCAGGAAUGGUCUUCACCAUCCCCUGCAUAUUGUAGUUCAACACAAAGCUCUUGUAGCUCGGUGGGAGCGACUGAAGGAUUCUGUCAAUGACCGCCUCUUCCGGGAGGUUGAUCUCCAGCUGGGACAGGCGGUUGUGCAACCCAGACAUUUUGAGUAUGUGCUCACUGAAAGAACUGUUUUCCUCCAUCUUGCAACUAUAGAACUUGUCGGAGACUUCAUAUCUCUCGACCCGGGCAUGAGCUUGGAAAACCAUUUUCAGCUCCUCGAACAUCUCAUAUGCUCCGUGCUUCUCAAAACGCUUUUGGAGCCCCGGUUCUAAGCUGUAAAGCAUGCCGCACUGAACGAGGGAGUAAUCAUCAGCACGUGAUUGCCAAGUGUUCAUAACGUCUUGGUUCUCUGGGAUGGGUGCUUCACCUAGCGGUGCAUCUAGGACAUAAUCUUUCUUGGCUGCUAUGAGGAUGAUCCUCAGGUUCCGGACCCAGUCCAAAUAGUUGCUGCCAUCAUCUUUCAGCUUGGUUUUCUCUAGGAACGCGUUGAAGUUCAUGUUGACAUGAGUGUUGGCCAUUUGAUCUACAAGACAUAUUUUGCAAAAGUUUUAGACUAAGUUCAUGAUAAUUAAGUUCAUCUAAUCAAAUUAUUUAAUGAACUCCCACUCAGAUUAGACAUCCCUCUAGUCAUCUAAGUGUUACACGAUCCGAGUCGACUAGGCCAUGCCCGAUCAUCACGUGAGACGGACUAGUCAUCAUCGGUGAACAUCUCCACGUUGAUCGUAUCCUCCAUACGACUGAUGUUCGACCUUUCGGUCUCUGUGUUCCGAGGCCAUGUCUGUACAUGCUAGGCUCGUCAAGUUAACCCUAAGUGUUCUGCAUGUGUAAAUCUGUCUUACAACCGUUGUAUGUGAACGUAAGGAUCUAUCACACCCGAUCAUCACAUGGUGCUUCGAAACGACGAACUUUAGCAACGGUGCACAGUUAGGGGGAACACUUUCUUGAAAUUAUUAUAAGGGAUCAUCUUAUUUACUACCGCCAUUCUAAGUAAACAAGAUGCAUAAAACAUAAUAAACAUCACAUGCAAUUAUAUAGUAGUGACAUGAUAUGGCCAAUAUCAUAUAGCUCCUUCGAUCUCCAUCUUUGGGGCUCCAUGAUCAUCUUAGUCACCGACAUGACACCAUGAUCUCCAUCAUCAUGAUCUCCAUCAUUGUGUCUUCAUGAAGUUGUCACGCCAAUGACUACUUCUAUUUCUAUGGCUAACACGUUUAGCAAUAAAGUAAAGUAAUUUACAUUGCGUUCUUCAAUGACACGCAGGUCAUACAAAAAUAAAGACAACUCCUAUGGCUCCUGCCGGUUGUCAUACUCAUAGACAUGCAAGUCAUGAUUCCUAUUACAAGAACAUGAUCUCAUACAUCACAAUAUAUCAUUCAUCAUUCAUCACAACUUCUGGCCAUAUCACAUCACAUGACAAUUGCUGCAAAAACAAGUUAGACGUCCUCUAAUUGUUGUUGCAUCUUUUACGUGGCUGCAAUUGGGUUCUAGCAAGAACGUUUUCUUACCUACGAAUAACCACAACGUGAUUUUGUCAACUUCUAUUUACCCUUCAUAAGGACCCUUUUCAUCUAAUCCGCUCCAACUAAAGUAGGAGAGACAGACACCCGCUAGCCACCUUAUGCAACUAGUGCAUGUCAGUCGGUGGAACCUGUCUCACGUAAGCGUACGUGUAAGGUCGGUCCGGGCCGCUUCAUCCCACAAUACCGCUGAAGCAAGAAAAGACUAGUAGCGGCAAGCAAGUUGACAAGAUCUACGCCCACAACAAAAUUGUGUUCUACUCAUGCAAUAGAGAACUACGCAUAGACCUAGCUCAUGAUGCCACUGUUGGGGAACGUUGCAGAAAAUAAAACUUUUCCUACGGUUUCACCAAGAUCCAUCUAUUAGUUCAUCUAAGCAAUGAGUGAAAGGGGAUAUGCAUCUACAUACCAUUUUGUAGAUCGCGAGCGGAAGCGUUCAAAAGAACGGGGUUGAGGUAGUCGUUCUCGUCGUGAUCCUAUCACUGGAGAUCCUAGCGCCGAAUGGACGGCACCUCCGCGUUCAACACACGUACGGUCAGGGUGACAUCUCCUCUGUCUUGAUCCAGCAAGGGGGAAGGAGAGGUUGAUGACGAUCCAGCAGCACGACGGCGUGGUGGUGGAUGCAGCAGAACUCCGGCAGGGCUUCGCCAAGCUGCUGCAGGAGGAGGACGAGGUGUAGCAGGGGGAGGGAGGCGCCAAGACUUUGGGUGCGGCUGCCCUCCUUUAUAUAGGCCCCCAGGGGGGGGGGGCGCCGGCCCUGGGAGAUCAAUCUCCCAAGGGGGGCGGCGGCCAAGGGGGGUGGAGUGCCCCCCAAGGCAAGUGGUGCGCCCCCCCCACCUAGGGUUUCCAACCCUAGGCGCAGGGGGGGGGGGCAAGGGGGGGCGCACCAGCCCACUAGGGGCUGGUUCCCCUCCCACUUCAGCCCACGGGGCCCUCCGGGAUAGGUGGCCCCACCCGGUGGACCCCCGGGACCCUUCUGGUGGUCCCGUUACAAUACCGGGUGACCCCGAAACUUUCCCGAUGGCCGAAACAGCACUUCCUAUAUAGUUUUCUUUACCUCCGGACCAUUCCGGAACUCCUCGUGACGUCCGGGAUCUCAUCCGGGACUCCGAACAACAUUCGGUUUGCUGCAUACUCAUAUUCAUACAACCCUAGCGUCACCGAACCUUAAGUGUGUAGACCCUACGGGUUCGGGAGACAUGCAAACAUGACCGAGACGGCUCUCCGGUCAAUAACCAACAACGAGAUAUGGCUACCCAUUUUGGCUCCCACAUACUCCUCGAUGAUCUCAUCGGAUGAACCACGAUGUCGAGGGUUCAAGCAACCCCGUAUACUAUUCCCUUUGUCAGACGGUAUGUUACUUGCCCGAGACUCGAUCGUCGGUAUCCCAAUACCUCGUUCAGUCUCGUUACCAGCAAGUCACUUUACUCAUAUCGUAAUGCAUGAUCCCGUGACCAGACACUUGGUCACUUUGAGCUCAUUAUGAUGAUGCACUACCGAGUGGGCCCAGUGAUACCUCUCCGUUAUACGAAGUGACAAAUCCCAGUCUCGAUCCGUGUCAACCCAACAGACACUUUCGGAGAUACCUGUAGUGCACCUUUAUAGUCACCCAGUUACGUUGUGACGUUUGGUACACCCAAAGCACUCCUACGGUAUCCGGAAGUUACACGAUCUCAUGGUCUAAGGAAGAGAUACUUGACAUUGGAAAAGCUCUAGCAAAAGGAACUACACGAUCUUGUGCUAUGCUUAGGAAUGGGUCUUGUCCAUCACAUCAUUCUCCUAAUGAUGUGAUCCCGUUGUCAACGACAUCUAAUGUCCAUAGUCAGGAAACCAUGACUAUCUAUUGACCAACGAGCUAGUCAACUAGAGGCUUACUAGGGACGUAUUUGGUCUAAGUAUUCACACGUGUAUUACGAUUUCCGGAUAAUACAAUUAUAGCAUGAAUAAAAGACAAUUAUCAUGAACAAGGAAAUAUAAUAAUAAUCCUUUUAUUAUUGCCUCUAGGGCAUAUUUCGAACACAAAGGACACGAGGUUUAUACUGGUUCGGCCCCUUACGGUGAAGGUAAAAGCCUACGAUCAGUUUUGAGUGGGAUUGAUUAUGUUUUGAUUACCAGGGAGCGAAUCCGCUUGACCUAGUUCUCGAUCUGAUGUUACUUGCCCUGAACCGCCGCCGGGUUGUCCCUUUAUAUAUAGAGGUUGACGCCCAGCGGCUCUUAGAGUCCCGGCCGGCUCAUAAACAGUGUCCGGCUCGGUCUCUCUCUAUUCGUGCCUUACAAUACAAGUUACAUACAUAUGGCGGUUUAUCUCUACGGGCCUUAAAUCGCCUUUGGGCUUUGGGCCCUUAACUGAACCGCCAUCUUCAAGUGUCGUCUUAGGCUUCAUAUCUUGAGUCGCCAUAGGUACAACCCGACCCCUCUUUGGCGGGUCAUACCUAAUAGUUAUAUCCCUAACAUUAGGCCCCAGAUUGAUUUGAACGGGUUCAUGUCAGUCUUCAACACUUAGAAAAAAAUCCGCUCUUCGUUUGUACAGAAGCUUUUGUAAUCCGCCAUGACGUCAUCCUCUGGAUUUGGGAUAACCGGCCAUGACGUCAUCUGUCAUUAACACACACUUUGUCCAACAUAUCUCAACGGAUCCUUAUCUUAAUGAUCAUCCUGAGAAUCGAGGCGUCCUAGUAGCUGGAUAACCAUAUUUUCGACCUCCUCAUUUUUUGCGCCCACUUAUCUGUCUUCUCUUAUAAAUAGACACGACCAGGUCUUUUCUCAUUCUUCCCCUUUCCAUCGUCUUCCACCUCUCGCACCCUUCUACCACUCGAGCUCCGCCGCCACCGCAGAGCGCACCAGCGUCCUCGUCCAGGCCGCCGCAUCAACCUGAGUCGAUCCAGAGAACGGCGGCGACCCUCCGCAGUAGAUCUACAGCUAUAAGUUCCUGCUUUCCCGCACCUUAGAUCUGCAUUAGGGUUUCUGCCUGUUCUUCGUGUUCUUCACUGUUUCUUCAUAGUUCCUCCACUGCAGCCUCUUUUGAUCCAAAAGUAAUAUAGAACUCAUCCGGUAGUUUUUUACGUCCAUUUUUGAUACUAGAGGAUCCCUUUUUCUGUAAAGAGGCCUCAUUAGAACUCAGGAACUCAUCUGUACUAGUUUUUUAGGUCUAGAAUAUUUUCUUUUCCUGAACAGCCGCUGAUCCAAAAUAAUAGCUGCAACCUGUGAAACUUGUUUGUGUAACACUUAGGCAAAAACUGUAUUUUGUUACAUCCACCUAGCCAUGGCGACUCUUAUCACCGGCUUAAAAUUGCCAUGCUCAAUUGAUAAUCUUAACCACUCAUGGCGGUUUAGAUAACUUGACUGCUCAUGGCACUCAUGGCGGCUUAAAUAACUUGACAUAAUUAGGUACAUACCAUUAGGCCCCUUUAUAAGCCGCCAUCUUGAAUAUGCACUGUAAUGUUUCUCUUCGGCUUAAAUUUGAACCGAAAAUUUUACUCUUUGUUAGGCUUCCUUCACAGUGCCGCCCAAACAACCCACUUCAUGCAAUUGGGUCAAGUCCAUCGUCACAAAUAGUAUGCUUGAGGACUUUGUGAAGACUGGCUAUCUGCCAAAGAAGGAAGUUAUGUCAUAUCGUGCUCCUGACCCCACAUAAGAAAAACCUUAGCCCAAAGAGGGGGAGGUCAUCGUCUUCACUAACCAUAUGAACUAGGGUUUUUCACCACCCAGCUCAAAGUUCUUCAGAGACGUCAUGCACUUUUUUGACCUUCGUCCUCAAGACAUCGGACUCAACUCCGUGUCUAAUAUUUGCAACUCUCAAGUGUUUAGUGAGGUGUAUCUUGGAGAAGAGCCCAACUUACUACUCUUCAGAGAGUUAUUUUAUUUGAACCGCCAUAAUGAAUGUGCCAAUGGACCUAGCUUGGAGCUUGGCGGGGUCUCAAUUCAACGACGGAGAGACGCCAUUUUUCCUUAUGCAAAUCCACCAAGUCACCCCAAAGACUGGAACCAGACAUGGUUCUAUUGCCAAGACACUUCUUCGGCUGAUGAGAACCCUUUGCCCGGCUUUCACGCUCUGCGUCUUGAUUCCAAUCAUCCGCUUCCUGAUAAGGUGACAACCGCCGAACGCCAGACGCUUGCCCCCACCAUAGCUAAAGUCAAGGCUCUUUUGGGGAAUGGGCUAAAUGGUAUCGACUUGGUCCGGGUUUGGUUUGCCUGGCGGGUCAUUCUGUUGAGCCGCUGCUCCGGUUUGAUGUGCACCUAUACGGGCGCGAGGAAUGACCCUCUACGGCACAACGCUGAUGAUUUACCUGAAGACGUCAUCAACGAUAUGACCAAGUCGCUCUUGAACGAGAGCCUAGCAAAUUGUGGCAAGGUGGGCUUAAGCCCUUUCUGCAAAGCUAACCCAGCUCCAGCGGUAAGCCUCCAACCUGAAUACAUUACCUUCAUCUUUUGAUGUUUUGUCUGUGCUCAAGCCUUUGCUGAUUUUCACAGGCUGAUGAUAAAUUCUGGAAGGCUAAGUAUGAUCAUGAGGCUGCGAAGAGAGCCAGGAAGGCCAAGAGAGCCACCAGGAAAGAGGCCACGAAGAAAAGAGGAAAAAAGUCUAGCACUUCUGAGAUGUCUCAACUGGAGGACUCUUCUGAGUCAAAGGUAGCCCUUGACUCUCUUGGCUCAUUUUUUAAUCACCUUAUUGAUACCGAUUAUAAUUAGGAUGACACGGGAACGAGUCAUGGGGUAGAUGAAGAGGUAACUAUUAUUUCCUCCGACUCAGAGCCUUUUCCAAGGCAAAAAAUCCAAAGAGUAACCCGGAAAGUAAGAUUUUCACAUCCCUUAGCUUAUCAAGAUCCUCAAUUUCUUUUGAAGCGACAGAUUCAUGAGAGCCGGAGGCACACCCGGACUAGCAAAAACACGGAACUCUCCUCCGGCUUACCAAAUACACCAAAGAAACACCGGAACGAGGUCACCUCGGAUUUAAAUCCCUUUUAUCCUUUGAUGGCUCUCACUCGUCAACCACUCAACUCUUCUGACUCGAAUUAUCAGGAAACUUCACCUUCCUCCGGCGACUCAAUCCAGUCCAACUUGCCGACUUUCAAGACCGCUCUAGGGUAAUGAUGACUUACUUACCCUGUAUUCACUUCAAUUUUUUAUAUUUGUACUGAUCUUUUGAUCUUAUGCAACGGAAAGCAAAGCCCAUCAAAAAGGCGAAGAAGAACAAGCCGACCGAAGAGCCGAUCUUCAAAGAGCCGGAACUCCAGACGGCCGCGCCUAAGGCCUCUGUUCUUGAGCUGCCACCUGAACCGGCUCAUGACACGCCGACGCUGUCGGUGUCAAAACCGGCGGAUCUCAGGUAGGGGGUCCUGAACUGUGCGUCUAAGGCUAAUGGUAGCAGGAGGCGGGGGACACAAUGUUUACCCAGGUUCGGGCCCUCUCUAUGGAGGUAAUACCCUACUUCCUGCUUGAUUGAUCUUGAUGAUAUGAGUAUUACAAGAGUUGAUCUACCACGAUAUCAUAGAUGCUAAACCCUAGAAGCUAGCCUAUGAUUAUGAUUGUUGUUGUCAUACGGACUAAACCCUCCGGUUUAUAUAGACACCGGAGGGGGCUAGGGUUACACAGAGUCGGUUACAGAGAAGGAAAUCUACAUAUUCGAAUUGCCAAGCUUGCCUUCCACGCAAAGGAGAGUCCCACUGUCGGUGUCAAAACCGGCGGAUCUCGGGUAGGGGGUCCCGAACUGUGCGUCUAGGCGGAUGGUAACAGGAGACGAGGGACACGAUAUUUUUACCCAGGUUCAGGCCCUCUUGAUGGAGGUAAAACCCUACAUCCUGCUUGAUUAAUAUUGAUGAUGUGGGUUACAAGAGUAGAUCUACCACGAGAUCAAGGAGGCUAAACCCUAGAAGCUAGCCUAUGGUAUGAUUGUUGUUCGUCCUAUGGACUAAAGCCAUCCGGUUUAUAUAGACACCGGAGAGGGCUAGGGUUACAUAGAGUCGGUUACAAUGGUAGGAGAUCUACAUAUCCGUAUCGCCAAGCUUGCCUUCCACGCCAAGGAAAGUCCCAUACGGACAUGGGACGAAGUCUUAAAUCUUGUAUCUUCAUAGUCUUGGAGUCCGGCCGAUGAUGGUAGUUCGGCUAUUCGGACACCCCCUAGUCUGGGACUCCCUUAGUAGCCCCUGAACCAGGCUUCAAUGACGACGAGUCCGGCGCGCAUGUUGUCUUCGGCAUUGCAAGGCGGGUUCCUCCUCCGAAUAAUUUAUAGAAGAUUGUGAACACCAGGAUAGUGUCCGGCUCUGCAAAAUAAAUUCCACAUACAACCGUAGAGAGAAUAAUAUUACACAAGUUCAAUCUGCUGACGUAUUUUGUGGCGUAACUGUUGGGGAAUGUAGCAGAAAUUCAAAAUUUUCCUACGUAUCACCAAGAUCUAUCUAUGGAGAGACCAGCAACGAGUAGAAAGGAGAGUGCAUCUACAUACCCUUGUAGAUCGCUAAGCGGAAGCGUUCAAGUGAACGGGGUUGAUGCAGUCGUACUCAUCGUGAUUCAGAUCACCGAUGAUCCUAGUGCCGAACGGACGGCACCUCCGCGUUCAACACACGUACAGCUCGACGAUGUCUCCCACGCCUUGAUCCAGCAAGGAGAGAGGGAGAGGUUGAGGAAGACUCCAUCCAGCAGCAGCACAACAGCGUGGUGGUGAUGGAGGAGCGUGGCAAUCCUGCAGGGCUUCGCCAAGCACCUACGGGAGAGGAGGAGGUGUCACGGGAGGGAGGGAGGCGCCAAGGGCUCAGGUAUAGAUGCCCUCCCUCCCCUCCACUAUAUAUAGGGGCAGGGGAGAGGGGGGAGGCGCAGCCUUGCCCCUUCCUCCAAGAAAGGGGUGCGGCUAAGAGGGGGGGAGGAGUCCAUCCUCCCCAAGGCACCUCGGAGGUGCCUUCCCCCUUGAGGACUCUUCCCUCUAGGGUUCCCUAGGCUCAUGGGCCUCUUGGGGCUGGUGCCCUUGGCCCAUGUAGGCCAAGGCGCACCCCCUACAGCCCAUGUGCCCCCCCGGGGCAGGUGGCCCCACCCGGUGGGCCCCCGGGACCCUUCCGGUGGUCCCGGUACAAUACCGAUGACCCCGAAACUUGUCCCGAUGGCCGAAACAGGACUUCCUAUAUAUAAAUCUUUACCUCCGGACCAUUCCGGAACUCCUCGUGACGUCCAGGAUCUCAUCCGGGACUCCGAACAACAUUCGGUAACCACAUACAAGCUUCCUUUAUAACCCUAGCGUCAUCGAACCUUAAGUGUGUAAACCCUACGGGUUCGGGAGACAUGCAGACAUGACCGUGACGUUCUCCGGUCAAUAACCAACAGCGGGAUCUGGAUACCCAUGUUGGCUCCCACAUGUUCCACGAUGAUCUCAUCGGAUGAACCACGAUGUCAAGGACUCAAUCGAUCCCGUAUACAAUUCCCUUUGUCUAGCGGUAUUUUACUUGCCCGAGAUUCGAUCGUCGGUAUACCGAUACCUUGUUCAAUCUCGUUACCGGCAAGUCUCUUUACUCGUUACGUAACACAUCAUCCCGUGAUCAACCCCUUGGUCACAUUGUGCACAUUAUGAUGAUGUCCUACCGAGUGGGCCCAGAGAUACCUCUCCGUUUACACGGAGUGACAAAAUCCCAAUCUCGAUUCGUGCCAACCCAACAGACACUUUCAGAGACACCCGUAGUGUACCUUUAUAGCCACCCAGUUACGUUGUGACGUUUGGCACACCCAAAGCACUCCUACGGUAUCCGGGAGUUGCACAAUCUCAUGGUCUAAGGAAAUGAUACUUGACAUUAGAAAAGCUUUAGCAUACGAACUACAUGAUCUUGUGCUAGGCUUAGGAUUGGGUCUUGUCCAUCACAUCAUUCUCCUAAUGAUGUGAUCCCGUUAUCAACGACAUCCAAUGUCCAUGGUCAGGAAACCGUAACCAUCUAUUGAUUAACGAGCUAGUCAACUAGAGGCUUACUAGGGACAUGGUGUUGUCUAUGUAUCCACACAUGUAUCUGAGUUUCCUAUCAAUACAAUUCUAGCAUGGAUAAUAAACGAUUAUCAUGAACAAGGAAAUAUAAUAAUAAUCAAUUUAUUAUUGCCUCUAUGGCAUAUUUCCAACAGUCUCCCACUUGCACUAGAGUCAAUAAUCUAGUUCACAUCUAUAUGUGAUUAACACUCAAGGUCACAUCCCCAUGUGACUAACACCCAAAGAAUUUACUAGAGUCAAUAAUCUAGUUCACAUUUACCAUGUGAUUAACACUCGAUGAGGUCUGGGUUUGAUCAUGUUAUGCUUGUGAGAGAGGUUAUAGUCAACGGGUCUGAACCUUUCAGAUCCGUGUGUGCUUUACAAAUCUCUAUGUCAUCUCCUAGAUGCAGCUACCACGUUCUAUUUGGAGCUAUUCCAAAUAACUGUUCUACUUGGAGCUAUUCUAAAUUGUUGCUCCAUUAUACUAUCCGGUAUCUCUACUCAGAGCUAUCCGGAUAGGUGUUAAGCUUGCAUCGACAUAACCCUUUACGACGAACUCUUUUACCACCUCCACAAUUGAGAAAAUUCCUUAGUCCACUAGUUACUAAGGAUAACUUUGACCGCUGUCCUGUGAUCCAUUCUUGGAUCACUCUUGUACCCCUUGACUGACUCAUGGUAAAGCACACUUCAGGUGCGGUACACAACAUAGCAUACUGUAGAGCCUAUGUCUUAAGCAUAGGGGACGACCUUCGUUCCUUUCUCUCUAUUCUGCCAUGGUCGAGCUUUAAGUCUUAACUUCAUACCUUACAACUCAGGCAAGAACUCCUUCUUUGACUGAUCCAUCUUGAACACCUUCAAUAUCACGUCAAGGCAUGUGCUCAUUUGAAAGUACUAUUAAGCGUUUUGAUCUAUCCUUAUAGAUCUUGAUGCUCAAUGUUCAAGUAGCUUAAUCCAGGUUUUCCAUUGAAAACACUUUCCAAAUAACCCUAUAUGCUUUCCAGAAAUUCUACGUCAUUUCUGAUCAUUAAUAUGUCAACAACAUAUACUCAUCAAAAAUUCUAUAGUGCUCCCACUCACUUCUUUGGAAAUACAAGUUUCUCAUAAACUUUGUAUACACCCAAAAUCUUUGAUCAUCAUCAAAGCAUACAUUCCAACUCCGAGAUGCUCACUCCAGUCCUCAGAAGGAUUGCUGGAGCUUUGCAUACUUAUUAGCAUAUUUCAGGAUAGACAAAACCUUCCGGUUGUAUCACAUACAACCUUUCCUCAAGAAUCGUCGAGGAAACAAUGUUUUUGACAUCCUAUCUGCAAGAUUUCAUAAAUAAUGCAGUAAUUGCUAAUAUAAUUCCAACAGACUCUUAGCAUCGCUACGAGUGAGAAAGUCUCAUCGUAGUCAACUCCUUGAACUUGUCGAAAAACAUCUUAACGACAAGUCGAGCUUUCUCAAUGGUGACACUUACCAUCAUUGUCUGUCUUCCUUUCAAAAUCCAUAUGUACCUAACAGCCUUACGACCAUCAAGUAGUUCUUCCAAAGUCUACACUUUGUUUUCAUACAUGGAUCCUCUCUCGGGUUUUAUGGCCUUGAGCCAUUUAUCGGAAUCCGGGCCCACCAUCGCUUCUCCAUAGCUUGUAGGUUCAUUGUUGUCUAACAACAUGACUUCCAAGACAGGAUUACGUACCACUCUGAAGUAGUACGCAUCCUUGUCAUCCCACGAGGUUUGGUAGUGACUCGAUCCGAAGUUUCAUGAUCACUAUCAUAAGCUUCCACUUCAGUUGGUGUACGUGCCACAGGAACAACUUCCUGUGCCCUGCUACACACUUGUUGAAGUGACGGUUCAAUAACCUCAUCAAGUCUCCACCAUCCUCCCACUCAACUUUUCGAGAGAAACCUUUCCUCGAAAAAGGACCCGAUUCAAGAAACAAUCCCUAUUGCUUUCGGAUCUGAAACAGGAGGUAUACCCAACUGUUUUGGGUGUCCUAUGAAGAUGCAUUUAUCCGCUUUGGGUUCGAGCUUAUCAGCCUGAAACCUUUCCACAUAAGCAUCGCAGCCCCAAACUUCUAAGAAAUGACAGCUUAGGUUUCUCUAAACCAUAAUUCAUACGGUGUCAUCUCAACGGAAUUACGUGGUGCCCUAUUUAAAGUGAAUGUGGUUGUCUCUAAUGCCUAACCCAUAAACUAUAGUGGUACUUCGAUAAGAGACAUCAUGGUAUGCAUCAUAUCCAAUAGGGUGCAGUUAUGAUGUUCGGACACACCAUCACACUAUGGUGUUCCAGGCUGUAUUAGUUGUGAAACAAUUUCCACAAUGUCUUAAUUCUGUGCCAAACUCGUGAUUCAGAUAUUCAUCUCUAUGAUCAUAUCAUAGAUCUUUUAUCCUCUUGUCACAACGAUCUUUCGACUUCACACUGAAAUUACUUGAACCUUUCAAUAAUUCAGACUCGUGAUUCAUCAAGUAAAUAUACUCAACAUCUACUCGAAUCAUCUGUGAAGUAAGAACAUAACGAUAUUCACUGCAUGCCUCAGCACUCAUUGGACUGCACACAUCAAAAUGUGUUACUUCCAACAAGUUGCUUUCUUUUUCCAUCUUACUGAAAACGAGGCUUUUCAGUCAUCUUGCCCAUGUGGUAUGAUUUGCAUGUCCCAAGUGAUUCAAAAUCAAGUGAGUCAAAAUGGUCCAUUUGCAUGGAGUUUCUUCAUGCAUAUACACCAAUAGACAUGGUUCGCAUGUCUCAAACUUUUCAAAAACGAGUGAGCCCAAAGAUCCAUCAAUAUGGAGCUUCUUCAUGCGUUUUAUACCGAUAUGACUUACGUGGCAGUGCCACAAGUAGGUGGUACUAUCAUUACUAUCUUUUGGCAUGAACAUGUGUAUCACUACGAUCGAGAUUUAAUAAACCAUUCAUUUUAGGUGUAAGACCAUUGAAGGUAUUAUUCAAAUAAACAGAGUAACCAUUAUUCUCCUUAAAUGAAUAACCGUAUUGCGAUAGACGUAAUCCAAUCAUAUCUAUGCUCAACGCAAACACCAAAUAACAAUUAUUUAGGUUUAACACCAAUCUCUUUGGUAGAGGGAGCGUGCGAUGCUUGAUCAUAUCAAGCUUGGAAAAACUUCCAACACAUAUCGUUAGCUCACCUUUAGCUAGUCUCCGUUUAUUCUGUAGCCUUUUGUUUCGAGUUACUAACACUUAGCAACCGAACCGGUAUCUAAUACCCUGGUGCUACUAGGAGUACUAGCAAAGUACACAUUAACACAAUGUAUAUGCAAUAUACUUCUAUCCACCUUGCCAGCCUUCUUAUCUACCAAGUAUCUAGGGUAAUUCUGCUCUAGUGGUUGUUCCCCUUAUUACAGAAGCACUUAUUCUCGGGUAUGGGUUCAACCUUGGGUUUCUUCACUAGAGCAGCAGCUGAUUUGCCGUUUCAUGAAGUAUCCCUUCUUGCCCUUGCCCUUCUUGAAACUAGUGGUUUCACCAACCAUCAAUAAUUGAUGCUCCUUCUUGAUUCCUACUUUCGCGGUGUCAAACAUCGUGAAUACCUCAAGGAUCAUCAUAUCUAUCCUUGAUAUGUUAUAGUUCAUCACGAAGCUCUAACAGCUUGGUGGCAAUGACUUUGGAGAAACAUCACUAUCUCAUCUGGAAGAUCAACUCCCACUCGAUUCAAAUGAUUGUUGUACUCAGACAAUCUGAGCACAAGCUCAACAAUUGAGCUUUUCUCCUUAGUUUGCAGGUUAAGAAAAUCGUCGGAGGUCUUAUACCUCUUGACGUGAGCACGAGCUUGAAAUCCCAAUUUUAGCCCUCGAAACAUCUCAUAUGUUUCGUGAUGUUUCAAAAACGUCUUUGGUGCCUCAACUCUAAACCGUUUAACUGAACUAUCACGUAGUUAUCAAAACGUGUAUGUCAGAUGUUCGCAACAACCACAGACAACGUUCGAGGUUCAGCACACUGAGCGGUGCAUUAAGGACAUAAGCCUUCUAUGAAGCAAUAAGGACAAUCCUCAGUUUACGGACCUAGUCCGCAUAAUUGCUACUAUCAACUUUCAACUAAUUUUUCUCUAGGAACAUAUCUAAACAGUAGAACUAUAGCGUGAGCUACGACAUAAUUUGCAAAAACCUUUUGACUAUGUUCAGGAUAAUUAAGUUCAUCUUAUGAACUCCCACUCAGAUAGACAUCCCUCUAGUCAUCUAAGUGAUUACAUGAUCCGAGUCAAACUAGGCCAUGUCCGAUCAUCACGUGAGACGAACUAGUCAUCAUCGGUGAACAUCUUCAUGUUGAUCGUAUCUUCUAUACGACUCAUGUUCGACCUUUCGGUCUCCGUGUUCCGAGGCCAUGUCUGUACAUGCUAGGCUCGUCAAGUUAACCCUAAGUGUUUCGCGUGUGUAAAUCUGUCUUACACCCGUUGUAUGUGAAUGUUAGAAUCUAACACCCGAUCAUCACGUGGUGCUUCGAAACACGAACUGUCGCAACGGUGCACAGUUAGGGGAGAACACUUCUUGAAAUUGUUGUAAGGGAUCAUCUUAUUUACUACCGUCGUUCUAAGCAAAUAAGAUGUAUAAACAUGAUAAACAUCACAUGCAAUCAAAUAGUGACAUGAUAUGGCCAUCAUCACUUUGCUCCUUUUGAUCUCCAUCUUCGGGGCUCCAUGAUCAUCAUCGUCACCGGCAUGACACCAUGAUCUCCAUCAUCAUGAUCUCCAUCAUCGUGUCUUCAUGAAGUUGCCUCGCCAACUAUUACUUCUACUACUAUGGCUAACAGUUAGCAAUAAAGUAAAGUAAUUACAUGACGUUUAAGUUGACACGCAGGUCACAAAUAAAUAAAGACAACUCCUAUGGCUCCUGCCGGUUGUCAUACUCAUCGACAUGCAAGUCGUGAUUCCUAUUACAAGAACAUGAUCAAUCUCAUACAUCACAUAUAUCAUUCAUCACAUCCUUUUUUUUGGCCAUAUCACAUCACAUAGCAUACCCUGCAAAAACAAGUUAGACGUCCUCUAAUUGUUGUUUGCAUGUUUUACGUGGCUGCUAUGGGUUUCUAGCAAGAACGUUUCUUACCUACGCAUGAACCACAACGUGAUAUGCCAAUUGCUAUUUACCCUUCAUAAGGACCCUUUUCAUCGAAUCCGAUCCGACUAAAGUGGGAGAGACAGACACCCGCCAGCCACCUUAUGCAACUAGUGCAUGUUUGUCGGUGGAACCGGUCUCACGUAAGCGUACGUGUAAGGUUGGUCCGGGCCGCUUCAUCCCACGAUGCCGCCGAAUCAAGAUAAGACUAGUAACGGCAAGCAUAUUGAACAAUAUCGACACCCACAACUACUUUGUGUUCUACUCGUGCAAAGAAUCUACGCAAUAGACCUAGCUCAUGAUGCCACUGUUGGGGAACAUAGCAGAAAUUCAAAAUUUUCCUACGUAUCACCAAGAUCUAUCUAUGGAGAGACCAGCAACGAGUAGAAAGGAGAGUGCAUCUACAUACCCUUGUAGAUCGCUAAGCGGAAGCGUUCAAGUGAACGGGGUUGAUGGAGUCGUACUCGUCGUGAUUCAGAUCACCGAUGAUCCUAGUGCCGAACGGACGGCACCUCCGCGUUCAACACACGUACAGCUCGACGAUGUCUCCCACGCCUUGAUCCAGCAAGGAGAGAGGGAGAGGUUGAGGAAGACUCCAUCCAGCAGCAGCACAACGGCGUGGUGGUGAUGGAGGAGCGUGGCAAUCCUGCAGGGCUUCGCCAAGCACCUACGGGAGAGGAGGAGGUGUCACGGGAGGGAGGGAGGCGCCAAGGGCUCAGGCAGCCUUGCCCCUUCCUCCAAGAAAGGGGUGUUGCUAAGAGGGGGGGAGGAGUCCAUCCUCCCCAAGGCACCUCGGAGGUGCCUUCCCCCUUGAGGACUCUUCCCUCUAGGGUUCCCUAGGCGCAUGUGCCUCUUGGGGCUGGUGCCCUUGGCCCAUGUAGGCCAAGGCGCACCCCCUACAGCCCAUGUGCCCCCCCGGGGCAGGUGGCCCCACCCGGUGGGCCCCCGAGACCCUUCCGGUGGUCCCGGUACAAUACCGAUGACCCCGAAACUUGUCCCGAUGGCCGAAACAGGACUUCCUAUAUAUAAAUCUUUACCUCCGGACCAUUCCGGAACUCCUCGUGACGUCCGGGAUCUCAUCCGGGACUCCGAACAACAUUCGGUAACCACAUACAAGCUUCCUUUAUAACCCUAGCGUCAUCGAACCUUAAGUGUGUAGACCCUACGGGUUCGGGAGACAUGCAGACAUGACCGUGACGUUCUCCGGUCAAUAACCAACAGCGGGAUCUGGAUACCCAUGUUGGCUCCCACAUGUUCCACGAUGAUCUCAUCGGAUGAACCACGAUGUCAAGGACUCAAUCGAUCCCGUAUACAAUUCCCUUUGUCUAGCGGUAUUUUACUUGCCCGAGAUUCGAUCGUCGGUAUACCGAUACCUUGUUCAAUCUCGUUACCGGCAAGUCUCUUUACUCGUUCCGCAACACAUCAUCCCGUGAUCAACCCCUUGGUCACAUUGUGCACAUUAUGAUGAUGUCCUACCGAGUGGGCCCAGAGAUACCUCUCCGUUUACACGGAGUGACAAAAUCCCAAUCUCGAUUCGUGCCAACCCAACAAACACUUUCAGAGACACCCGUAGUGUACCUUUAUAGCCACCCAGUUACGUUGUGACGUUUGGCACACCCAAAGCACUCCUACGGUAUCCGGGAGUUGCACAAUCUCAUGGUCUAAGGAAAUGAUACUUGACAUUAGAAAAGCUUUAGCAUACGAACUACAUGAUCUUGUGCUAGGCUUAGGAUUGGGUCUUGUCCAUCACAUCAUUCUCCUAAUGAUGUGAUCCCGUUAUCAACGACAUCCAAUGUCCAUGGUCAGGAAACCGUAACCAUCUAUUGAUUAACGAGCUAGUCAACUAGAGGCUUACUAGGGACAUGGUGUUGUCUAUGUAUCCACACAUGUAUCUGAGUUUCCUAUCAAUACAAUUCUAGCAUGGAUAAUAAACGAUUAUCAUGAACAAGGAAAUAUAAUAAUAAUCAAUUUAUUAUUGCCUCUAGGGCAUAUUUCCAACAGUAACGUCACACCACCACCAAGCCUUCAAAUUGUUUUUAUUGUUCCAUCUCAGCGUGUUUAGCGAGGCGGUUUUCUUGGCACGUCUUGUCGAAGCAGAGAUCGUGUUCCCCUUAUUCCAGGAUUCCCAUCAAUACGGACGUGGGUAACCCAACCGCGCCAUUGAUUGCGGUGCUUGGGAGAUAAGUGAGUUUUAUCAGGCCGGUGGGGACGCAUGUUUCCGUCCGCCCAUAUAAGGGGAUAAAGAUCCAACCUUUUUUACCCGCGCCUUCUUCCUCCUUGGCUUAUCCAUCUCCGCGAACUCGAGCUCUAGCGCCCAAGCCCGCACAUCUCACCUCAACCUUCUCCAAAUAUGUCCAGAGCGGGAGGCAAGUGGAUGGACUCCUCCGUCACAGAGGGGCAUAUCCAGAAGCUGCGCAGCACCGGAUACUUGUCCAGCGACAUCGCACAUCGGCUCCCCGACGAGGGAGAGCUCAUCCCCACCCCUAGGCCCCAUGAGAGGGUAGUAUUCCUUCCCCAUUUCCUCUGCGGACUGGGCUUCCCACUUCAUCCCUUUGUCCGGGGGCUCAUGUUCUACUACGGCCUAGAUUUCCAUGAUCUGGCCCCGAAUUUUAUCCUCAACAUCUCGGCGUUUAUCAUCGUGUGCGAGGCCUUCCUCUGCAUCCGGCCCGACUUCGGCUUGUGGCUCAAGACCUUCAGUGUCAAGCCGAAGGUUGUGAAGGGCAGCCAAGUGGAGUGCGGAGGCGCCAUGGUGGGCAGGAUGUCCCACGUUACGUGGCUGGAGGGUACUUUCGUGGAAACCAUUAAGGGGUGGCAAUCGGGGUGGUUCUACAUCACCGAGCCGCGUGACCCUGAUUGGGCAACGGCCCCCGAAUUUAGAUCCGGUAUCCCUACACGGCUCACCUCCUGGAAAGAGAGUGGCCGGAUCUGGGGGGAUUCGCAGGACUGACCGGACUCCGAGCCUGUAUCCAGAAGCUGGUGGACAAGAAGCUCAAGCUUGUCAACGUAGUCUAGGUCAUGCUCAUCCGCCGGAUUCUCCCGUGCCAACGACGAGGCUUCAACAUGUGGGAGUUCGAUCCGGCGCAGCACCAGACUUUGAAUGGGCUCUUCGACACUACGUACGAAGAGGUCUGGAAGGUGCUGUUCAAGGGCGCCGAGGCUCCCUCAUCCACUACCGAAGAUCGCGGAUUCAGCUCGCAGCGUCCAGCUGACGAGGUAAGUGAUAUUGUCCUUUACGGGACGCUUGUUAUUCAUAGUUUGACUCUAUGCGGGAUCUAAACUCCCUUUCCUUUGACAGGACUGGCUGAAGAAGGCCGCACAGGCUAUCUGUCCGGCCCCAUUGCCAGACGACCCAACUGACGCCCGCCUAACGGGGCUGCUGGCUCCGGCACCCCACGUGGUGUCGGAGAAGAAGGCCAAGAAGAAGGCCACGGGGACUCGGAAGAGUUCCCGUUUUCAGGUGCUAUUGGACGAUGAAUCCGAGGCCGACUCCUCCCACCAAGGCGAGGAGGAGAAGAAGAAAGCCUCUCCCCCAGCGGGGGGAGGGAAGAAAAGGAAGGCCUCCCCAACAAGGGAGGCCGAAGGGUCCAAGAGGGGAAAAACUCUUCCCCCGGACUGUUCAGCCAAUGCUAGUGACGACGACAAGGACUGGCCUCCAAGGGCCAAGCCUCUAGCGAGAUCAUAAGUAUCCGGACUCCCGAAUAACUUCAAGGUUUUCAUUUUCCGCCACAUUAUGUCUUUCUAAUGCCGCAUACAACCCUGCAGUCCGCCUAAGGAUGAUCUCCCCACUUCGUCGAGUGGGUCCUUAGGGUCGUCGGAUAUGGAUUCUCUUCCGACUGCCUCCACCCCCCGUGAUGCGGACGAUACCGAGGUGGGAUCCCAGGAAGGGAUCCACUAGGAGGAGAGGGCCCUGGAGGUGUUGCAGGACAACCUCCCGGACUUUGCACCGGACUCAGCCCCGGAACCCAUAGUGGCUCCGGAGUCCGGCGGGCGACCCCUUCGUAAGAAGGGCAAGACCGCGACGCCGGCUACCUCCGUCCAACCGGAGGUGCCGGAUAAUUUGCUAGAGGCGCUCAAUAGCGCCUCUAUUAAAGAGGAACACCGCACUGUUAUGAGUGCGGUGAUUCAGAAAGUUCAGCUCGCCAAGAACGGGCUGACCGAAGCCUGCAGCAGCCUUCUAACAGGCUUUGAGGUAAGAAUUUCAAUAUAUGUAAAAUGGUACUGCAUAGACAGUAGCCCCUGAUGCUCGGUUCGGUGGUCAGAAAGAAAAGCCGGACUGAGGAUCUUUAGAAAGAUAAACCCAGGAGUCAUGAAAAUAUGUCAAUAUGGGAUUGCAGGCUGUGCUACUAACCUCUGCCGCACUGACUGCGGAGGUCAAGACUUUGAAGGAAAACCUCGAGCGGUCCGAGAACGAGCUCGGCCAUGCCAAGAAGCAGCUCGAGGAAGAAGAAGGUGAGUAAUACCUUAUGAAAAUUGUACCUUACAGAAAAGGAUUUGGUUGCAAGAAAAAUGACAAGGAUAACUGGGGUAUUGUAGGGGCCACUAACGAGGUGGCGACCCUGAAGGAGGCGAUGGCCGCGGCCGAACGCAAUGCGGCUGUGGAGCGCACCGAGCGAGAGAAACAGGAGGCGCGGGUGGCGGAGGUACAGCAAGAGCUCCAGGAUCUCGUGAGGAAACAUGAGAGCCUGGAGCGUGACUCAAAGACUCGAGAGUCUGAGCUUGCAACGGCUCUUGAGAGUGCCAAAGCCGCUAAGGCCGAAGCCUACAAGGCCCUCCAGGAGAUCGAGGCGGUAAAGAAAAUAGCAGCGGGUAAGGCAUUUUUCAUGCAAAGUAAGCAUGUGAGUGUUAAUUACCUGUCGCUUACCCGAAUUCGGAGCUCUCCAGGAGCGUUCGCAGAUCUUCCUCGCAGCGUGUCCGAUGCUGCCGCAUUCUACCGGGCCGAGGAGGGGAGCUCAACGGAGAAGGUCUUUUGGUCUCAGUAUGCUGAGGCCGAACAUCCGGUGCCCCUUAGCGACCAGCUGAAGCAGCUGGUCGAGCUCCACAAGGCAGCCGAACAGGCCAUGAAGGGCCUCAUAGUUCGGCUGUGGCCUAAGGAGGCCAUGCCUGGGAGCUACUUCGGCCUGGUGCGGCGGCUGGUGGAUGCGUGCCCGUGGGUUGAAGUCAUCAAGCACUCCGCCUGUAUUGAAGGUGCCCGUCAGGCCCUUGCCCGCGCAAAGGUGCACUGGGGCAAGAUGGAUGCCCAGAAGCUUGUGAUGGACCCACCACCAGAGGGCAAGGAGCAUCGCACGCCCAAGAUGUAUUAUAGGAGUGUGCUGAAGGGCGCCCACAUUAUUGCGGGUGAGUGCUCCAAAGAAGAAGUUUUUGAGUAGACUCGUGUUUUGUCAUCCUGUGCGCUGAAAACUAAGUUCAUAUGCGCGAAGCAACACUUGUUAAUUUAAAAUAUUACCUUCUGUGCGGCUGUUUAUCAAAUCUGAGAGAUGGCAAGUCGUCGGCUUCAGAUCCCAUGCCACGAGUGCUGGGGUGUUCGGGAUAAAUUUGGGCACUCUUGUUCCCAUAUUUGGGUCCAUUGAGGGAGGCGCUCAACACAACGAACAAGGCAACCAGACUUAUAAUGCUUGAACACUCUCACUUAGCCAUAGAAUUCUAUAAUUUUAAAUUUCGGCGAAGCCCCUAGUUUUCGGAAGGCCGAAUUUGGGGCGCUAUCCACGCCUUGGCCGGACAGAAUCCGACUCCUCGCUCGAAGCGGCAUAAGUCUUUAGGGACUCGCAAAGAACCUCUCGAACAGCGACCAGCUCUCGCCUCAUCAUGACGGUCAAUUUUAGCUUUGUCCACUGAGGUGUUAACCCAGCUCAACUGGGGCGCAAUCGCAGUGGUUCUCCCAGUGCUACCUUAGCCGAUAAAACGGAACGUAAGGUACCAAAACAUGGGAGCCGGGCAAACCCAACUAUUGACCCAAGAACAUGAUUCGGAGCCGAUGCAUAUAAUGCUAUAAGUUCGGGGUGCCGCACUUGUGAAAGUGUUCGGACUUAUCACACCAUAACACGGGAAACAUAAGCCCCUAGUGUAUUUAGCCGUACCAAAACAUACGGAUGCAACAUGUCAUAGAUGAACAUAUGUGUAAGAAAGAAAUGCAAUUGGAAGGAAAAAUGUGCUGCAUUGCUUUAUUCAAAUAAAAACUGCUGUAAAUGCAGGACAAUACAAGUGGUGCGGUAAGCAAGGGAUGGGACUGUUUAACAUGUCCCCCUCCAGGGGUAGGCUACGGAAUAAUGCAUAAAACAUAUUUAAUGCUCAUAAUGGAGACCACCUGGAUUUUCGUUGUAGCCUUUCUCCUUCCCUGGCUGUUGUAUCGUGGAUUCGGCAUGUCUGCUGCCGGACAGGGCCUCUGACGAACGGAGUCCUGUAGGUAAAAAAUAAAAGGAAAAGAAAAAGAAACGGCACACUUAAGAGCCCCUGGUGCGGUUGAGCCGCAGUUUGGGCUUAUCGUGGUCGAGCCCCUUGCCCCAUGCCCAUGGCAUCUUCAGAGCGUAAUGGAGUACGUGAAGGGUCUGUCUUAAUGUUUUACAGGGGCUGGGGUUGGGGCCGCACUGCUACACGUGCUCGGAACGUGCCAGGUGGUCGUGUUGUAGGUUACUCCGGGCACGCUUAGCUGUGUCCGGCCGCUUGGCAGCCGGACUCGAGAAUUGCCUAAAAAGGCUGCUUUGUACUUCUGCCGCGAGAGCUGCUGUAUGUUCCUCCGUUCGGAGGGAGCAUUCAGUGUUUCCGUUGACGGUGAUGACUCCUCUAGAGCCUGGCAUCUUGAGCUUGAGGUAUGCGUAGUGCGGCACCGCGUUGAACUUUGCGAACGCGGUACGUCCGAGCAAGGCAUGAUAGCCGCUGCGGAACGGGACUAUGUCGAAGAUUAAAUCCUCGCUUCGGAAGUUAUCCGGGGAUCCGAAGACCACUUCCAGUGUAACUGAGCCUGUACAAUUGGCUUCUAGACCUGGUAUGACGCCUUUAAAGGUCGUCUUGGUAGGUUUAAUCCUUGAGGGGUCUAUGCCCAUUUUGCGCACCACGUCCGAUAAAGCAGGUUUAGGCUGCUGCCGCCGUCCAUCAGGACUCUGGUAAGAUGAAAUUCAUCGACGGUUGGGUCUAGAACCAAUGUGGCGAACCCACCAUGGCGAAUGCUGGUGGGGUGGUCCCUUCGGUCAAAGGUGAUCGGGCAAGAGGACCAUGGAUUGAACUUCGGGGCAACUGGCUCCAUCGCGUAUACAUCCCUGAGUGCACACUUCCGCUCCCUUUUGGGUAUGUGCGUGGCAUAUAUCAUGUUCACCAUCCGCACCUGUGGGGGGAAACCCUUCUAUCCUCUAUUGUUCGGCGGUCGGGUCUCUUCCUCGUCGUUGCUAUGUAGCCCCUUGUCGCUGUUUUCGGCAAUUAACUUGCCUGCCUGCUUGAACACCCAACAGUUCCUAUUGGUGUGGUUAGCUGGUUUUUCAGGGGUGCCAUGUAUCUGGCACAAGUGGUCGAGAAUUCGGUCCAAAUUGGACGGACCCUGAGUUGUUCUUUUGAAUGCCUUUUUCCAUUGACCGGGUGUAGAGCCUCUGAAUCCGGCAUUGACUGCCGUAUCCUCACUGUUAUCGCCGUUAAUGCGGUGUUUGUUUGUGUUGCGACGCGACCUGCCACUACGGUCCUUGAUAUCCGGACUGCCAGAAUUUUUGUUGAGGUUGUUGCUGCGUGCUAGCCAGCUGUCCUCACCCGCACAAAAGCGGGUCAUGAGUGAUGUAAGGGCUGCCAUGGAUUUUGGCUUUUCCUGUCCCAGGUGACGGGCAAGCCACUCGUCGCGGAUGUUAUGUUUGAAGGCCGCGAGGGCCUCGGCAUCCGGGCAGUCGACGAUUUGGUUUUUCUUGGUUAAGAACCGUGUCCAGAAUUGUCUGGCCGAUUCGUCUGGCUGCUGAAUUAUGUGGCUUAGGUCAUCUGCAUCUGGUGGUCGCACGUACGUGCCUUGGAAGUUAUCGAGGAAUGCGGCUUCUAGGUCCUCCCAACUUCCGAUUGACUCUGCUGGCAAGCUGUUAAGCCAGUGCCGGGCUGGUCCUUUAAGUUUGAGUGGGAGAUAUUUGAUGGCGUGGAGAUCGUCUCCGCGGGCCAUGUGGAUGUGGAGGAGAUAGUCCUCGAUCCAGACCGCGGGGUCUGUUGUGCCAUCAUAAGAUUCAAUAUUGACGGGUUUAAACCCUUCUGGGAUUUGAUGAUCCAUUACCUCAUCUGUGAAGCACAGUGGGUGUGCGGCGCCUCUGUACUGGGCGAUAUCGCGACGGAGCUCAAAAGAGCUUUGUCUGUUGUGUUCGGCCCGACCGGACUUAUUGUGUCCGGGGUGACGGUGAUCGUCACGUAUCGUGGGGCGCCCACGUGAUCCAUAGAUCGAUCUUGAUUGUUUUGCCUUAUCCUCCAAUAUGUCUCGCAGGUCCGGAGUGUUCCCCUGUGGCCUUGUGCUUUUCGAGCGAUGCCGGGGUACGGGUCUAGUGAAGGGCCUUGAGGCCUCUCUGUCACGACCACGGGGUGGUCGAUCAGCCGUAUUGUCUCCUGGUGAAGCGGGAUCAUAUGCCUCCACCUCUAAUCGGGGGAGCAGCUUACGUUUGGGGUAGCUUUUGGAGGGGCGUUCGAGUUCAUGCUCUUCGGCCGCGAGGACUUCGGUCCAUCUGUCGGCUAGAAGAUCUUGAUCAGCUCUAAGCUGCUGCUGCUUUUUCUUGAGGCUGUUUGCCGUGGCCAUAAGCCUGCGUUUGAAACGCUCCUGUUCGACGGGAUCCUCAGGCACGACGAAUUCGUCGUCGUCGAGGCUUGCCUCGUCUCCGGAGGGAGGCAUAUAGUCCUCUACCUCUUCUUCGGCCGCUCUCUCAUGAAGGCUGGCAUCCCCCUCCUCCUGUGCUGGAUCUUGCCGGAGUGGGUUGUCUUCGGCGCUAUCCGGUGUAUUAUUGUCUCCGGUGCCGGAAUCCUUGUUCUUGCUAUGGCGGGAUUUAGAGCGGCGCCGCUGACGUCGGCGCUUGGGCUGUUUUUGGAGGGGUCAUCCUCCGCUAUUCCUUCAACAUUCCCAUUCAUUGGGAUAUCCACCAUGUAUAUGUCGUAUGACGAGGUGGCUUUCCAGUGCCCGGUGGGCGCUGGUUCUUGGUCGUCUCCGGCAUCGUUGUCCAUACCGUCGAUGUCCUCAGAGUCGUAAUCUAGCAUGUCGGUUAGAUCGUCAACAGUGGCUACCAAGUGGGUGGUGGGUGGGCUCUAAAUUUCUUCGUCGUCCGCAUCCCAACCGUCCUGGCCGCAGUCCGGCCAGGCCUCUCCUGAUAACGAGAGGUACUUUAGCGAACUCAACAUGUCGCCAAAAGGUGAGUGUUGAAAGAUGUCCGCCGCGGUGAACUCCAUGAUCGGCGCCCAAUCGGAUUCGAUUGGAGGGGGCGCGGGAGGUCCGGAGUCUGGCACCUCGGAGUCACGAGCUUCAUGGGGGACAAGAUCGGUGUUCGGCUCUAUCGCCGUAGAGGUUGCAGCCCCCGAGGUGGUGUCUAGCCAUCCAUCCUUGGUCUACGCAGACGACUCCGAGUCGAAGAUCGGAGCGGGUUCGAGUGCGGCCUCCAGGGCACUGUCCGGCUGCAGAGCUAAAUCAUGCCCAUCGUGACAGUACGGCACGCUCGGCUGUGGCUCGAAUCCGUCGAGGAUCAAGUCUCCGCGGAUGUCAGCCAUGAAGUUCAAACUUCCAAAUCUGACCUGACGGCCAGGGGCGUAGCCUUCGAUCUGCUCCAGCUGGCCAAGCGAAUUGGCCCGCAGUGAGAAGCCCCGAAUAUGAAGAUCUGUCCGGGGAGGAAGGUCUCACCCUGGACUGCAUCGUCGUUGAUGAUUGAAGAAGCCAUCGAGCCUAUCGGUGACGACACAGAGGAACUCUCAAUGAAAGCACCAAUGUCGGUGUCAAAACCGGCGGAUCUCGGGUAGGGGGUCCCGAACUGUGCGUCUAGGCGGAUGGUAACAGGAGACGAGGGACACGAUGUUUUUACCCAGGUUCAGGCCCUCUUGAUGGAGGUAAAACCCUACGUCCUGCUUGAUUAAUAUUGAUGAUGUGGGUUACAAGAGUAGAUCUACCACGAGAUCAAGGAGGCUAAACCCUAGAAGCUAGCCUAUGGUAUGAUUGUUGUUCGUCCUAUGGACUAAAGCCAUCCGGUUUAUAUAGACACCAGAGAGGGCUAGGGUUACACAGAGUCGGUUACAAUGGUAGGAGAUCUACAUAUCCGUAUCGCCAAGCUUGCCUUCCACGCCAAGGAAAGUCCCAUCCAGACAUGGGAUGAAGUCUUCAAUCUUGUAUCUUCAUAGUCUUGGAGUCCGGCCGAUGAUGGUAGUUUGGCUAUCCGGACACCCCCUAGUCCGGGACUCCCUCACCAACCCAGACACGGGACGAAGUCUUCAAUCUUGUAUCUUCACAGUCCAACAGUUCGACACAAGUACAUAGUCCGGCUGUCCGAGGACCCCCUAAUCCAGGACUCCCUCAGUAGCCUAUGAACCAGGCUUCAAUGACGAUGAGUCCGGUGCACAGAUUGUCUUCGACAUUGCAAGGUGGGUUCUUCUCCAAAUCCCUGAGUACCUGUUGUAACAAGCAGUGUCCGACUUCCCAUUAAUGUUGCACUCCUCGGCUUCUGUACCUUAAUAAUGGUGGUCCCCAUGUGUCGAGCGAAUGUGAGAAGUCGGGGCAUUUUUACAUUUGCCACCCUGACUAUGUAAGUAAAUCUUCUAUUUAAAGAGACGAGGAUCCUCAGAUCCAAAUCACACCAUCUUUCCCACGCGAGGAUUCAACAGAGCGCGCCCGAAAAAACCAUCCCAUCAUGGCCGGCCGCCGCAGCUCCUCCUCUCACUCCCAUAGCGCUAAGCCAGGUGAUUGGGUGAAGUGCACCGUAUUCCACGGCCAGUUGGUGGAGUUGCAUACCCAAGGGUUCCUCCCGCGUGCAUAUCUUGUCCCCGUCCGAGCCGGAUCAGCCACUUACGAUGGCAGGGAGCAAGCAGAGAGUUUCCCCAACCCAUCCAGGGGGGAGCGUGUAUGCCUUGCCCCUUACUUGCUGAGGGGCCUCAGAUUUCCAAUCCAUCCGUUCCUCCAUGGGCUCCUGGAGUACUACGGCCUCCAGCUGCACAACUUCACUCCUGCCUCCAUACUGCACAUUGUAGGUUAUGUCACCCUCUGUGAGCUAUUUCUGGGCCGUGAAGCUCAUUUCGAGCUAUGGAGGAGGCUAUUCUGCCUCGUCCCUCGCAAUCAGGAGGGAUCAAUAUACCAAGUGGGUGGAGCCGAAAUAUGGCGCAUCACCGGGACCGGAUACCUAUCCGACACUCUGAAGAAGACAUCCGAAGACUGACCUUCGAAGUGGUUUUAUAUAGAGGACGUCCCUUCCGGACCCUAUCUGGAUGGGUCUUCCCGAGUUCACCAAUGCCCCACUAAAGAAACGCCGCAGCUGGCGUCCCCGGAGCCCCCAGGAGGAAGAUAGCAGAGAGGUCCUUUAUGUGAUGGGCAGGAUAAAAACGCUGGCCAAAUCCGGAUUGACAAUAAUUGAGGUUAUGUCAAUAUGCAUAAUGCGGGGGGUGCAGUCACUCCAGCAUCGAGGGCGUCCCAUGUGGUAUUUUAAUGGAGAAGACGAUGCCACCCGUUGCGGUCGGAAAGGUCCGUACUCCGCCACCGCCCUGGCAAAAAUAUUAUCCGAUUUGUAUAAAGGAGAAGAAGAGGAGUUCAUCCGCAUUAAGCCACGGGAUGGGUUUUCCAUGUACAACCCCCUAGCUGGGUGAGCUGCUAUCUUUUACUCAACUCUAUUCAUUCCCGCAUUCUUUCAUCAUAAAUAUUUACCUUGCUAGUUCAUAGCAGGAACUGCAAAAAUCUGUGAGGGAGGUUCACAGCCCGCCUCCACAGCCAGAGGACCACAGUCGGGCCCUCGACCCCGGACUUGAAGAAGAUCCAGACAUAUUUGUGGAGCUCGUCAACAUGAUGUUUUACCAGGCAAGCUGUGACAACGGCUUGGUGGCCAUCAUAGCCGACUAUCCUGGCCUACUCCCUGCAUCAUAUGUAAGUAAAACCAGAGUCCUAAUUUCCGAGAAGGAUCCCUUCUUUACGCCUUACCCACCGCACACGUAUUGCGCUUUAUAGGGAAGGCCAACGGGCGCCGUGCCGAACCCGUGGCGACUCACCAACAAGGGGCACCCAAGAUGGGUAGGCUUAAAAGGAAGGAGGUCAGGACCGAGACGCCAUCGCAGAGGUAUGAUUUAAAACAUGCUUCAUGAUUAUCGUCUUUGAGAUAUAACAAUGUCCAUUGUCCCCCGGCAGAAAAAGUAUGCACUAGACUGUAUCCGGAGAUCCUGCCGGCCACGCCUCCACAGGCCGGAUUCUAGAACCGGACUCAAGGGUGGAGGCUAACAUGGGGACAACUCCGGAAGGUCCCUGUCGGUGUCAAAACCGGCGGAUCUCGGGUAGGGGGUCCCGAACUAUGCGUCUAGGCGGAUGGUAACAGGAGACGAGGGACACGAUGUUUUUACCCAGGUUUGGUCCCUCUUGAUGGAGGUAAAACCCUACGUCCUGCUUGAUUAAUAUUGAUGAUGUGGGUUACAAGAGUAGAUCUACCACGAGAUCAAGGAGGCUAAACCCUAGAAGCUAGCCUAUGGUAUGAUUGUUGUUCGUCCUAUGGACUAAAGCCAUCUGGCUUAUAUAGACACCGGAGAGGGCUAGGGUUACACAGAGUCGGUUACAAUGGUAGGAGAUCUACAUAUCCGUAUCGCCAAGCUUGCCUUCCACGCCAAGGAAAGUCCCAUCCGGACAUGGGACGAAGUCUUCAAUCUUGCAUCUUCAUAGUCUUGGAGUCCGGCCGAUGAUGGUAGUUUGGCUAUUCGGACACCCCCUAGUCCGGGACUCCCUCAGUAGCCCCUGAACCAGGCUUCAAUGACGACGAGUUCGGCGCGCAUGUUGUCUUCGGCAUUGCAAGGCGGGUUCCUCCUCCGAAUAAUUUAUAGAAGAUUGUGAACACAAGGAUAGUGUCCGGCUCUGCAAAAUAAAUUCCACAUACAACCGUAGAGAGAAUAAUAUUACACAAGUUCAAUCUGCUGACGUAUUUUGUGGCGUAACGUCACACCACCACCAAGCCUUCAAAUUGUUUUUAUUGUUCCAUCUCAGCUCGUUUAGCGAGGCGGUUUCCUUGGCACAUCUUGUCGAAGCAGAGAUCGUGUUCCCCUUAUUCCGGGAUUCGCAUCAAUACGGACGUGGGUAACCCAACCGCGCCAUUGAUUGCAGCGCUUUGGAGAUAAGCGAGUUUUAUCAGGCCGGUGGGGACGCAUGUUUCCGUCCGCCCAUAUAAGGGGAUAAAGAUCCAACCUUUUUUACCUGCGCCUUCUUCCUCCUUGGCUUAUCCAUCUCUGCGAACUCGAGCUCUAGCGCCCAAGCCCGCACAUCUCACCUCAACCUUCUCCAAAUAUGUCCGGAGCGGGAGGCAAGUGGAUGGCCUCCUCCGUCACGGAGGGGCAUAUCCAGAAGCUGCGCAACGCCGGAUACUUGUCCAGCGACAUCGCGCAUCGGCUCGCUAACGAGGGAGAGCUCAUCCCCACCCCUAGGCCCCAUGAGAGGGUAGUAUUCCUUCCCCAUUUCCUCCGCGGACUGGCCUUCCCACUUCAUCCCUUUGUUCGGGCGAUCAUGUUCUACUGCGGCCUAGAUUACCAUGAUCUGGCCCCGAAUUUUAUCCUCAACAUCUCGGCGUUUAUCGUCGUGUGCGAGGCCUUCCUCUGCAUCCGGCCCCACUUCGGCUUGUGGCUCAAGACCUUCAGUGUCAAGCCGAAGGUUGUGAAGGGCAGCCAAGCGGAGUGCGGAGGCGCCAUGGUGGGCAGGAUGUCCCACGUUACGUGGCUGGAGGGUACUUUCGUGGAAACCAUUAAGGGGUGGCAAUCGGGGUGGUUCUACAUCACUGAGCCGCGUGACCCUGAUUGGGCAGCGGCCCCCGAAUUUAGAUCCGGUAUCCCUACAUGGCUCACCUCCUGGAAAGAGAGUGGCCGGAUCUGUGGGGAUUCGGAGGAGCUGACCGGACUCCAAGCCUGUAUCCAGAACCUGGUGGACAAGAAGUUCAAGCUUGUCAACGUAGUCCAGGUCAUGCUCAUCCGCCGGAUUCUCCCGUGCCAACGACGGGGCUUCAACAUGUGGGAGUUUGAUCCGGCGCAGCACCAAACUUUGAAUGGGCUCUUCGACACUACGUACGAAGAGGUCUGGAAGGUGCUGUUCAAGGGUGCCGAGGCUCCCGCAUCCGCUACCGAAGAUUGCGGAUUCAGCUCGCAGCGUCCAGCUGACGAGGUGAGUGAUAUUGUCCUUUAUGGGACGCUUGUUAUUCAUAGUUUGACUCUAUGCGGGAUCUAAACUCCCUUUCCUUUGAUAGGACUGGCUGAAGAAGGCCGCACAGGCUAUCUGUCUGGCCCCAUUGCCAGAGGACCCAGCUGACGCCCGCCUAACGGGACUGCUGGCUCCGGCACCCCACGUGGUGCCGGAGAAGAAGGCCAAGAAGAAGGCCACGGGGACUCCGAAGAGUUCCCGUUUUCAGGUGCUAUCGGACGAUGAAUCCGAGGCCGACUCCUCCCACCAAGGCGAGGAGGAGAAGAAGAAAGCCUCUCCCCUAGCGGGGGGAGGGAAGAAAAGGAAGGCCUCCUCAACAAGGGAGGCCGAAGGGUCCAAGAGGGGAAAAACUCUUCCCCCGGACUGUUCCGCCAGUGCCAGUGACGACGACGAGGACUGGCCUCCAAGGGCCAAGCCUCUGGUGAGAUCGUAAGUAUCCGGACUCCCGAAUAACUUCAAGGUUUUCGUUUUCCGCCACAUUAUGUCUUUCUAAUGCCGCAUACAACCCUGCAGUCCGCCUAAGGAUGAUCUCCCCACUUCGUCGAGCGGGUCCUUAGGGCGUCAGAUAUGUAUUCUCUUCGGACUGCCUCCACCCCCCGUGAUGCGGACGAUGCCGAGGUGGGAUCCCAGGAAGGGACCCACCAGGAGGAGAGGGCCCCGGAGGUGUCGCAGGACAACCUCCCGGACUUUGCACCGGACUUAGCCCCGGAACCCAUAGUGGCUCCGGAGUCCAGCGGGCGAUCCCUUCGUAAGAAGGGCAAGACCGCGACGCCGGCUGCCUCCGUCCAACCGGAGGUGCCGGAUAAUUUGCUAGAGGCGCUCAAUAGCGCCUCUUUUAAAGAGGAACACCGCACUGUUAUGAGUGCGGUGAUUCAGAAAGUUCAGCUCGCCAAGAACGGGCUGACUGAAGCCUGCAGCAGCCUUCUAACAGGCUUUGAGGUAAGAAUUUCAAUAUAUGUAAAAUGGUACUGCAUAGACAGUAGCCCCUGAUGCUCGGUUCGGUGUUCGGAAAGAAAAGCUGGACUGAGGAUCUUUAGAAAGAUAAACGUAGGAGUCAUGAAAAUAUGUCAAUAUGGGAUUGCAGGCUGUGCUCCUGACCUCUGCCGCACUGACUGCGGAGGUCAAAACUUUGAAGGAAAACCUCAAGCGGUCCGAGAACGAGCUCGGCCAUGCCAAGAAGCAGCUCGAGGAAAAAGAAGGUGAGUAAUACCUUAUGAAAAUUGUACCUUACAGAAAAGGAUUUGGUUGCAAGAAAAAUGACAAGGAUAACUGGGGUAUUGCAGGGGCCUCUAACGAGGUGGCGACCCUGAAGGAGGCGGUGGCCGUGGCCGAACGCAAUGCGGCUGCGGAGCGCAUUGAGCAAGAGAAACAGGAGGCGCGGGUGGCGGAGGUACAACAAGAGCUCCAGGAUCUCGUGAGGAAACAUGAGAGCCUGGAGCGUGACUCAAAGACUCGAGAGUCUGAGCUUGCAAAGGCUCUUGAGAAUGCCAAAGCCGCUAAGGCCGAAGCCUACAAGGCCCUCCAGGAGAUCGAGGCGGUAAAGAAAAUAGCAGCGAGUAAGGCAUUUUUCAUGCAAAGUAAGCAUGUGAGUGUUAAUUACCUGUCGCUUACCGGAAUUCGGAGCUCUCCAGGAGCGUUCGCAGAUCUUCCUCGCAGUGUGUCCGAUGCUUCCGCAUUUUACCGGGCCGAGGAGGGGAGCUCGACGGAGAAGGUCUUCUGGUCUCAGUAUGCUGAGGCCGAACAUCCGGUGCCCCUUAGCGACCAGCUGAAGCAGCUGGUCGAGCUCCACAAGGCGGCCGAACAAGCCAUGAAGGGCCUCAUAGUUCGGCUGUGGCCUAAGGAGGCCAUGCCUGGGAGCUACUUCGGCCUGGUGUGGCGGCUGGUGGAUGCGUGCCUAUGGGUUGAAGUCAUCAAGCACUCCGCCUGUAUUGAAGGUGCCCAUCGGGCCCUUGCCCGCGCAAAGGUGCACUGGGGCAAGAUGGAUGCCCAGAAGCUUGUGACGGACCCACCACCAGAGGGCAAGGAGCAUCGCACGCCCGAGAUGUAUUAUAGGAGUGUGCUGAAGGGUGCCCGCAUUAUUGCGGGUGAGUGCUCCAAAGAAGAAGUUUUUGAGUAGACUCGCGUUUUGUUAUCCCGUGCGCUGAAAACUAAGUUCAUAUGCGCGAAGCAACGCUUGUUAAUUUAAAAUAUUACCUUCUGUGCGGCUGUUUAUCAAAUCUGAGAGAUGGCAAGUCAUCGGCUUCAGCCCCCAUGCCACGAGUGCUGGGGUGUUCGGGAUAAAUUUGGGCACUCUUGUUCCCAUAUUUGGGUCCAUCGAGGGAGGCGCUCAACACAACGAACAAGGCAACCGGACUUAUAAUGCUUGAACACUCUCACUUAGCCAUAGAAUUCUAUAAUUUUAAAUUUCGGCGAAGCCCCUAGUUUUCGGAAGGCCGAAUUUGGGGCGCUAUCCACGCCUCGGCCGGACGGAAUCCGGCUCCUCGCUCGAAGCGGCAUAAGUCUUUAGGGACUCGCAAAGAACCUCUCGAACAGCGACCAGCUCUCGCCUCAUCAUGAUGGUCAGUUUUAGCUUUCUCCACUGAGGCGUUAACCCAGCUAAACUGGGGUGCAAUCGUAGUGGUUCUCCCAGUGCUUACUUAGCCGAUAAAACUGAACGUAAGGUACCAAAACAUGGGAGCCGGGCAAACCCAACUAUUGACCCAAGAACAUGAUUCGGAGCCGAUGCAUAUAAUGCUAUAAGUUCGGGGUGCCACACUUGUGAAAGUGUUCAGACUUAUCACACCAUAACGCGGGAAACAUAAGCCCCUGGUGUAUUUAGCCGUACCAAAAUGUACGGAUGCAACAUGUCAUAGAUGAACUUAUGUGUAAGAAAGAAAUGCAAUUGGAAGCAAAAAUGUGCUGCAUUGCUUUAUUCAAAUAAAAACUGCUGUAAGUGCAGGACGAUACAAGUGGUGCGGUAAGCAAGGGAUGGGACUGUUUAACAUGUCCCCCUCCAGGGGUAGGCUACGGAAUAAUGCAUAAAACAGGUUUAAUGCUCAUAAUGGAGACCACCUGGAUUUUCGUUGUAGCCUUUCUCCUUCCCUGGAUGUUGUAUCGUGGGUUCGGCAUGUCUGCUGCCGGACAGGGCCUCUGACGAACGGAGUCCUGUAGGUAAAAUAUAAAAGGAAAAGGAAAAGAAACGACACACUUAAGAGCCCCUAGGGCGGUUGAGCCGCAGUUUGGGCUUAUCGUGGUCGAGCCCCUUGCCCCAUGCCCAUGGUAUCUUCAGAGCGUAAUGGAGUACGCGAAGGGUCUGUCUUAAUGUUUUACAGGGGCUGGGGUUGGGGCCGCACUGCUACGCGUGCUCGGAACGUGCCAGGUGGUCGUGUUGUAGGUUACUCCAGGCACGCUUAGCUGUGUCCGGCCGCUUGGCAGUCGGACUCGAGAAUUGCCUAAAAAGGCUGCUUUGUACUUCUGCCGCGAGAGCCGCUGUAUGUUCCUCCGUUCGGAGGGAGCGUUCAGUGUUUCCAUUGACCGUGAUGACUCCUCUAGGGCCUGGCAUCUUGAGCUUGAGGUAUGCGUAGUGCGGCACCGCGUUGAACUUUGCGAACGUGGUACGUCCGAGCAAGGCAUGAUAGCCGCUGCGGAAUGGGACUAUGUCGAAGAUUAACUCCUCGCUUCGGAAGUUAUCCGGGGAUCUGAAGACCACUUCCAGUGUAACUGAGCCUGUACAAUUGGCUUCUACACCUGGUAUGACGCCUUUAAAGGUUGUCUUGGUAGGUUUAAUCCUUGAGGGGUCUAUGCCCAUUUUGCACACCGUGUCCUGAUAAAGCAGGUUUUGGCUGCUGCCGCCGUCCAUCAGGACUCUGGUAAGAUGAAAUCCAUCGACGAUUGGGUCUAGAACCAAUGCGGUGAACCCACCAUGGCGAAUGCUGGUGGGGUGGUACCUUCGGUCAAAGGUGAUCGGGCAAGAGGACCAUGGAUUGAACUUCGGGGCAACUGGCUCCAUCGCGUAUACAUCCCUGAGUGCAGGCUUCCGCUCCCUUCUGGGUAUGUGCGUGGCAUAUAUCAUGUUCACCGUCCGCACCUGUGGGGGGAAACCCUUCUAUCCUCUAUUGUUCGGCGGUCGGGUCUCUUCCUCAUCGUCGCUAUGUAGCCCCUUGUCGCUGUUUUCGGCAAUUAACUUGCCUGCCUGCUUGAACACCCAACAGUCCCUAUUGGUGUGGUUAGCUGGAUUUUCAGGGGUGCCAUGUAUCUGGCACAAGCGGUCGAGAAUCCGGUCCAAAUUGGACGGACCCUGAGUUGUUCUUUUGAAUGGAUUUUUCCGUUGACCGGGUUUAGAGCCUCUGAAUCUGGCAUUGACUGCCGUAUCCUCACUGUUAUCGCCGUUAAUGCGACGUUUGUUUUUGUUGCGACGCGACCUGCCAGUACGGUCCUUGAUAUCCGGACUGCCAGAAUUUUUGUUGAGGUUGUUGCUGCAUGCUAGCCAGCUGUCCUCACCCGCACAGAAGCGGGUCAUGAGUGAUGUAAGGGCUGCCAUGGAUUUUGGCUUUUCUUGUCCCAGGUGCCGGGCAAGCCACUCGUCGCGGAUGUUAUGUUUGAAGGCCGUGAGGGCCUCGGCAUCCGGACAGUCGACGAUUUGGUUUUUCUUGGUUAAGAACCGUGUCCAGAAUUGUCUGGCCGAUUCAUCUGCCUGCUGAAUUAUGUGGCUUAGGUCAUCUGCAUCUGGUGGUCGCACGUAUGUGCCUUGGAAGUUAUCGAGGAAUGCGGCUUCCAGGUCCUCCCAACUCCCGAUUGACUCUGCUGGCAAGCUGUUAAGCCAGUGCCAGGCUGGUCCUUUAAGUUUGAGUGGGAGAUAUUUGAUGGCGUGGAGAUCGUCUCCGUGGGCCAUGUGGAUGUGGAGGAGAUAGUCCUCGAUCCAGACCGCGGGGUCUGUUGUGCCAUCAUAAGAUUCAAUAUUGACAGGUUUAAACCCUUCUGGGAUUUGAUGAUCAUUUACCUCAUCUGUGAAGCAUAGUGGGUGUGCGGCGCCUCUGUACUGGGCGAUAUCGCGAUGGAGCUCAAAAGAGCUUUGUCUGUUGUGUUCGGCCCGGCCGGACUUACUGUGUCCGGGGUGACGGUGAUCGUCACGUAUCGUGGGGCGCCCACAUGAUCCAUAGGUCGAUCUUGAUUGUCUUGCCUUAUCCUCCAAUAUUUCUCGCAGGUCCGGAGUGUUCCCCUGUGGCCUUGUGCUUUUCGAGCGAUGCCGGGGUACGGGUCUAGUGAAGGGCCUGGAGGCCUCUCUGUCGUGACCACGGGGUGGUCGAUCAGCCGUAUUGUCUCCUGGUGAAGCGGGAUCAUAUGCCUCCACCUCUAAUCGGGGGAGCAGCUUACAUUUGGGGUAGCUUUUGGAGGGGCGUUCGAGUUCAUGCUCUUCGGCCGCGAGGACUUUGGUCCAUCUGUCGGCUAGCAGAUCUUGAUCAGCUCUAAGCUGCUGCUGCUUUUUCUUGAGGCUGUUUGCCGUGGCCAUAAGCCUGCGUUUGAAACGCUCCUGUUCGACGAGAUCCUCAGGCACGACGAAUUCGUCGUCGUCGAGGCUUGCCUCGUCUCUGGAGGGAGGCAUAUAGUCCUCUACCUCUUCUUCAGCCGCUCUCUCAUGAGGUCUGGCGUCCCCCUCCUCCUGUGCUGGAUCUUUCUGGAGUGGGUUGUCUUCGGCGCUAUCCGGUGUAUUAUUGUCUCCGGUGCCGGAAUCCUCAUUCUUGCUAUGGCGGGAUUUAGAGCGGCGCCGCUGACGCCGACGCUUGGGCUGUUUCUUGGAGGGGUCAUCCUCCGCUAUUCCUUCGCUAUUCCCAUCCUUUGGGAUAUCCACCACGUAUAUGUCGUAUGAAGAGGUGGCUUUCCAGUGCCCGGUGGGCGCUGGUUCUUGGUCGUCUCCGUCAUCGUCGUCCAUACCGUCGAUGUCCUCAGAGUCAUAAUCUAGCAUGUCGGUUAGAUCAUCGACAGUGGCUACCAAGUGGGUGGUGGGUGGGCUCUGAAUUUCUUUGUCGUCCGCAUCCCAACCGUCCUGGCCGCAGUCCGGCCAGGCCUCUCCUGAUAACGAGAGGUACUUUAGCGAACUCAAGAUGUCAUGAAAAGGUGAGUGUUGAAAGAUGUCCGCCGCGGUGAACUCCAAGAUCGGCGCCCAAUCGGAUUCGACUGGAGGGGGCGCGGGAUGUCUGGAGUCCGGCAAGGAGUCCGGCACCUCGGAGUCACGAGCUUUAUGGGGGACAAGAUCGAUGUUCGGCUCUAUCGCCGUAGAGGUUGCAGCCCCCGAGGUGGUGUCUAGCCAUCCAUCCUUGGUCUGCGCAGCCGGCUCCGAGUCGAAGAUCGGAGCGGGUUCGAGUGCGGCCUCCAGGGUACUGUCCGGCUGCAGAGCUAAAUCAUGCCCAUCGUGACAGUACGGCACGCUCGGCUGUGGCUCGAAUCCGUCGAGGAUCAAGUCCCCGCGGAUGUCAGCCGUGAAGUUCAAACUUCCAAAUCUGACCUGACGGCCAGGGGCAUAGCCUUCGAUCUGCUCCAGCUGGCCAAGCGAAUUGGCCCGCAGUGCGAAGCCGCCGAAUAUGAAGAUCUGUCCGAGGAGGAAGGUCUCACCCUGGACUGCAUCGUCGUUGAUGAUCGAAGAAGCCAUCGAGCCUAUCGGUGACGACACAUAGGAACUCUCAAUGAAAGCACCAAUGUCGGUGUCAAAACCGGCGGAUCUCGGGUAGGGGGUCCCGAACUGUGCGUCUAGGCGGAUGGUAACAGGAGACGAGGGACAUGAUGUUUUUACCCAGGUUCGGGCCCUCUUGAUGGAGGUAAAACCCUACGUCCUGCUUGAUUAAUAUUGAUGAUGUGGGUUACAAGAGUAGAUCUACCACGAGAUCAAGGAGGCUAAACCCUAGAAGCUAGCCUAUGGUAUGAUUGUUGUUCGUCCUAUGGACUAAAGCCAUCCGGUUUAUAUAGACACCGGAGAGGGCUAGGGUUAAACAGAGUCGGUUACAAUGGUAGGAGAUCUACAUAUCCGUAUCGCCAAGCUUGCCUUCCACGCCAAGGAAAGUCCCAUCCGGACAUGGGACGAAGUCUUCAAUCUUGUAUCCUCAUAGUCUUGGAGUCCGACCGAUGAUGGUAGUUCGGCUAUCCGGACACCCCCUAGUCCGAGACUCCCUCAGCCCCCCUACAGAGGAUGCGGAUAGAAUAUCCGCUACCAAUUCCGAAGUGGAAAGCGCUAUGAAUCACUGGCAUCGACGGGCCGUACUCUGCGACCCUAACUUCUCCGAAGAGGCGCUCAAUGCCUUCAACUCGGGAGACACGUACAUCUGAGCUGCUCAAGGUGGGCUUGCUAGAGCCACAGACCAGUAUUUAAAGGAUAUACGGGUAAGAAAAAUCUAAUAAUUAUGUAAUCAGUAGCUCCUGAGACUUGAAACAAUUGGCACAACUUAUUUAAGGAUCAUUGUAUGAAUAGGUUCUUACAGAGAAGAACACCCAUUUGUCUCAAGAGCUGGAGCAGUGCAAAGCCCAGCUGAGGGCCGCAGUUGCCGGAAUGGAGGAAUCCAAGAAGGCCUCAUCUGGUAAUACUUGUCUCGAUAAAAAAGAAUGUAAGUACGUGUACCAGUUAGUAUUUGACAUGCUUGCGAAUCUAACAAUAGAUUCUGCAGGCAAUCCCGGAGUGGAUCCGGAGAUUGUACAAGAGGAUGAGCAAUGAGCUCAAUGACAGCUAGAGGCUGGCGAGCGCGUGCUUACACGGGUUAGGCGAGAGAAAAACGAUCUCCAGGAUGCCAAUACCCGGCUGGGCAUUGAAUUGGAAGAUGUUCGGGCCCAGCUUGCUGACUCCGUGAAGGAGAAUAAGAGGCUUCGACGCAGCAUUUUUAGUAUGUGCUCAAACGAACCUUUAUAUAGUUCGGCGAAGAAACGGGCUAAUAGAGUUAUGUCUGUAGGUAUGCUGACGGGUAGUCCCGAAGAGGAGAUGCUCGGCUCCGCAGGCGAUCUUCUGCAAGAGCUUUCACAACUGCAUGAACAAGUUCGGCAAGUGAUGCAGGGUAUUGCCCAUGCCUUGUGGCCGUCCGCCUCCCUGCCAGGAAGCAUGGGGGAGCUUGUAGAGCUGGUCAAGGGAGCGCGGCGGUGCUUCCGAUUAUGGAAGAUAUCGGCCUACCGACAAGGUGCGAGGGAAGCCUGGGCCAUGGUGAAAAUGCGGUACACCAAGGUUUAUCCGAAUCACAUGGCCCUGGUCGGACCUAUAGGGUCAGAUGGGAAAGAGAUUCCCGUUAGUCUGGUAUAUGACCAGGUAGGAUUAGCCGCAAAGUAUUCCCAAUAGGAUUGUAGGCUAGACAGCCUGUUGGAUGGUAUUGAAGAAGAAUUUAGCCAGUCUAAGUGACUGUGUACUUCAAUUGACAUAUUUGUCCCUAGCCGGAUUGUAAAUCAUUUGUCAUGGCGGACCUUUUCGCUUCAAUCUGCGGACCCGACAGUCCGGAGUGUAUCCGAAUACCCGCUCAGUUAUGUAAACCGGGGUACGCGUGGAAACCAGGCGUAGGGGUCAUAAGUGCUUGAACAGACAAGUACCCAACUAGCUAUGUUAUAUUACAUGGAUAGUAAGAAACAUCUUUCAGGGAGAAUAGUUCCGUUAAGGGUUCCUUUCCCUAGCUACGCAUGCAUUAAUGUGCAUGUCCGAACGGCGAACAGAGACGCAGGAUAUGAAACAUCUGGGGGUUUAUAUUGUAAUAGGUAAGAAACAUCUUUUGUUCGCCGACCGAAUAUUCCCUUAAGAAUGCUAGCUUUCGGCUUCACCCAGUCUGAGGUACAUGUCCGGCAGACCCGACAGUAACAAUCACAGAGGUGCUCCCCUUAUGCCCUAGACAAACUAACGAGAACGUAGGGCAUAAACACAGGAGCCAGGCAACCCAACUUGGCCAAAACUUAAGUCAUAUCGAUGCAUAUAAUGGCGAACAAAAGGUAUAUCUGGGAAAGUGACACAUAUGUAGUGGGCCUAAAGCCCGGAAGACAAUUAUAUUAAGCUUCUGUAUAAGAAGCCCCCAGGUAUAAGGAGCGCACAUAGCGCGUCAAGAUUGUGUAGUAGAGUCACACUCGAAGCUUUUUAGGGCCAUAAAAAAGAAAGAAAGAAAGAGGAUAUAAAAAAGGGCGGAGGUAAGGAGACGAACACAGAGUUCGGCGCUAGGCGUAGAAUCUUCGUAGUCUGGCCGCGUUCCAUGGAUUCGGCUUGAGUCGAUUAUCUGAUGCAUCACGCAGGUGGUACGCUCCUCUGGUGAGAACUUUAUUAAUGAUGAAGGGACCCUCCCACUUGGGCUUGAGCUUGUCCUUUUUCUUCUCCGGUAGGUGUAGAACGAGUUCGCCAACGUUAUAAGUUUUGGCCCGUACUUCUCUGCUUUGAUACCUUCGAGCAUGUUGCUGAUAGAAUGCGGAACGGGCUUUGGCGACAUCGCGCUCCUCCUCCAGGGCAUCUAGACUGUCCUGCCGAUCAAGCUCGGCUUCUCUCUCUUCAUACAUGCGCACUCGGGGUGAGUCAUGAAUGAUAUCUCAGGGCAAUACCGCCUCUGCGCCAUACACCAUGAAGAAUGCUGUGUAUCCGGUAGUGUGAUUCGGCGUGGUCCGCAGUCCCCAUAGUAUGGAGUCGAGCUCCUCAACCCAGUGCGUAUCUGAUUCCUUCAAGGAUCGCACUAGUCUGGGUUUUAUGCCGCUCAUAAUAAGACCAUUUGCUCGUUCGACUUGACCAUUUGUUUAGGGGUGAUAGACGGAGGCGUAAUCGAGCUUAAUGCCCAUGUCGCCGCACCAAGUUUUCACCUUGCCGGCUGUGAAGUUGGAGCCAUUAUCGGUGAUGAUGCUGUGGGGGACACCGUAACGGUGUACAACCCCUGAUAUGAAGUCUAUCACUGGUCUGGAUUCGUCCGUUUUAACCGGUUUGGCCUCUAUCCAUUUGGUGAAUUUAUCUACCAUGACCAAUAGGUAGUUUUUCUUAUGGCUUUCUCCUUUAAGGGGUCCGACCAUAUCGAGCCCCCAGACCGCAAAGGGCCAAGUUAUGGGGAUUGUUUGGAGAGCCGUAGGUGGCAUAUGGCUUUGGUUUGCGAAAAGCUGGCAACCGACACAAUGUUGGAUGAGGUCCUGUGCGUCUGCUUGGGCUGUCGGCCAGUAGAAACCUAUACGGAAGGGCUUGCUUACAAGGGCCCGAGCUGCGGCAUGGUGGCCGCCGAGUCCAACAUGAAUUUAGGCUAAGAGCUGCCGCCCUUCCUCUUCAGAGAUGCAUCUUUGGAGUACUCCGGUAGCGCUUUUCUUAUAAAGCUCUCCCUCGUGGACCUUGUAGGUUUUAGAGCACCGCACAAUGCAAUGUGCCUCAUUUUGGUCCUCAGGGAGUUCUUGCCUAUUUAGGUAGGCUAAGAAGGGUUCUGUCCACGGGGCGAUGAUAGCCAUGAUCACGUGGGUCGAAGGUGUUAUUUCGGUGGUGGAGCCUCCGAUUAUGUCAGUGUGUUCGGGAUCUGGGGUUGUGGUCGGAUCCGGACUAGUAUUGCCGGUCUCCCCUUGGCACACCACGGAUGGCUUGAACAGCCUUUCCAAGAAGAUAUUAGGUGGGACAGGGUCGCGCUUAGCACCAAUGCGGGCGAGGAUUUCCGCCGUUUGAUUGUUUUCUCGGACCACAUGAUGGAAUUCGAGCCCCUCGAAUCGAGCUGACAUCUUGAGGAUGGCAUUGCGGUAAGCCGCCAUUUUCGAGUCCUUGGCGUCAAAGUCUCCAUUUAUUUGAGAUAUUGCGAGGUUCGAAUCCCCACGCACCUCUAGGCAUUGAAUGCCCAAGGAGACCGCCAUCCGAAGACCAUGCAAUAGAGCCUCGUAUUCGGCUGCAUUAUUGGAGUCUGUGUAUAGUAUUUGGAGUAUGUAUUGGACUGCAUCUCCGGUGGGGGAUGUCAGGACAACGCCCGCUCCCAGACCAGCCAGCACCUUAGAGCCGUCAAAGUGCAUGAUCCAAUUAGUGUAUACGCCAUCCUCUUUAGGGAGUUCGGCUUCUGUCCAUUCGGCGAUGAAGUCAGCCAGUACUUGCAACUUAAUGGCUCCCCAUGGUUUACAUAUAAUGUCGAACGGGAGGAGCUCGAUGGCCCACUUAGCAAUCCGGCCCGUGGCAUCGCGGUUAUUUAUUAUAUCGUUGAGUGGUACUUCCGAGGCCACCGUGAUUGAACACUCUUGAAAGUAGUGUCGUAGUUUCCGGGAUGCCAUGAAGACCGCGUAUGCUAUCUUUUGAUAAUUUGGGUACCAUGACUUGCAUGGUGUGAGGACAAUGGAUACGUAGUAUACCGGCUUUUUAAGCGGGAACUUAUGUCCGUCCUCCUCUCAUUCGACGACCAACACUGCCAUUACAACUUGGUGCGUUGUAGCUAUAUAUAACAGCAUGGGUUCGCUGAUGUUUGGUGCAGCCAGGAUUGGAUUGCUGGCCAAGAGGGCCUUUAUUUCUUCCAGUCUGACCGUAGCCGCAUCCGUCCACUCGAAGUGUUCGGUGCGUCGAAGAAGGCGAUAGAGGGGUAGUGCCUUUUCUCCCAAUUGGGAAAUAAAGCGGCUUAAGGCAGCCGCACAUCCAGUUAAUUUCUGGAUUUGCUUGAGGUCUGUUGGGGUAGCCAACUGUGACAGAGCUCGAAUUUUAGCCGAAUUUGCUUGAAUUCCUCUAUUGGAAACUAAGAAGCCUAGGAGCUUUCCGGCAGGAAUGCCGAAAACGCAUUUUUCCAGAUUGAGCUGAAGGAAAUAUGCCCUAGAGGCAAUAAUAAAGUUAUUAUUUAUUUCCUCAUAUCAUGAUAAAUGUUUAUUAUUCAUGCUAGAAUUGUAUUAACCGGAAACAUAAUACAUGUGUGAAUACAUAGACAAACUUAAUGUCACUAGUAUGCCUCUACUUGACUAGCUCAUUAAUCAAUGAUGGUUAUGUUUCCUAACCAUAGACAUGUGUUGUCAUUUGAUUAACGGGAUCACAUCAUUAGGAGAAUGAUGUGAUUGACUUGACCCAUUCCAUUAGCCUAGCACUUGAUCGUUUAGUAUGUUGCUAUUGCUUUCUUCAUGACAUAUACAAAGUUCCUACAACUAUGAGAUUAUGCAACUCCCGUUUACCGGAAGAACACUUUGUGUGCUACCAAACGUCACAACGUAACUGGGUGAUUAUAAAGGAGCUCUACAGGUGUCUCCGAAGGUACAUGUUGGGUUGGCGUAUUUCGAGAUUAGGAUUUGUCACUCCGAUUGUCGGAGAGGUAUCUCUGGGCCCUCUCGGUAAUGCACAUCACUAUAAGCCUUGCAAGCAAUGUAGCUAAUGAGUUAGUUACAGAAUGAUGCAUUACGUAACGAGUAAAGAGACUUGCCGGUAACGAGAUUGAACUAGGUAUUGGAUACCGACGAUCGAAUCUCGGGCAAGUAACAUACCGAUGACAAAGGGAACAACGUAUGUUGUUAUGCGGUUUGACUGAUAAAGAUCUUUGUAGAAUAUGUAGGAGCCAAUAUGAGCAUCUAGGUUCCGCUAUUGGUUAUUGACCGGAAACAGUUCUAGGUCAUGUCUACAUAGUUCUCGAACCCGUAGGGUCCGCACGCUUAAUGUUACGAUGACCGUUUUAUUAUGAGUUUAUAAGUUUUGAUGUACCGAAGAUUGCUCGGAGUCCCGGAUGUGAUCACGGACAUGACGAGGAGUCUCGAAAUGGUCGAGACAUAAAGAUUGAUAUAUUGGAAGCCUAUAUUUGGAUAUUGGAAACGUUCUGGGUGAAAUCGGAAUUUUACCGGAGUACCGGGGGGUUACCGGAACCCCCCGGGGGUUAAUGGGCCUACAUGGGCCAUGAGGGAGAAGAGGAGGGCCGGCCAGGGUAGGCUGCACGCCCCCUCCCCCCUAGUCCGAAAAGGACAAGGAAAGGGGGGGCGGCGCCCCCCUUUCCUCUUUCCCCUCCCCCCUUUCCUUCUCCACCAAGGCAAGAGGGGGGAGUCCUACUCCCAGUGGGAGUAGGACUCCUCCAGGCGCACCCCUAGGGGGCCGGCCGCACUUCCCCCUCCCUCCUUUAUAUACAGGGGCAGGGGGGCACCCCAUGACACACAAGUUUAUCAUCAUGAUCGUUCCUUAGCCGUGUGCGGUGCCCCCCUCCACCAUAUUCCACCUCGGUCAUAUCGUUGCGGUGCUUAGGCGAAGCCCUGCGUUGGUAGAACAUCAUCAUAGUCACCAAGCCAUCGUGCUGACAGAACUCAUCUCCGACACCUUGCUGGAUCGGAGUCCGGGGAUCGUCAUCGAGCUGAACGUGUGCUGAACUCGGAGGUGCCGUAUGUUCGGUGCUUGGAUCGGUCAGAUCGUGAAGACGUACGACUACAUCAACCACAUUGUCAUAACGCUUCCGCUUACGGUCUACGAGGGUACGUGGACAACACUCUCCCCUCUCGUUGCUAUGCAUCACCAUGAUCUUGCGUGUGCAUAGGAAUUUUUUUGAAAUUACUAUGUUCCCCAAUAGUGGCAUCCGAGCCUGGUUUUAUGCGUAGAUGUUAUAUGCAUGAGUAGAACACAAGUGAGUUGUGGGUGAUAUAAGUCAUACUGCUUACCAGCAUGUCAUACUUUGGUUCAGCGGCAUUGUGAGAUGAAGCGGCCCGGACCGACAUUACGCGUACGCUUACGCGAGACUGGUUUCACCGCUACGAGCACUCGUUGCUUAAAGGUGACCGGCGGGUGUCUGUCUCUCUCACUUUAGUUGAACUGAGUAUGGCUACGCCCGGUCCUUGCGAAGGUUAAAACUACACCAACUUGACAAACUAUCGUUGUGGUUUUGAUGCGUAGGUAAGAACGGUUCUUGCUCAGCCCGUAGCAGCCACGUAAAACUUGCAACAACAAAGUAGAGGACGUCUAACUUGUUUUUGCAGGGCAUGUUGUGAUGUGAUACGGUCAAGACAUGAUGCUUUAUUUUACUCUAUGAGAUGAUCAUGUUUUGUAACCGAAGUUAUUGGCAACUGGCAGGAGCCAUAUGGUUGUCGCUUUAUUAUAUGAAAUGCAAAUGCCCUAUAAUUGCUUUACUUUAUCACUAAGCGAUAGCGAUAGUCGUAGAAGCAAUAGAUGGCGUAACGACAACGAUGCUACGAUGGAGAUCAAGGUGUCGCGCCGGUGAUGAUGGUGAUCACGAUGGUGCUUCGGAGAUGGAGAUCACAAGCACAAGAUGAUGAUGGCCAUAUCAUAUCACUUAUAUUGAUUGCAUGUGAUGUUUAUCCUUUAUGCAUCUUAUCUUGCUUUGAUUGACGGUAGAAUUUUAAGAUGAUCUCUCACUAAAUUAUCAAGAAGUGUUCUCCCUGAGUAUGCACCAUUGCAAAAGUUCUUCGUGCUGAGACACCACAUGAUGAUCGGGUGUGAUAGGCUCUACGUUCAAAUACAACGGGUGUAAAACAGUUGCACACGCGGAAUACUCAGGUUAAACUUGACGAGCCUAGCAUAUACAGAUAUGGCCUCGGAACACGGAGACCGAAAGGUCGAACGUGAAUCAUAUAGUAGAUAUGAUUAACAUAGUGAUGUUCACCAUUGAAACUACUCCAUCUCACGUGAUGAUCGGACAUGGUUUAGUUAAUUUGGAUCACGUUAUCACUUAGAUGACUAGAGAGAUGUCUGUCUAAGUGGGAGUUCUUAAGUAAUAUGAUUAAUUGAACUUAAAUUUAUCAUGAACUUAGUACCUGAUAGUAUUUUGCUUGUCUAUGUUUGAUGUAGAUAGAUGGCUCGUGCUGUUGUUCCAUUGAAUUUUAAUGCGUUCCUUGAGAAAGCUAAGUUGAAAGAUGAUGGUAGCAAUUACAUGGACUGGGUCCGUAACCAGAGGAUUAUCCUCAUUGCUGCACAGAAGAAUUACGUCCUGGAAGCACCGCUGGGUGCCAGGCCUGCUGCUGAUGCAACUGACGACGUUAAGAACGUCUGGCAGAGCAAAGCUGAUGACUACUCGAUAGUUCAGUGUUCCAUGCUUUACGAUUUGGAACCGGGUCUUCAACAACGUUUUGAACGUCAUGGAGCAUAUGAGAUGUUUCAGGAGUUGAAGUUAAUAUUUCAAGCAAAUGCCCGGAUUGAGAGAUAUGAAGUGUCCAAUAAGUUCUAUAGCUGUAAGAUGGAGGAGAAUAGUUCUGUCAGUGAACACAUACUCAAAAUGUCUGGGUAUAAUAAUCACUUGAUUCAACUGGGAGUUAAUCUUCCUGAUGAUAGUGUCAUUGACAGAAUUCUUCAAUCACUGCCACCAAGCUACAAGAACUUCGUGAUGAACUAUAAUAUGCAAGGGAUGGACAAGACUAUACCCGAGCUCUUCGCAAUGCUAAAAGCCGCGGAGGUAGAAAUCAAGAAGGAGCAUCAAGUGUUGAUGGUUAACAAGACCACCAGUUUCAAGAAAAAGGGCAAAGGGAAGAAGAAGGGGAACUUCAAGAAGAACAGCAAACAAGUUGCUGCUCAGGAGAAGAAACCCAAGUCCGGACCUAAGCCUGAGACUGAGUGCUUCUACUGCAAGCAGACUGGACACUGGAAGCGGAACUGCCCCAAGUAUUUGGCGGAUAAGAAGGAUGGCAAAGUGAACAAAGGUAUAUAUGAUAUACAUGUUAUUGAUGUGUACCUUACUAAUGCUCGCAGUAGCACCUGCGUAUUUGAUACUGGUUCUGUUGCUAAUAUUUGCAACUCGAAACAGGGACUACGGAUUAAGCGAAGAUUAGCUAAGUACGAGGUGACGAUGCGCGUGGGAAAUGGUUCCAAAGUCGAUGUGAUCGCGGUCGGCACGCUACCUCUACAUCUACCAUCGGGAUUAGUUUUAGACCUAAAUAAUUGUUAUUUGGUGCCAGCGUUGAGCAUGAACAUUAUAUCUGGAUCUUGUUUGAUGCGAGAUGGUUAUUCAUUUAAAUCAGAGAAUAAUGGUUGUUCUAUUUAUAUGAGUAAUAUCUUUUAUGGUCAUGCACCCUUGAAGAGUGGUCUAUUUUUAUUAAAUCUCGAUAGUAGUGAUACACAUAUUCAUAAUGUUGAAACCAAAAGAUGCAGAGUUAAUAAUGAUAGUGCAACUUAUUUGUGGCACUGCCGUUUAGGUCAUAUCGGUGUAAAGCGCAUGAAUAAACUCCAUACUAAUGGACUUUUGGAAUCACUUGAUUAUGAAUCACUUGGUACUUGUGAACCGUGCCUCAUGGGCAAGAUGACUAAAAUGCCGUUCUCCGGAACUUUGGAGCGAGCAACUGAUUUGUUGGAAAUCAUACAUACUGAUGUAUGUGGUCCAAUGAAUAUUGAGGCUCACGGCGGGUAUCGUUAUUUUCCCACCUUCACAGAUGAUUUGAGCAGAUAGGGGUAUAUUUACUUGAUGAAACACAAGUCUGAAACAUUUGAAAAGUUCAAAGAAUUUCAGAGUGAAGUGGAAAAUCAUCGUAACAAGAAAAUAAAAUUUCUACGAUCUGAUCAUGGAGGAGAAUAUUUGAGUUAUGAGUUUGGCUUACAUUUGAAACAAUGUGGAAUAGUUUCACAACUCACGCCACCCGGAACACCACAACGAAAUGGUGUGUCCGAACGUCGUAAUCGUACUUUACUAGAUAUGGUGCAAUCUAUGAUGUCUCUUACCGAUUUACCGCUAUCAUUUUGGGGUUAUGCUUUAGAGAGGGCCGCAUUCACGUUAAAUAGGGCACCAUCAAAAUCCAUUGAGACGACACCUUAUGAACUGUGGUUUGGCAAGAAACCAAAGUUGUCGUUUCUUAAAGUUUGGGGGUGCGAUGCUUAUGUGAAGAAACUUCAACCAGAUAAGCUCAAAACCAAAUCGGAGAAAUGUGUCUUCAUAGGAUACCCAAAAGAGACUAUUGGGUACACCUUCUAUCACAGAUCUGAGGGCAAGAUUUUCGUUGCUAAAUUCGGAUCCUUUCUAGAGAAGGAGUUUCUCUUGAAAUAAGUGAGUGGGAGGAAAGUAGAACUUGAUGAGGUAACUGUACCUACUCCCUUAUUGGAAAGUAGUUCAUCACAAGAACCGGUUCCUGUGACAACUACACCAAUUAAUGAGGAAGCUAAUGAUAUUGAUCAUGAAACUUUAGAUCAAGUUUCUACUGAACCUCGUAUGUCUACCAGAGUAAGAUCCACACCAGAGUGGUACGGUAAUCCUAUUCUGGAAGUCAUGUUACUUGACCAUGACAAACCUACGAACUAUGAGGAAGCGAUGAUGAGCCCAGAUUCCGCAAAAUGGUUAGAAGCCAUGAAAUCUGAGAUGGGAUCCAUGUAUGAGAACAAAGUAUGGACUUUGGUUGACUUGCCCGAUGAUCGGCAAGCCAUUGAGAAUAAAUGGAUCUUCAAGAAGAAGACUGACGUUGAUGGUAAUGUAACUGUCUACAAAGCUCGACUUGUUGCAAAAGGUUUUCGACAAGUUCAAGGGGUUGACUACGAUGAGAAUUUCUCACCCGUAGCAAUGCUUAAGUUUGUCCGAAUCAUGUUAGCAAUUGCUGCAUUUUAUGAUUAUGAAAUUUGGCAAAUGGAUGUCAAAACUGCAUUCCUGAAUGGAUUUCUGGAAGAAGAGUUGUAUAUGAUGCAACCGGAAGGUUUUGUCGAUCCAAAAGGUGCUAACAAAGUGUGCCAGCUCCAGCGAUCCCUUUAUGGACUGGUGCAAGCAUCUCGGAGUUGGAAUAAACGCUUUGAUAGUGUGAUCAAAGCAUAUGGUUUUAUACAGACUUUUGGAGAAGCCUGUAUUUACAAGAAAGUGAGUGGGAGCUCUGUAGAAUUUCUGAUAUUAUAUGUAGAUGACAUAUUGUUAAUUGGAAAUGAUAUAGAAUUUCUGGAUAGCAUAAAGGGAUACUUGAAUAAAAGUUUUUCAAUGAAAGACCUCGGUGAAGCUGCUUACAUAUUGGGCAUCAAGAUCUAUAGAGAUAGAUCAAGACGCUUAAUUGGACUUUCACAAAGCACAUACCUUGAUAAAGUUUUGAAAAAGUUCAAAAUGGAUCAGGAAAAGAAAGGGUUCUUGCCUGUAUUACAAGGUGUGAAGUUGAGUCAGACUCAAUGCCCGACCACCGCAGAAGAUAGAGAGAAAAUGAAAGAUGUUCCCUAUGCUUCAGCCAUAGGCUCUAUCAUGUAUGCAAUGUUGUGUACCAGACCUGACGUAUGCUUAGCAAUAAGCUUGGAAGGUAGGUACCAAAGUAAUCCAGGAGUGGAUCACUGGACAGCGGUCAAGAACAUCCUAAAAUACCUGAAAAGGACUAAGGAUAUGUUUCUCGUUGAUGGAGGUGACAAAGAGCUAGUCGUAAAUGGUUACGUCGAUGCAAGCUUUGACACUGAUCCGGACGAUUCUAAAUCACAAACCGGAUACGUGUUUUUAUUAAACGGUGGAGCUGUAAGUUGGUGCAGUUCUAAACAAAGCGUCGUGGCGGGAUCUACAUGUGAAGCAGAGUACAUAGCUACUUCGGAAGCAGCAAAUGAAGGAGUCUGGAUGAAGGAGUUCAUUUCUGAUCUAGGUGUCAUACCUAGUGCAUCGGGACCAAUGAAGAUCUUCUGUGACAAUACUGGUGCAAUUGCCUUGGCAAAGGAAUCCAGAUUUCACAAGAGGACCAAGCACAUCAAGAGACGCUUCAAUUCCAUCCGGGACCAAGUCCAGGUGGGAGACAUAGAGAUUUGCAAGAUACAUACGGAUCUGAAUGUUGCAGACCUGUUGACUAAGCCUCUUCCACGAGCAAAACAUGAUCAACACCAAGACUCCAUGGGUGUUAGAAUCAUUACUGUGUAAUCUAGAUUAUUGACUCUAGUGCAAGUGGGAGACUGAAGGAAAUAUGCCCUAGAGGCAAUAAUAAAGUUAUUAUUUAUUUCCUCAUAUCAUGAUAAAUGUUUAUUAUUCAUGCUAGAAUUGUAUUAACUGGAAACAUAAUACAUGUGUGAAUACAUAGACAAACUUAAUGUCACUAGUAUGCCUCUACUUGACUAGCUCAUUAAUCAAUGAUGGUUAUGUUUCCUAACCAUAGACAUGUUUUGUCAUUUGAUUAACGGGAUCACAUCAUUAGGAGAAUGAUGUGAUUGACUUGACCCAUUCUGUUAGCCUAGCACUUGAUCGUUUAGUAUGUUGCUAUUGCUUUCUUCAUGACUUAUACGAAGUUCCUACAACUAUGAGAUUAUGCAACUCCCGUUUAUCGAAAGAACACUUUGUGUGCUACCAAAUGUCACAACGUAACUGGAUGAUUAUAAAGGAGUUCUACAUGUGUCUCUGAAGGUACAUGUUGGGUUAGCGUAUUUCGAGAUUAGGAUUUGUCACUCCGAUUGUCGGAGAGGUAUCUCUGGGCCCUCUCGGUAAUGCACAUCACUAUAAGCCUUGCAAGCAAUGUAGCUAAUGAGUUAGUUACGGAAUUAUGCAUUACGUAACGAGUAAAGAGACUUGCCGGUAACGAGAUUGAACUAGGUAUUGGAUACCGAUGAUCGAAUCUCGGGCAAGUAACAUACCGAUGACAAAGGGAACAACGUAUGUUGUUAUGCGGUUUGACCGAUAAAGAUCUUCGUAGAAUAUGUAGGAGCCAAUAUGAGCAUCCAGGUUCCGCUAUUGGUUAUUGACCGGAAACAGUUCUAGGUCAUGUCUACAUAGUUCUCGAACCCGUAGGGUCCGCACGCUUAACGUUACGAUGACAGUUUUAUUAUGAGUUUAUAAGUUUUGAUGUACCGAAGAUUGUUCGGAGUCCCAGAUGUGAUCACGGACAUGACGAGGAGUCACGAAAUGGUCGAGACAUAAAGAUUGAUAUAUUGGAAGCCUAUAUUUGGAUAUCGGAAACGUUCCGGGUGAAAUCGGGAUUUUACCGGAGUACCGGGGGGUUACCGGAACCCCCCCGGGGGUUAAUGGGCCUACAUGGGCCAUGAGGGAGAAGAGGAGGGCCGGCCAGGGAAGGCCGCGCGCCCCUCCCCCCUAGUCCGAAUAGGACAAGGAAAGGGGGGCGGCGCCCCCCUUUCCUCUUUCCCCUCCCCCUUUUCCUUCUCCACCAAGGCAAGAGGGGGGAGUCCUACUCCCGGUGGGAGUAGGACUCCUCCAGGCGCACCCCUAGGGGGCCGGCCGCACCUCCCACUCCCUCCUUUAUAUACGGGGGAAGGGGGGCACCCCAUGCCACACAAGUUGAUCAUCGUGAUCGUUCCUUAGCCGUGUGCGGUGCCCCCCUCCACCAUAUUCCACCUCGGUCAUAUCGUUGUGGUGCUUAGGUGAAGCCCUGCAUCGGUAGAACAUCAUCAUCGUCACCACGCCGUCGUGCUGAUGGAACUCAUCCCUGACACCCUGCUGGAUCGGAGUCCGGGGAUCAUCAUUGAGCUGAACGUGUGCUGAACUCGGAGGUGCCGUAUGUUCGGUGCUUGGAUCGGUCGGACCAUGAAGACGUACGUCUACAUCAACCGCGUUGUCAUAACGUUUCCGCUUACGGUCUACGAGGGUACGUGGACAACACUCUCCCCUCUCGUUGCUAUGCAUCACCAUGAUCUUGCGUGUGCGUAGGAUUUUUUUUUGAAAUUACUAUGUUCCCCAACAUGAGCUUGAUGUCAUAUGUUCGGAGAUUGUCGAACGUAAACCUCAGGUCAUCUAUUAAAGAUUCGACGUGUCUGGUCUUGAUGACCACGUCAUCCAUGUAUGCCUCAACUGUUUUGCCGAUUUGUUUUUCCAGGCACGCCUGAAUCAUGCGUUGAUAGGUUGCACAUGCAUUUUUGAGCCCGAAAGGCAUGGUGUUGAAACAGAAAGGGCCAUAUGGAGUGAUAAAUGCCGUUGCGGCUUGAUCGGACUCCGCCAUCUUGAUUUGAUGGUAUCCGGAGUAUGUGUCAAGGAAGCACAAUGAGUCAUGUCCUGUGGUAGCGUCGAUGAUUUGAUCGAUGCGGGGGAGAGGGAAGGGAUCCUUGGGGCAAGCCUUAUUGAGGUCCUUGAAAGCGACACAUAGGCGCCAGGAUUUGUCCUUCUUUGGUACCAUUACCAGAUUUGCUAGCCAGUCCAGGUGUUUUAUUUCUCUGAUGAAUCCGGCUUCGAGUAACUUGGCUAGCUCCUCUCCCAUGGCUUGUCGUUUAGGUUAUGAAAAGCGCCGAAGAGUCUGCUUGACCGACUUGUAUCCCUUCAGUAUGUUUAGGCUGUGCUCGGCCAACCUACGUGGGAUACUUGGCAUGUCUGAAGGGUGCUAGGCGAAGAUGUCCCGAUUCUCACGCAAGAACGCCCGCAGUGCGGCGUCUAUUGUGGGGUUUAGCUGUGCCCCGAUGGAUGCUGUUUUUGUAGAGUCCGUUGGGUGGACUUGGAAUUUGACUAUUUCGUCCGCUGGUUUGAAAGAGGUGGACUUGGGUCGUUUGUCGAGUAUCACGUCGUCCCUGUCCACUAUGGAGUGCAGCGCAGUUAGUUCUUUGGCCGCGAGGGCUUUAGAUCAUGCCUCGAGGGCCAGAGCGGCGGUUUUAGUUUUGGUGCGGAGUGCUACGUCUGGAUCACCGGCUAGAGUGAUGAUUCCAUUGGGCCUGGGCAUCUUGAGCUUCAUGUACCCGUAAUGUGGUAUAGCUUGGAAGCUCGUGAAUGCGUCCCGCCCUAAAAGGGUGUGGUAUCCGCUACUGAACGGGGCUACUUGGAAUGUUAUUUUUUCGGACCUAUAAUUCUUCGCGUGCCGAAUACCACAUCGAGUGUGAUUUUUCCCGCACAUCGUGCCUCCCGACUAGGGAUAAUUCCUCUGAAGGUCGUGCUGCUUUGCUCAAUGCGGCUCUUGUCUAUUUCCAUUUUGUUGAGAGUUUCCUCGUAGAUGAGGUUUAAUCCACUGGCACUGUCCAUGAGCACUUUAGUAAGCCGGAAGCCAUCCACAAUUGGACUAAGGACCAAAGCGGCUGGUGCUCGGACUGUUCGGAAUUGAGGUUCGUCACUGGCAUUUAAGGUUAUGGCCGUGUCAUUCCAAGGAUUUAUUGCUGCAAUGUGGCAGACUUCGGCGAGGCUGUGGAGUGCUCUCUUGCGCCUGUUAUUUGAGGCAAAAGUCUCGAAGACUGUCAAUACUGUAUUGUUGUUUUCUGCGGGAUGAUGCUCUGCGGUAUCAUUAAUGAGGAGAUCCUCACCGCUCUUGGCCACCUUCCAAAGUAUCCAACAUGCUCUAAGGCUGUGUGUUGGUACGGUAUCCGGUGUGGUGUGAAUUUUGCAUGGCCCAUUGAGCCAUCCCUCCAAUACGGUUCCACGCCCUGUAGUGGGCUUUGGUUUCUUUGUAAUUGGAUCGAGUGACUUGCGAGAGUGCACCCUUUUAGUUUGGACGAGGGGUUUAGUGAGAGACGGAGGAUCCCAGAAUUUUGCUUGGGUUUUCCAGGUGCUUUCCAUCGCAUAGUACUUCUGUACUAUGGCCUCCAAGUCAGCGAAGUGUGCUAUGUCACGGCGACUUACGGCGUUGAGGAUUCCCUUGUCCGUGCAAUUUUUGCAAAAGAAUGAGAUUGUGUCUUCCUCGCGACAGUCCUUGACCUUGCUCAUUACAAGGAGGAAUCUGGCCCAAAAGUGAUGUGCUCAUCUUGGGAUUGUUGUCUAAUGUGGGAAAGAUCGCUUGUAUCUAGGUGGGUGGGUAGAUUUAAGUCUGAACCCUGACCUGAUCUGAGACCCAGGGGCAGAGGAGCUUCCGAACUUGGUAGAUCGGGUUCUGGGAUGUUGCCCAAUUUUUCUGACACGCCGUCCGAUUCUAAGUUCGGAGCUUGGGUCAUGUCCUCCUGUAGACGGGUAUCCGGCUCGGAGAGCUCGAGAAUCCAGACAUAGUUCGUCCUCAAAAUAGAGGCGGAAUUGCUGCAUUGCUCCUCCACCAUCGCUAUCUCAUGGGUGACCGGCGGAGAGUUAAUCUCUCUUUGGUCGGGUUUAAGCCCAAUCUGAUCAUAGUCCGCAGAGACUCCCAAGGAGGCGAUGCGAUCCAAGAGCUCGUUCAAGGAUGAGAGCUCCAUUGGAUCCAUCUGCUCGGUGUAUUCCGAGCUGACGUGGAGGCUGUUUUUGAUGACCCGAGAAGUCAUCGUCGGCGCGGCGGUCGCACGGGCGGUCAUGACGGAGCCGCCUAGUCAGAGGGUUUGGCCUAAAGCCAGGGCUCCCCCAGCGGUGAUGUUGUCCUUAAUAACAAGGCUAGCCAUCAAACCUUUUUCGACGUCACAAUGAAACUCUCAAUGGAAGCACCAAUGUCGGUGUCAAAACCGGCGGAUCUCGGGUAGGGGGUACCAAACUGUGCGUCUAAGGCUAAUGGUAACAGGAGGCAGGGGACACAAUGUUUACCCAGGUUUGGGCCCUCUCUAUGGAGGUAAUACCCUACUUCCUGCUUGAUUGAUCUUGAUGAUAUGAGUAUUACAAGAGUUGAUCUACCAUGAGAUCAUAGAGGCUAAACCCUAGAAGCUAGCCUAUGAUUAUGAUUGUUGUUGUCCUAGGGACUCCGGUUUAUAUAGACACCAGAGGGGGCUAGGGUUACACAGAGUUGGUUACAGAGAAGGAAAUCUACAUAUCCGAAUUACCAAGCUUGCCUUCCACGCAAAGGAGAGUCCCACCAGGACACGGGACGAAGUCUUCAAUCUUGUAUCUUCAUAGUCCAACAGUCAGGCACAAGUACAUAGUCCGGCUGUCCGAGGAUCCCCUAAUCUAGGACUGUCACGCCCAAUAUGCGACCCUAUCCAAAAGGAACUCGAAGGUCCCACCAAGGAUAGACCCGCAUAUGAAACGCUUUUGCAAGGUGGAUAUCAUUACAUCAACAUUACAUAAAUAGAUGGGGAUACAUACAUAAGGCAUACAAUGCCACAUGAAUACAAUAUCACAAUACAUGAGAGCAUCAUCCGACUACGGAUGAAACACAAACAGAAACUCAAACGACAUCCACCCUGCUAGCCCAGGCUGCCGACCUGGAACCUAUCCCCUGAUCGAAGAAGAAGCAGAAGAAGAACUCAACUCAAGCAAGCAUCGCUCUCGCGUCAUGAUCAUCGCAUAACCUGUACCUGCAACUGUUGUUGUAGUAAUCUGUGAGCCACGAGGACUCAGCAAUCCCAUUACCAUGGGUAUCAAGACUAGCAAAGCUUAAAGGGGAAGGAAGGGGUAAAGUGGUGAGGCUGCAGCAGCGACUAAGCAUAUAUGGUGGCUAACAUACGCAAAUAAGAGCGAGAAGAGAGCAAGCGGAACGGUCGUCAACUAGUAAUGAUCAAGAAGUGAUCCUGAACUCCUACUUACGUCAAACAUAACCCAAAGACCGUGUUCACUUCCCGGACUCCGCCAAGAAGAGACCAUCACGGCUACACACACGGUUGAUGCAUUUUAAUUCGGAUCUGAUGUCAAGUUAUCUACAACCGGACAUUAACAAAUUCCCAUCUGCCUAUAACCGCGGGCACGGCUUUUGAAAGAUUAUACCCUGCAGGGGUGUCCCAACUUAGCCCAUGACAAGCUCUCGCGAUCAAUGAAGGAAUAGACCUUCUCCCAGGAAGACCCGAUCAGACUCGGAAUCCCGGUUUACAAGACAUUUCGACAAUGGUAAAACAAGACCAGCAAAGCCGCCCGAUGCGCCGACAAUCCCGAUAGGAGCUGCACAUAUCUCGUUCUCAGGGCAACACCGGAUGAGCAAUCCGUACAACUAAAACGACACCUCAAGUUUCCCUGAGGGGGCGUUGCAAAGGGCUCUAGUUCGGACCAACACUUAGACAAGCACUGGCCCGGGGGGGGGGGCUAUAAUAAAGAUGACCCUCGAGAGAGCAACUCCCAAGGGAAAAGGUAGGUGGUGAUGAGGCAAAUGGUAAAACCAAGGUUGGGCCUUGCUGGAGGAGUUUUAUUCAAAGUGAACUGUCAAGGGGGUCCCAUAAAUCACCCGACCGCAUAAGAGACGCAAAAUCCGGGAACAUAACACCGGUAUGACGGAAACUAGGGCGGCAAGAGUGGAACAAAACACCAGGCAUAAGGCCGAGCCUUCCACCCUUUACCAAGUAUAUAGAUGCAUUAAUAAUAUAAGAGAUAUUGUGAUAUCCCAACCAAAAUCCUGUCCACCAUGGAGCAAUCUCCAACUUCACCUGCAACUAACAACGCUAUAAGAGGGGCUGAGCAAAGCGGUAACAUAGCCAAGCAACGGUUUGCUAGGAAUGGUGUCAAAGGUUAGAGGUUCAUGGCAAUUUGGGAUGGCUUGAUAAACAGGUAAUAGGUAGCGCAGCAUAGCGAUAGAACGAAGCAACUAGCAUAGCAAUGAUAGUAGUGAGAUCCAGGGUAGCGGUCAUCUUGCCUGAGAUCCAGCAUGGAAGAAGAACGAGUCCAUGAAGAAGACAAGCGGACGUAGUCGAACGAAUCCUCACGAACGCAACAUUACCGGAACUAAGAAGCAACACCGGAAAGAAACAAAAAAACAUAGUAAACAACCAUCACAUAGACAUGGCAUGAUGCACAACCAAGUAUGAUGCAUGUCGGUUUAAAGAGGCAUGGCAUGGCAAACUGCAACACACAGUACUACAAAUUAAGUGGAGCUCAAUAUGCAACGAGUUGCAUAUUGGCAAAACACCACAUGCAAGUAUUUAGUUUGAUCUCGGUUAUGUACCCAACAAUAUUAAAUGUUAUUAGCAUGGCAAAGGGGUGAAACAUAAGAAAACUACCUAUCUAAGCAAGUUUAAAUGAGGCCGGAAUAAUAAACAACAAGUCCAGAAAAUCCUCAUGUCCAUAUUUUAGAUUCGGUACUGUUCUGCCCUAAACACAAUUUUAUUGUUGUUAAUCAGGAAAAUAAAAUGCACCAUGUUAAUCUAGGCAUUUUUCCACCCCAUUUACAUUAACGUUAUUUAAAACAGAGUUACGGUUAUUUAGUUAUGAAUUAAAGCAUUUUAACACGGCAAUUUAGCAAAUUUAAACAAACAACAAUUUAAACAUUUUAACAUGGGAUGAAAAUGACAUAUUAUUAAUCUACACAAUUUUCUGAGCAUUUAACAUAUAUAAAACAUUUUAAUAUGAUGCACGGUUCAUGAGUUAUUAUAUGCAUGAAGUUUAGGGUCCAAUUUGUAAAAAUGUAGUUUUCUUGAAAAUAGGCAAAAAUCGUAGAACGGAAAAAAACGCAUGCGGGCCGAAUCUGGUGGGCGCAAGCUAGCAUGUGGUGCGCUAGGGCGAGGCAUAGGCUGGAGGCUCACCAUGGGCUCGGCCCAGUUGGUGGAGGAGGAAGCAGCGGCCAGAGCCAGCUGGACCGAAGUCGAGGCCGGCCCAGGCGCGGGGUAGCUCACAUCGGGCCUUGGCCCAGGUCGGUGGAGAUGGCCGGCGGGGUUCUGGGCCAGGGCCCACGAGACGCCGCGGUGGAGGAGGCCCACGCGGGUGGGUCAACGCUCGCAGUCGGGAUCGGGGCUCCUCCCGAUCCGUCCCGGACGGCGAGGUCGUGCGGCGGCGGAGGGGCUGCGACGAGGGGCGGCCGAUGUCUGGUGGCGAUGGGGCGAGGGGAGGCCGUCCCCGGCCGGAUCCAGCGACAACGGGGCCCGGGUGGCGAAGGGGAGGCGCGGCCGGGCGCGGCGGAGCUCGGCUCCCAUGGCGGCAGGGAGGAGCACGGCCUGGUGGUUUGGGGCGAGGAGACGCGGUGCAGCGCGGGGUCGGCGACGAAGGGGACUGGCGACGGUGGGGGAACGCAGUCCGGCGACCUGACGGAGGCGCGACGGAGCGGGGUCCGGCGACCUGGCGGCGACACGCCGACGACGGGGUCGGGCAGAGGCAAUGGGAGGAGCGAGCGGGGCGCUCGGGCUGGCUGCGGCCCUCGGGCCCAGAUCAGGGCCCGGGCAGGCCUGGGACGGGCCUGCGGCGGCGGGAGGUUGCUGGGGACGCGGGGAGGCCAGGUGGCGUACGGGGAGAGGCUGCUGGCGGCGGCUAGCCACUGGGGCUUGCCAAGUGGCAGAGNNNNNNNNNNNNNNNNNNNNNNNNNNNNNNNNNNNNNNNNNNNNNNNNNNNNNNNNNNNNNNNNNNNNNNNNNNNNNNNNNNNNNNNNNNNNNNNNNNNNNNNNNNNNNNNNNNNNNNNNNNNNNNNNNNNNNNNNNNNNNNNNNNNNNNNNNNNNNNNNNNNNNNNNNNNNNNNNNNNNNNNNNNNNNNNNNNNNNNNNNNNNNNNNNNNNNNNNNNNNNNNNNNNNNNNNNNNNNNNNNNNNNNNNNNNNNNNNNNNNNNNNNNNNNNNNNNNNNNNNNNNNNNNNNNNNNNNNNNNNNNNNNNNNNNNNNNNNNNNNNNNNNNNNNNNNNNNNNNNNNNNNNNNNNNNNNNNNNNNNNNNNNNNNNNNNNNNNNNNNNNNNNNGCGGCCCUCGAGGUGGGAGGAGGCACUGAAAACGAGGAGGAGAGGGAUGGCUACGGCUGGGUUAGGGAAGGGGGGUAGGCUGCCAAAUUUGGAGGGGGGGGUGUCCAUAUAUAGCAAAAAGCUAGGGUUUGGGGGUUAGGAGGGGUUUCGGGACCCUCGAUCGCGAUCCGACGAUCAGGAACGGAGGGGAGGUUUAGGUGGGCUGCAGGUGUGCUAAGAAGAGGGGUUGGGCUGAGAGAAGAGGAGAGAAAGAGAGGCCCGGCGGUAGUUUCGGAGACCGAAACGUCCGACGAAGGUACCAGCAACGGUACCGCUAUGUUUAACGGUUGGGCAGUCAAAUGGACUCCGAAUGCGACGAAACUUGGCAGGCGGCCUGUCUACACUAUAAUAAGACCGCAUGACAAGUUGCAACCCAUUCCGAGAACAUUUUUAUGCCACUUAUAAAAUAAUAUUUCGGAGGUGCCACGGGCACGUGCGAGAGUGUCGGGGCUCGGAAUGGACAACGGAGAGAACCGGCGGAACCCGAACGGAUGCAAGUUUUAUAAAAACGAUGCCGAUGCAAUGCGCAUGAUGCUAUGAGAUGAGAUGCAUAAUAAGAACAAAAGCAAAACAACAGACAAAACCCAACCACAGAGGAAAAUAAAUCACAUAGCCGGAAAUGGCAAGAGUCGGAGUUACGAAUAUGGAAAGUUGUAUCCGGGGCGUUACAACACUCCACCACUAUGAGAGGAUCUCGUCCCGAGAUCUAGGAUGGCACCGGAGGGAAACAAAAGAGGAAGAUAAGCGGUAAAACUAAGUUGCUUCUUCGACAAACGAGUGAAACCACGAACCUUGAGAGGUUGAACAAAUUGAAAGGAAGAAAACAAACGAAGAUGAGCAAAGUUGAAAACACUCCGUUAGAAAAGAGGAACAAGGGAUACAGCGAGAACCCAGAGGUUGCAAAGACAUGAAUGACGAGCACAAUGGACAAGAAGGAAUUGGAACCACUCUGGUUGAAACGAGAUAAGAAUGAAUAAGAAUGAUAUAAUUUUGACAGCACUCUGAUUGUAAAUGGAAGAAAUUGAACAUGAACUUGACAAAAUGAAAGCACUUGGAUGAGACUCCGGUUAAAUGAGGAAUGAUAGACACAACACUCCGAUUAAAUGGAUAAGCAAGGAAAAGAACACGAUCUUGAGAAAACAAGAUGAUGAGUGAAGAGAACAACAUCACAAUGCCUUCGGAAUGAAAGAAUAGAAGCUAGAUCGUUGGGAUAAAGGGACGGAGAAGAAAAUGACAAUUUCUGCCACAAAUGAGCUUGGAAAGCACCCUUCCAAGAUGGUUACAACGGGGUUGUUGGAAAACCAACAACGAAAAGAAUAAGCUUGUAGUGGGCUUAUGGAAAACAUCCCAAAAUUAUGAGGUGACAACCGGCCACUAACAGAAACAAUUGCUUGCUUGAGAACAAUGAAGAGAUGAAAAACCUCUUUCACCGAGAAGGAUAUGGAGAAAGCUUGGAUCAUUGAUAAGCACCACAAUAGCAACAUUCCUUAGGGAAGGCUUUAGGUGAAAUAUAACCCAAGAUAAUUGCAACGAAGAAGUUGAUUGGUCGAAAAGAUAUCUUGAACGAAGAGAAAAUGAUGGAUUUAAUUAACUCAUUCCUGACAACUUGUGAAUCAUGAAGCAUGAGGAGAAAUUGCCAAGGAUGACAUAACACCAUCUCAAAAGAUAAGGUAGAAAGGAUUGCACUUCGGAAUGCAAGAUGAAGAAUGCUUGAACUCCCCAAAACAAAACAUGUGUUGAGCACCAUGUUUAUUUUUUUCAGUAAAGCUUGGCGGAUCUUAACUUCAAGAGAAAUCCUGAAGAACACUUGAAGAAUGAAAAGAAUCCUUGACGAACCACCAUGUAGAGCUUCCAUGAAGAACUCCGGUAAUAAAUGAUGAUAGAAAGAAAGAGAAGUUGGAAAACACAAGGUGAAGCCUUGUAAUGAUUUAGAUGGAGCUUUGCGAUGAUAUAACCGAGAUAACUUGGAACUCCGGAAAGAAAAGAUGAACACUAGAACCGAGAAUUACUUCAUCAUGAACAAUCUCCGGAAGAAGGAAUUAAUCACUUGGAUGAAACAAGAAUAAGAAUUAUGUCAAGCCUAUCCUUCACCAAUUCAAAUUGAUGACAAACAACGGAUUUGGCAUACUACUUAUUCCCGUAGAAAGGAUUAAAAGAGAUAUAGCACAAAACUUUAGAAGGUAUUGGUGGAACCACCGGUAGGAUUUGGAAACAACGAAUAUUUGAUAUGAUAACGGAGGAAGAGAAAUUCUGAAUGAGCCACCGUAAGAAUUGAGAAUGAACGUAGCAAAGGCACGAUUCACCGGGAAGAAUUGGAAAACAAAUGAAGAUACUUGAGGGGAUUUAGAUACAUGAAAAAAAACAAGAGAUCAUGAAUUGAUUAGAGGAUAUUUGAACGAUUCACCGGUAAGAUUUGGAGAAAGAGAGCUAAAAGCUGAGAAUGAAUAAACCCGAAAUGAUGGCCUUCGUAGGAAUAAAAUGGAAAGAACUCACGAAAUACUCCGGAUGGGUGAAAAGAAUUCUCACCAUCUAAAACAAAUAUGGGGAUGGCAUGAAGCUAGAACCAUGAAUCUUCAAGAGAAUGGCCAAGAUUUAGAGGAAAAACUCUUCUUUGGUCUUCAAAUGACGAAGAGAAACACCACAAAAAUUGCUGAGAUACUCCAGAAGAAUGACAAGCGAAGAGGUUGAGCCAACAAUGAAAAAUGAUUUGAAAUUGAUCUUGGAAAAACAUCUAACUGAUGAAGUUCAUUCUUACGUCACACUUUGAAAAGAAUUAGGAAUGGCUCCGGAAUAAUUAGAAGAGUCAGUGUCAGGACCCCGACUCGAUGUCACAUCGAUCUAGCCGGUAACACCUCAUAUCACUUUGCGGCCUCACGCACGGUAUUCCCACGGGUGUCGCCUUACCUUUGCCCGGGACCGUUUGCGCCUUUUGGCUCACGUAUAUGAUAGUGUCGCUAGCAUCCAUAUGAUAAGGAGCCCGGGCUGACAUGACUAGUCGCAAAUCCAAAGUGGCACAGACUUACAGGGACAGGCAUCCAUGACCCAGCUUCGAACGUGUCGGUCAUCAGCAAGUGGGUCCGGGCUGUAGCACUGGGCUAGCAGGACUCCGGUAAACCGGGCUAUAGCGGCUAACAGGACUCCGGUACUCAAUGCGUGACAUUUCCCCGAAGGGACAGACACAGGAAUGAAGAAGGACAUAUGCCGGCCAACCUAAGUGUUCCAGAGCAGUAGCAAGCUACCAUGGCUCAGCGGUAACACUAGGAGACAUUUCCCGGUAAGAGAGGCUACUAAAGAUAAACAACUAGAUAGUCAGAUCCCACACAUACCAAUCAUUUCAAUCAUACACACAAUAUGCUUGAUAUGUGCAAAUACAACGAAGCAUCACAACAUGACUCUACGACACAAGUACUUUAUUUAAGGCUCAGGGAGCCAUACAUAACAUACACAAAGGAACGGGUCUCACGACCCAGCAUUCAAGUCAUAUAGUCAUACAAACCAGCAGCGGAAGUAACUUGUCUGAGUACAAACAACUAGUAAAAUAAAAGAGGCUUGGAAAGCCUAGCUAUACUACAUGGUCCUUCACAAGCUCAGGGUCACCACCUGGGCCUUUAGCCUACUCGUUGAUGUCAACGUCUACAUAGAACCCAUCAGAAGGGGUUGCAGCGUCUUCUGUAAAAAUGUAAAUUACAGCAACAUGAGUACAAAGGUACUCAGCAAGACUUACAUCAGAUCCUACAUACAUGCAUAUUAUCAAGAAGGGUUGGUGGAGUUAUUGCAGCAAGCCAGCUUUGACUCUUGGCUAGACUAUCCUACGAUACUUCAACUUGAAAUGGUUUUGCGCACACGAGUCCACUACUCACCACUUCAAUACACUACCGAGGAUCCGCCUCCGUCUUCCUACGGAAGAGCCAUCCUCGGCACUCACACUUAUCUUGAGGCUUUUAGUAGUUUCCAUUUACUUGUCUAUGAACUGUAUAGGCAACCAAGUAGUCCUUUACCGCGGAUGCGGCUAUUCGAAUAGAUCAUGAUAACCCUGCAGGGGUGUACUUCUUCAUACAUGUUUCCACCACUUAGCGUCUGCACACGACAUGUGCUCGGCAGACUUCAAGCGAAAGCCGACGUGGGUGUAGACCACGACCUACCUAAACACUUAAGCCUCUAGUCCAGGUUUAUCGCCUAUUCAGGUUCCAUCCGCAGGGAGUCCGGCCGAGGUUUCCCAUACGGCCCCGAACGAUGUGAACAGGGUUCCCGAGAUACCUAACGGUAUUCGGUACACCCGGCCACGUACCUACCGCAUCACAGCCCACCCCUACGGUCAGCGCUGUCCACGGCCUCCAGUAGGCUACAAACACCAGAAACUACUUGCAACUCCUGGACGGAGAACUAGGGUGAAUAAGAAGCCGAGAGGGUCCAUUGGUUUCGGGCCCAAUGCAUGGUAGUAGCUGAUUCUUAAAUCACACAUACAGAUCUCAGUGCUUAAGGUCGGCUUCAAUGAAACAACCCACCAUGUACUCCUACAUGGCCUCUCAUCGAUACCUUUACCAAAUCAUGUUCACCACACCACUCUCAUUACCGACAUAAUCAUUUCACUCUAGCCCAUCACCCAGAUGAACCAGACCUGACACGACUCUAAGCAUAGCAGGCAUAGCAAGGUAGGAACAACACAUACAUAUGGCUCAAUCAACUCCUACACAUGCUAGUGGGUUUCAUCUAGUUACUGUGGCAAUGACAGGUUAUGCAGAGGAAAUGGGUUCAACUACCGUAGCACACAGCAGUUUGAAUCGCAUUGUCUUAAUGCAGUAAAAGAGAGCAGGAGCGAGAACAUGGGAUUGUAUCGAUAUGAUCAAAUGGUUGGUUGCUUGCCUGAUGGUUCGAUGCACUGAUACGGUUCCUCGUUAGGGUAAUCACGGUACUCCUCGGAGGCAGAACCUGUCGCAAAGGACACCGAUACACAACCAUCACCAAACAAUGUGCAACAAUAUGAUGCAUGCAUGAAACAUGGAAAUAUGAGUGUGUUGGGCUAAUGCAACUAAAACCAGAAGGGUUUGAACCAAUUUGAAUCAAAGAUUCAAAUUUCAAACUCAAACAUGGCCUUUUAAAGUGCUUUUCCUUGUUCUGCAUUAAACAUCAAGUUAACUUGUUUAGUCAUGCAUGAAAAUAGUACAGAUGGAUAGGUUGGAUUUUUCUGAUCAUUUUUCAUAUAUAAUUUGUCUGAUUUGGAGUUACAGAAUAAAAGUUAUGAAUUUUUGAAGUUUAAAUUAUAUUCUGGAACUUCCUGAUUUAAUUUAAAUCCAGAAAUAUAUAUAUUGCGCGAGCAUGACGUCAGCACGACGUCAGCGGUCAACUGCGGCUGGCUGGGGUCAAACCUGACGUGUGGGGUCCACACGUCAGUGACAGGGGGGUUAACAGAGGUUAGAUUAAUCCUAAUUAAGAAUUAGUGGCGCUGGGGCCCACUGGUCAGUGUCAGGGGGGUUAAUUAACAGUGAUUAGCACUAAGCUAACCACCUGGCCGACGGGGCCCACGCGUCAGUGACUCUGGGGGGGUCAAACCCCAGGUCGAACAGGUCAAACCCGCCGGCGGUUAGUCGCCGGCGAGGUCCGCGGCGUACAAGUGCCUCGGGUUUCCUCUGUGGUGCUCCAAACGGCGUGCGGCUAGGUGCGUUGGAAAGCCAGCUCGAUGGCGCGUCGGGCGGUGGCCGUGGUUGGGCCUGGGGUGGCCGGAGUCGACGGUGGCGAGCUCGGCUGCGGCCGCCGAGGUUCGGUCGUGCACGGAAACGGGGUUGGAGCUCGAAGGCGAGCGAGGCAAGGCGCUAGGGAUGCUCUACGGGGCCUUACGAACUUGUUGGACUCGCCGGGGUGACCAAAUGGUCACCGGAGCUGCGUCGAUGGCGAGCUCGGCGACGGCGGAGGUUCGGCCGUGGUGGGAACCGAGUUACGGCGCGGGAACGAGGGGGAGAAGAGAGGGAAACGGUGGCGGAGCUCACCGCGGUUGCAGCGGGCGUCGAAGCGGGCUCGGGGACGCACUGGAGACGGCGAAUCGACGGCGAUGGUGGUCGGAGCCCCAGGAGGAAGACGAUGGCGACGGCGGCUCCACGGGGCGUCCGGCGUCUUGUGGCUUGACGGAGAGCUUCAGGGCGAGGGGGCGGAGCUCCUGCGCGAGUCGGGAAGGCGAGGGGAGGCCGGUGGCGGUGGCUAUGGCGAACGGCGGCGAUGGUUGAGUUCGGACACGGGAGAGAGAGAGCGAGGGAGAGGAGAGGAAGAACCGGGGGAGAGUGAGAGAGUNNNNNNNNNNNNNNNNNNNNNNNNNNNNNNNNNNNNNNNNNNNNNNNNNNNNNNNNNNNNNNNNNNNNNNNNNGGCGAGCUGGUGGCGUGGCGCGGUGGCGCGCGCGCGCGCCGGGCACACUCCCCUCCCUCUGUCGAGGACGAAGACGACAGAGGAGGAGGCGGGCUGGGCCGCCUGCUGGCUGGGCCGGCCAGCUACUGCUGGGCUGCACAGGGAGGAGCCCCAGGUAAGCUUCUCCUUCAUUUAUUUAUUUAUGUUUUCUAAUUUCUGACAUUUGUUUUGAUUUAAAUAAAAUAUUAAAUCAUUUAUUUACCUUAUGCCAAUUUUUGCAGGAGCUAGAUAUAUUAUUCCAGAGCUCCCCAACAGGUGGCAUAAUUUUUGGACAUAUAUUAAUAUAUAUAACUAAUAUAUCUCCAAUGCAAAUAUUUAUGCAUUAAAUCCAAAUGCCCAAAAUAAAUACCUAUGAGCUCUUAAAAAUAUUGGUUUGAUUUUUAUCUCUGUCCAAUAUUUUCAGAGAGCAACAUGAGCAUUUUCUUGGACCCUUUUGGAGAAAUUUUUAUUUGGGUCAUUUUCAAAAAUGAUUCUGAGGGUUCCACAAAUCCCCAUUUCAAGUUUCUGAUGAAAGAGUAAACAUGAUGCAACACUCUAAUGCAUGACUAGCUAGGGUGUGACAACUCACCCCCACUCAAAAGAAUCUCGUCCCGAGAUUUGGGUUCCUCCGGGAAGAAGGCGGGAUACUCGAGUCGAAGACGAUCCUCCCUUUCCCAAGUUGCUUCAUCCUCAGAAUGGUGCGACCAUUGUACUUUGAGAAACUUGAUAUUAUGACGUCGGGUGGUACGUUCGGCCUGAUCGAGGAUACGAAUGGGGUACUCUCGAUAUGUAAGAUUAUCUUGGAGAUCAAGCGUUUCGUGGUCCACUCCACGGAUAGGAUCCGAGAAGCAACGCCUGAGUUGAGAAAUGUGGAAGACAUCGUGGACUCUGGAGAGGUGCGGAGGUAGUUCCAACUGGUAGGCAACUUCUCCUCGUUUGGCGAGAAUGCGAAAAGGUCCAAUGUAACGAGGAGCCAAUUUGCCUUUGAUACCGAAACGAUGGGUUCCCUUCAGAGGGAUGACCCGAAGAUAAGCCUUCUCGUCAACCUCGAAAGUCAUAGCCUUAUGUUUUCGGUCAUAUUGACUCUUUUGACGGGAUUGGGCUGUUUUCAACUUUUCACGAACGAUGCGAACUUGUUCUUCUGCUUCCUGAAUCAUAUCCGGGCCAAAGAAUUGUCUUUCCCCGGUCUCUGACCAGUUAAGGGGUGUUCGACACCGUCGUCCAUAGAGAACUUCAAAAGGGGCUUUACCCAAGCUAGAUUGAUAGCUGUUGUCGUAAGCGAAUUCGGCAAAUGGAAGGCACUUCUCCCAGUCCAUUCCGAAUGAGAUAACAGAGGCUCGAAGCAUGUCUUCUAGAAUCUGGUUGACGCGUUCCACUUGACCACUCGACUGAGGGUGGAAAGCGGUGCUAAAGGAGAGACGGGUUCCCAUAGCAUUUUGGAAGCUUUCCCAAAAUCGAGAGGUGAAAAGACUUCCUCGAUCCGAGUUAAUUUCCAAAGGAACACCAUGGAGGGACACUAUUCGGGAGAUGUAUAAGUCUGCCAAUUGACUAGCGGUUAUACUCUCACGAACAGGUAGGAAAUGGGCUACUUUGGAAAGACGAUCGACAACGACGAAAAUAGCAUUAUUCCCUCUCUUGGUCCUGGGAAAACCGGUAAUGAAAUCCAUACCAAUUUUAUCCCAUUUCCAUUCAGGAAUAGCUAAGGGUUGAAGGGUGCCAGCAGGCCGUUGAUGCUCUGCUUUUACACGGCGACAGACGUCGCAAUUAGCAAUAUACUGAGCAAUUUCUCUCUUCAUCCUAGUCCACCAGAACCUCUGGCGUAGGUCCUGAUACAUCUUAGUACUACCGGGAUGAAUAGAGAGAGGAGAUUCAUGAGCUUCCUUAAGGAUCAACCGCCUCCGGUUUCACACUUUGGGAACCACUAGUCGAUUCCCGAAGUAUACGACCCCUUGAUCAUUAAUGGAGAAGCAAUUCGCAAUUCCUUUCUGGAUGUUUCUCUUGAUGCGGGAGAUUCCCGGAUCUACCUUCUGUGCUUUGAUGAUCUGAUCCGUAAGGGUAGGUUUUGCCACCAAGGUGGAAAUAAAACCUUGAGGAACAAUGUGAAAGUUAAGCUUCCGAAAUUCCUCAUGGAGAAGCGGUUGACUUUGUUGUAACAUCAGGUUGUUACAAUAAGAUUUACGACUUAGCGCAUCAGCCAUGACGUUAGCUUUCCCUGUGGUGUAGGUUAUUCCUAAAUCGAAGUCUGUGAUCAACUCAACCCAACGUCUUUGCCUGAGAUUCAAAUCCGGUUGGGUGAAAAUGUACUUCAGACUUUGAUGAUCAGUGAAUAUCUCGCAACGGUUACCGAGGAGGUAAUGUCGCCAGGUCUUGAGUGCAUAGACUACGGCUGCAAGCUCUAGAUCAUGAGUAGGAUAAUUCUCCUCAUGUGGGUGCAAUUGCCGUGAAGCGUAGGCAAUUACGUGUCGAUCUUGCAUGAGAAUGCAACCUAGUCCUUGUCGCGAGGCGUCGCAGUAGAUAACAAAGUCCUUGGAGAAGUCUGGCGGUACCAGUACAGGAGCAGAAGUCAGGCGUCUUUUCAGUUCCUGAAAGCUGUGCUCACAUUGUGGAGUCCAUUCGAACUUCUUAUCUUUCUUGAGGAGUUCGGUUAGAGGUUUAGCAACUUUGGAGAAGUUCUCGACAAAGCGACGACAAUAGCUCGCUAAGCCCAGAAAACUCCGAACUUGCUUGACCGAUUCAGGUGGAGUCCAAUUAAGGACGGCUUGAACUCGCUCAGGGUUAACAGCAAUACCUUUACCAGAUAUUACAUGACCUAGAUAGGUCACUUCUGACAACCAGAAUUCACAUUUAGAAAAUUUGGCAUAAAGGCGAUGCUCUCGAAGUUUCUUCAACACUAGCCUUAGAUGUUCGGCAUGUUCCUCCUCGUUCUUGGAGUAGAUGAGUAUAUCAUCGAGAUAAACUACGACGAAUUUAUCCAAAUACUCCAUGAAGAUUGAGUUCAUUAACCGAGAAAAGGUGGCUGGAGCGUAGGUUAAACCGAAGGACAUGACGGUGUACUCGUAUUGGCCAUAACGUGUGACAAAGGCCGUUUUAGGAAUGUCCCCGUUUCUGAUUUUGAUUUGAUGGUAACCCAACCUCAAAUCCAUCUUGGAGAAGACUGAGGAUCCAGCGAGCUGAUCAUACAGGUCGUUGAUCCUGGGGAGCGGAUAUUUGUUCUUGAUUGUGACCAAAUUGACAGGUCGGUAAUCUACAACCAUCCGGUCCGUACCAUCCUUCUUCUUGACGAAUAGGACGGGGCAAGCCCACGGAGAUGAGCUAGGUCGGAUGAAACCCUUUUUCAAGGACUCAUCGAGUUGUUUCUUAAGCUCGGCUAGUUCUAGUGGUGCCAUCUUAUAAGGUCUUCUAGCAAUCAGAACGGUUCCUGGGAUGAGGUCUAUUACGAACUCAACAUCCCUGUCAGGUGGAACACCUGGCAAUUCCUCUGGGAAGACAUCCGGGAAGUCACGGACUACCGGAACGUCCGCAAGGUCUGGCAAAGGGCUGGCGUUAAGAGAAUAUAACUGUCGCUUGGCUAUUCGGGUCAAGACAUUGACUAUCUUCCCCGAAGGAUGGGUGAGUUGAACAGUCCUAGAGAAGCAAUCAAUUUUGGCAUGAUGAGCUGACAUCCAGUCCAUACCCAGAAUGAUAUUAAUAUCUGAAGAUUUAAGGGCUAUCAAAGACGCGAGGAAAACAAGUCUGUCGACUUGGAUUUCAUUUCCAUGGCUUACUCUAGAAGUUUGCCAUUUGGAUCCCGGAGUUUGAAUUACCAUAGAGGUUGGCAUAUCACCGAAUGCGACGUUAUGCAAACGAGCAUAAUUUUCGGAUAUAAAAGAAUGAGAGGCUCCGGUAUCGAAAAGAACAGAUGCCGGGUGGCAAUUAACAAGAAGCGUACCGAGAACGACGUUGGGAUCCUCUUGAGCUUCUUCGGCAGAGAUACAGUUGACAUGGCCACGUGAGGCGGUGACCGGCUUGGCGUGGAAUACUUUUCCUGUCGGCUUGCCACGGCCAACAGCUUUAGCAGACUGGUUGGGGUUGGCCUGGGGACACUCACGCAUAUAGUGGCCAGAUUCCCCACACUUGAAACAAGUCACGGAACUGGUACGUGGAGGAGCAUUGUUGGUUGGACCCCCAUAGGGCUUGGCCGGUGCAGACUGCUGAACAGGGCGAGGCGCCUGGAAAGAUGGCCUCGGUGUGAACCUGGGUGGCAGGGCGGUGUUGGGCACCCACACGCGGCGCUUCUGAGGACCAGCACCGGAUGAGGAACCCAUGUCACGGCCAUGCUUGCGUGUUGCGUCAUAAUCAGUCUGACCAGUUUCAGCACUGAUGGCCUUGUUGACAAGUUUCUGAAAAGAUGUGCACUCAUGCAGACGGAGGUCAUGACGAAGCUCAGGACUAAGUCCCUUACGGAACCUUGCUUGCUUCUUGGCAUCAGUAGACACUUCCUCAGUUGCAUAUCGUGCGAGAUUACCAAACUCCCUGCUGUAAGCAUCCACAGAAAGUCGGCCUUGGGUGAAAUUGCAAAAUUCCUCGCGUUUACGGUCCAUGAGACCCUCCGGAAUGUGAUGUUCACGGAAAGCCUCGCUGAAUUCAGCCCAAGUAGUGACAUGGCCCGCUGGGCGCAUAGCUCCAUAAUUCUCCCACCACAGACUGGCGGGGCCUUCAAGAUGAUAAGCAGCAAAGGUGACCUUGUCAGCCUCCGCUACCAGCGCGGAACGUAGUUUGUGAGAGAUACUGCGAAGCCAGUCAUCAGCGUCGAGAGGCUCGACGGAGUGGUGGAACGUGGGUGGAUGUAAUUUGAUAAAAUCACUGAGUGACACCACGUUAGUCCUCUGAUGGUGUGCCGUGUUCUGUUCAAUACGCUCCAACAAACGGUUGGUCUCCCGCUUGUUUCUCUCGGCUUCCAUCAUAACCUCGGCUAGGGAAGGGGGAUGAGGCAGAUUUGCAUCCCUGACUUCACUGCCUUCGGCCUGCUCUUGAGGAGCAAGGUUAGUGCGUGUGUUGACCAUCCUAGGUAAACAAGACAAUGAUUUAGUCAGGAUGAUAAAUUCCGACAUAGGAUAUAAAAUGUAAGGAAUAACUCGAAAUGCAAGAUGACCAUCCGUAUGACAUGGUAAAUACAGAAACUGCUUCUUUAUUCCAUCGUCAUACACACCAUACAGGGUUUAGUACAAGACCAAACAAAAUACUAUUACGGUGAAAAGAGGAUUACAUCUCAUCGGAGGCAUCCCAAGCUCCUAUACAUUAUUUUUCUACACCUCCGGAAAGAGUACAAACUAGGUCAUAUCCCACGAGUCACGCGGGACGAUAGACGACACAGCUAGUGCGAACUAGUGAUACUACCACCAACUCAGACCGAUCCGUAGUAGUCCUCAUAGAAGUCACCUCCAUAGCCUGGAAGCUCAACAUGAUCAUCCGGAAACAGACGAUCUCGUGGAGCUUGUGGACCAUAGGGGCUAGGAUGAGGUCAUGGACCAACAGAAGGUGGCCUGCGGGGACUGCGAGGUGGGGUGAUGCCUCCUACAUCACACCAACCCAUCACGUCUGGCAGAGCAGAUCUCACAGGAUAGAGAUCGCGCAUAUCUGAGUAUCCAGCUUGCACCGCCGGUGCGAACCGAGUCAAAGUGGCCCAGUGGUCAGCACGGGUAUUGAAGAGCUCUAACCUCAAGGCCCGAUUUUCACGGUCCUUAUCCUCGAGCAUCUCAGCAGUGGUGCGAGUCCGUGAAUCCUCCUGAGUGGGGUCAGCAUAGAUAGCCUGGAGAUACCCUUGUGCUCCCGGAAGUGAUCCUGGCAUAUACCGGAAAUCAGAGUCCCGAAAUAGACCAGAUCUGACUCGCAUGAUGGUCAUCAUAGAGUAGGCGGCGUCCUGCACAGCCAUCUCAAUAGUAACCCCGAGUCCAUAGGAGCAGUGAAGGGGCUCGGUGGAUCCAGGAUAAGAUGGAAAUAUCCUGACAGUGCAGAGAUACUGGCUUUGAUUAAAGUCCCGAAAUUGCUCUUCGACCGUGUACUUAGGAUACCAGCGGUAUCCAGCCUCAGUCAUUACCCUGACCAACAUGGCAGUAUGGCCGGGUACAUCUAGGCAUCGAGUCAGGCGAACCACUUGAUUGAGGUCGCGAGUGGCCAUCUGAAAGCACAAUCAUAAUGCAAAGGCAUUAGAAUUGCUAGCAAAAUUUCGGCAGCAUAACAGCUGUAAAUGCUCAAGAAGGAUUUUGAGACAUUUGACAAAGGAUUUCAUACACACUCAACAUCAUCAUAUCAAAGUUCUGAGACCAUCCUAACAACAUAACGUGGUAGAAGAACUGAACUAGGCUUGUAUCCAUCAAACUUAUAAGGUACUACUGAUUAGUAACACGUGAUCCUGAUAGAGAGAAUAGAUCCUAAUUCCUUAACCCCCGGUGGAAGAAUAGACUGACUCAGAUCAGAACGUCAUUAGAUAAAGGAGUAAAAAGAGCCUUACGUUCCAACCCACAAACAAUUCCCCUACAUAUAACUAAAGAAUUUCUAGACUCAACAUCGACCAGUUUGGCUUGGAGAACCUACAGGCAGUCCGGCUCUGAUACCAACACUGUCAGGACCCCGACUCGAUGUCACAUCGAUCUAGCCGGUAACACCUCAUAUCACUUUGCGGCCUCACGCACGGUAUUCCCACGGGUGUCGCCUUACCUUUGCCCGGGACCGUCUGCGCCUUUUGGCUCACGUAUAUGAUAGUGUCGCUAGCAUCCAUAUGAUAAGGAGCCCGGGCUGACAUGACUAGUCGUAAAUCCAAAGUGGCACAGACUUACAGGGACAGGCAUCCAUGACCCAGCUUCGAACGUGUCGGUCAUCAGCAAGUGGGUCCGGGCUGUAGCACUGGGCUAGCAGGACUCCGGUAAACCGGGCUGUAGCGGCUAACAGGACUCCGGUACUCAAUGCGUGACAUUUCCCCGAAGGGACAGACACAGGAACGAAGAAGGACAUAUGCCGGCCAGCCUAAGUGUUCCAGAGCAGUAGCAAGCUACCAUGGCUCAGCGGUAACACUAGGAGACAUUUCCCGGUAAGAGAGGCUACUAAAGAUAAACAACUAGAUAGUCAGAUCCCACACAUACCAAGCAUUUCAAUCAUACACACAAUAUGCUUGAUAUGUGCAAAUACAACGAAGCAUCACAACAUGACUCUACGACACAAGUACUUUAUUUAAGGCUCAGGGAGCCAUACAUAACAUACACAAAGGAACGGGUCUCACGACCCAGCAUUCAAGUCAUAUAGUCAUACAAACCAGCAGCGGAAGUAACUUGUCUGAGUACAGACAACUAGUAAAAUAAAAGAGGCUUGGAAAGCCUAGCUAUACUACAUGGUCCUUCACAAGCUCAGGGUCACCACCUGGGCCUUUAGCCUACUCGUUGAUGUCAACGUCUACAUAGAACCCAUCAGAAGGGGUUGCAGCGUCUUUUGUAAAAAUGUAAAUUACAUCAACUUGAGUACAAAGGUACUCAGCAAGACUUACAUCAGAUCCUACAUACAUGCAUAUUAUCAAGAAGGGUUGGUGGAGUUAUUGCAGCAAGCCAGCUUUGACUCUUGGCUAGACUAUCCUACGAUACUUCAACUUGAAAUGGUUUUGCGCACACGAGUCCACUACUCACCACUUCAAUACACUACCGAGGAUCCGCCUCCGUCUUCCUACGGAAGAGCCAUCCUCGGCACUCACACUUAUCUUGAGGCUUUUAGUAGUUUCCAUUUUCUUGUCUAUGAACUGUAUAGGCAACCAAGUAGUCCUUUACCGCGGACGCGGCUAUUCGAAUAGAUCAUGAUAACCCUGCAGGGGUGUACUUCUUCAUACAUGCUCUCACCACUUACCGUCGUUUACACGACAUGUACUCGGCAACCUUCAAGCGGAAGCCCAACGUGGGUGUCGGCCACGACCUACCUAAUCACCUAAGUCUCCAGUCCAGGUUUAUCGCCUAUCCAGGUUCCAUCCGUAGGGAGUUCGGCCGAGGUUUCCCAUACGGCCCCGAACGAUGUGAACAGGGUUCCCGAGAUACCUAACGUGUAUUCGGUACACCGUGCCACGUACCUACCGCAUCACAGCCCACCCCUACGGUCAGCGCUGUCCACGGCCUCCAGUAGGCUACAAACACCAGAAACUACUUGCAACUCCUGGACGGAGAACUAGGGUGAAUAAGAAGCCGAGAGGGUCCAUUGGUUUCGGGCCCAAUGCAUGGUAGUAGCUGAUUCUUAAAUCACACAUACAGAUCUCAAUGCUUAAGGUCGGCUUCAAUGAAACAACCCACCAUGUACUCCUACAUGGCCUCUCAUCGAUACCUUUACCAAAUCGUGUUCACCACACCACUCUCAUUACCGACAUAAUCAUUUCACUCUAGCCCAUCACCCAGAUGAACCAGACCUGAGACGACUCUAAGCAUAGCAGGCAUAGCAAGGUAGGAACAACACAUACAUAUGGCUCAAUCAACUCCUACACAUGCUAGUGGGUUUCAUCUAGUUACUGUGGCAAUGACAGGUUAUGCAGAGGAAAUGGGUUCAACUACCGUAGCACACAGCAGUUUGAAUCGCGUUGUCUUAAUGCAGUAAAAGAGAGCAGGAGCGAGAACAUGGGAUUGUAUCGAUAUGAUCAAAUGGUUGGUUGCUUGCCUGAUGGUUUGAUGCACUGAUACGGUUCCUCGUUAGGGUAAUCACGGUACUCCUCGGAGGCAGAACCUGUCGCAAAGGACACCGAUACACAACGAUCACCAAACAAUGUGCAACAAUAUGAUGCAUGCAUGAAACAUGGCAAUAUGAGUGUGUUGGGCUAAUGCAACUAAAACCAGAAGGGUUUGAACCAAUUUGAAUCAAAGAUUCAAAUUUCAAACUCAAACAUGGCCUUUUAAAGUGCUUCUGCUUGUUCUGCAUUAAACAUCAAGUUAACUUGUUUAGUCAUGCAUGAAAAUAGUACAGAUGGAUAGAUUGGAUUUUUCUGAUCAUUUUUCAUAUAUAAUUUGUCUGAUUUGGAGUUACAGAAUAAAAGUUAUGAAUUUUUGAAGUUUAAAUUAUAUUCUGGAAUUUCCUGAUUUAAUUUAAAUCCAGAAAUAUAUAUAUUGCGCCAGCAUGACGUCAGCACGACGUCAGCGGUCAACUGCGGCUGGCUGGGGUCAAACCUGACGUGUGGGGUCCACACGUCAGUGACAGGGGGGUUAACAGAGGUUAGAUUAAUCCUAAUUAAGAAUUAGUGGCGCUGGGGCCCACUGGUCAGUGUCAGGGGGGUUAAUUAACAGUGAUUAGCACUAAGCUAACCACCUGGCCGACGGGGCCCACGCGUCAGUGACUCUGGGGGGGUCAAACCCCAGGUCGAACAGGUCAAACCCGCCGGCGGUUAGUCGCCGGCGAGGUCCGCGGCGUACAAGUGCCUCGGGUUUCCUCUGUGGUGCUCCAAACGGCGUGCGGCUAGGUGCGUUGGAAAGCCAGCUCGAUGGCGCGUCGGGCGGUGGCCGUGGUUGGGCCUGGGGUGGCCGGAGUCGACGGUGGCGAGCUCGGCUGCGGCCGCCGAGGUUCGGUCGUGCACGGAAACGGGGUUGGAGCUCGAAGGCGAGCGAGGCAAGGCGCUAGGGAUGCUCUACGGGGCCUUACGAACUUGUUGGACUCGCCGGGGUGACCAAAUGGUCAUCGGAGCUGCGUCGACGGCGAGCUCGGCGACGGCGGAGGUUCGGCCGUGGUGGGAACCGAGUUACGGCGCGGGAACGAGGGGGAGAAGAGAGGGAAACGGUGGCGGAGCUCACCGCGGUUGCAGCGGGCGUCGAAGCGGGCUCGGGGAUGCACUGGAGACGGCGAUGGUGGUCGGAGCCCGAGGAGGAAGACGAUGGCGACGGCGGCUCCACGGGGCGUCCGGCGUCUUGUGGCUUGACGGAGAGCUUCAGGGCGAGGGGGCGGAGCUCCUGCGCGAGUCGGGAAGGCGAGGGGAGGCCGGUGGCGGUGGCUAUGGCGAACGGCGGCGAUGGUUGAGUUCGGACACGGGAGAGAGAGAGCGAGGGAGAGGAGAGGAAGAACUGGGGGAGAGUGAGAGAGUACGGGGGGGGGGCGUCGUUCCAUGCCAUCCAGACGGGGAGGGGAGAGGCAGGCAGGCAGGCGAGCUGGUGGCGUGGCGCGGUGGCGCGCGCGCGCGCCGGGCACACUCCCCUCCCUCUGUCGAGGACGAAGACGACAGAGGAGGAGGCGGGCUGGGCCGCCUGCUGGCUGGGCCGGCCAGCUACUGCUGGGCUGCACAGGGAGGAGCCCCAGGUAAGCUUCUCCUUCUUUUAUUUAUUUUUGUUUUCUAAUUUCUGACAUUUGUUUUGAUUUAAAUAAAAUAUUAAAUCAUUUAUUUACCUUAUGCCAAUUUUUGCAGGAGCUAGAUAUAUUAUUCCAGAGCUCCCCAACAGGUGGCAUAAUUUUUGGACAUAUAUUAAUAUAUAUAACUAAUAUAUCUCCAAUGCAAAUAUUUAUGCAUUAAAUCCAAAUGCCCAAAAUAAAUACCUAUAAGCUCUUAAAAAUAUUGGUUUGAUUUUUAUCUCUGUCCAAUAUUUUCAGAGAGCAACAUGAGCAUUUUCUUGGACCCUUUUGGAGAAAUUUUUAUUUGGGUCAUUUUCAAAAAUGAUUCUGAGGGUUCCACAAAUCCCCAUUUCAAGUUUCUGAUGAAAGAGUAAACAUGAUGCAACACUCUAAUGCAUGACUAGCUAGGGUGUGACAUCAGGUAAGAUCCUGGGAAAAGACCUGUGGGUUAGGGCCCACUCAAAAGAAAACACCGUUGGAAAUGAUUUUUAGGAGAGAUUGCACCGGUUGAAUUAAAUAGCUUGAAUGAGAUAACAAUCUCCAAAUAGCUUGAACGGAUCUUGAAUGAAAAGACGAGCCUUCUGAGAUAUGUUCAAACACUCCGGAUCAAAUGAAUAGCAAGAGGUGAGCAAUUAAGAGGUGCAUCGACAUGAGAGAGCAUUAGGAAUGAGGAAAGGAAUAUGAUCAACACUGAAAGCUUGGAUUGGAUUCACCGGAGAGGAAAAAAGAACGAAGGAUGAUGAACUUGAAGCUCGUGAGCAUCUUCACAAGGGAUCACCGGAUCAAAACAAUGAUUGAAAAGAGUGAAGAGACUUCACAUGAAUAAAUGGAUACUUGAUUAUAAUAUAUGAGUCCUUGAAGAAAAGGGGUGGGAGGAUGGGGAAAAACAAAGACAACUUGGGAUGAACGAAACAAACACCGUUGAGAAAACUUAGAAUUGAUCUUGCGGAUGGGGAGAAUGAUGGGAUCAUCUCGAAGAGAAGCGCACCGGUUGGAAAAGAAUUAACAUGACGACCUCGAUGAUCAAGAAGGAUUAGAAAUCACAUAGAAAUAUGAGAACACCGUUUAGGAAAGGUAUGGAUCAACACUUGACAUAAGCAACUCGAAUACCACAACUCAAAACAAAACAAAGGAUUGGCUUUCAGAAUAAGCCUUAACAAACAUAUGAUAGAGAUUCUGUCCGAAGUUUUCGUGGUGGGGCCCACACGGGCUUGAGUGUACAACACCAUCAUGUACAAGGCAGUGCACAUGACAUACGAAGUGUCCCCGAACCAGCAUAGCCAAGGGUUCUUUAAGACACAAUGAGACCGUGGAAAGGUGGACCACUAGACGUCGAACCCCAAUCUCAUAUCAUGCAUCUGUCGAAAAGAUAUUCUAGGAGCUACUUGAAUUCCCACCUAUAAAACUCCCGAAACUUUCUGGUUAUGCAAUCUGGUGUUGGGGAUACAGGGGAAGCAAUAUAUAUCUCACCCAAAACUAACAAUCCCUACAUCCAGCUGUAUCCAUCCGUCAACACAUAACCAAGAAACCUUCGGAAAUCGUGUACCUCAACCUUCGAAAAGCAUCCGUUAUAGGAGUUAUGGAAAUACUCCCGAGCUCGCCCCAGUACUGGGUUAUCGGGGUUAUCUCACCAACAACUGUACAAAAGAGAUUUUCGAUGUCGGCAAUGCUCAGGUAUUCCAUAACUGCAACGAUAAAAUUGUGACGACAACACCUCAGAGCUCGACUCCCCGGGUGAAAGCCACAAUAAUAGACAGGAGGCACCAAGAACAAUGUUCUCGUCACAAAACCAUCGGAACGAUUCCAAGAUACCCGCGUGAUCCUAAAUUUUUUUUAGUGAAAUUUGAGGAGAGGAAAGACAAAACAUCUACGUCAAGAGUCCUCACCAGAGUGACGAAGGGAGCUGAGGAGUAAAAAGAAUCCUACUCUCCGAUAUAUAUAAUCCUAAGACUCAAAAUAGUUUUCUUCUAGACUCAACAAAGGCCAACAAUCAAGGGGGCUCCUAUGGUCGGUCGAGGCUCUGAUUACCAACUUGUCACGCCUAAUAUGCGACCCUAUCCAAAAGGAACUCGAAGGUCCCACCAAGGAUAGACCCGCAUAUGAAACGCUUUUGCAAGGUGGAUAUCAUUACAUCAACAUUACAUAAAUAGAUGGGGAUACAUACAUAAGGCAUACAGUGCCACAUGAAUACAAUAUCACAAUACAUCAGAGCAUCAUCCGACUACGGAUGAAACACAAACAGAAACUCAAACGACAUCCACCCUGCUAGCCCAGGCUGCCGACCUGGAACCUAUCCCCUGAUCAAAGAAGAAGCAGAAGAAGAACUCAACGCAAGCAAGCAUCGCUCUCGCGUCAUGAUCAUCGCAUAACCUGUACCUGCAACUGUUGUUGUAGUAAUCUGUGAGCCACGAGGACUCAGCAAUCCCAUUACCAUGGGUAUCAAGACUAGCAAAGCUUAAAGGGAAAGGAAGGGGUAAAGUGGUGAGGCUGCAGCAGCGACUAAGCAUAUAUGGUGGCUAACAUACGCAAAUAAGAGUGAGAAGAGAGCAAGCGGAAUGGUCGUCAACUAGUAAUGAUCAAGAAGUGAUCCUGAACUCCUACUUACGUCAAACAUAACCCAAAGAACGUGUUCACUUCCCGGACUCCGCCGAGAAGAGACCAUCACGGCUACACACACGGUAGAAGCGUUUUAAUUCGGAUCUAAUGUCAAGUUAUCUACAACCGGACAUUAAAAAAUUCCCAUCUGCCUAUAACCGCAGGCACGACUUUCGAAAGAGUAUACCCUGCAGGGGUGUCCCAACUUAGCCCAUGACAAGCUCUCGCGAUCAACGAAGGAAUAGACCUUCUCCCAGGAAGACCCGAUCAGACUCGGAAUCCUGGUUUACAAGACAUUUCGACAAUGGUAAAACAAGACCAGCAAAGCCGCCCGAUGCGCCGACAAUCCCGAUAGGAGCUGCACAUAUCUCGUUCUCAGGGCAACACCAGAUGAGCAAUCCGUACAACUAAAACCAGACCUCAAGUUUCCCUGAGGGGGCGCUGCAAAGGGCUCUAGUUCGGACCAACACUUAGACAAGCACUGGCCCGGGGGGGGGGGGCUAUAAUAAAGAUGACCCUCGAGAGAGCGACUCCCAAGGGAAAAGGUAGGUGGUGAUGAGGCAAAUGGUAAAACCAAGGUUGGGCCUUGCUGGAGGAGUUUUAUUCAAAGCGAACUGUCAAGGGGGUCCCAUAAAUCACCUGACCGCGUAAGGGACGCAAAAUCCGGGAACAUAACACCGGUAUGACGGAAACUAGGGCGGCGAGAGUGGAACAAAACACCAGGCAUAAGGCCUAACCUUCCACCCUUUACCAAGUAUAUAGAUGCAUUAAUAAUAUAAGAGAUAUUGUGACAUCCCAACCAAAAUCCUGUCCACCAUGGAGCAAUCUUCAACUUCACCUGCAACUAACAACGCUAUAAGAGGGGCUGAGCAAAGCGGUAACAUAUCCAAGCAACGGUUUGCUAGGAAUGGUGUCAAAGGUUAGAGGUUCAUGGCAAUUUGGGAUGGCUUGAUAAACAGGUAAUAGGUAGCGCAACAUAGCGAUAGAAUGAAGCAACUAGCAUAGCAAUGAUAGUAGUGAGAUCCAGGGUAGCGGUCAUCUUGCCUGAGAUCCCGCACGGAAGAAGAACGAGUCCAUGAAGAAGACAAGCGGACGUAGUCGAACGAAUCCUCACGAACGCAACAUUACCGGAACUAAGAAGCAACACCGGAAAGAAACAAACAACAUAUUAAACAACCAUCACAUAGACAUGGCAUGAUGCACAACCAAGUAUGAUGCAUGUCCGGUUUAAAGAGGCAUGGCAUGGCAAACUGCAACACACAGUACAACAAAUUAAGUGGAGCUCAAUAUGCAACGAGUUGCAUAUUGACAAAACACCACAUGCAAGUAUUUAGUUUGAUCUCGGUUAUGUACCCAACAAUAUUAAAUGUUAUUAGCAUGGCAAGGGGGUGAAACAUAAGAAAACUACCUAUCUAAGCAAGUUUAAAUGAGGCCAGAAUAAUAAACAACAAGUCCGGAAAAUCCUCAUGUCCAUAUUUUAGAUUCGGUACUGUUCUGACCAAAACACAAUUUUAUUGUUGUUAAUCAGGAAAAUAAAAUGCACCAUGUUAAUCUAGGCAUUUUUCCACCCCAUUUAAAUAUAACGUUAUUUAAAAUAGAGUUACGUUAUUUAGUUAUGAAUUAAAGGAUUUUAACAUGGCAAUUUAGCAAAUUUAAACAAACAGCAAUUUAAACAUUUUAACAUUGGAUGAAAAUGACAUAUUAUUAAUCUACACAAUUUUCUGAGCAUUUAACAUAUAUAAAACAUUUUAAUAUGAUGCACGGUUCAUGAGUUAUUAUAUGCAUGAAGUUUAGGGUCCAAUCUGUAAAAAUGCAGUUUUCUGGAAAAUAGGCAAAAAUCGCAGAACGGAAAAAAACGCAUGCGGGCCGAAUCUGGUGGGCGCAAGCUAGCAUGUGGUGCGCUGGGGCGAGGGAUAGGCUGGAGGCUCACCAUGGGCUCGGCCCAGUCGGUGGAGGAGGAAGCAGUGGGCAGAGCCAGCUGGACCGAAGUCGAGGCCGGCCCAGGCGCGGGGCAGCUCACAUCGGGCCUUGGCCCAGGUCGGUGGAGAUGGCCGGCGGGGUUCUGGGCCGGGGCCCACGAGACGCCGCGGUGGAGGAGGCCCACGCGGGCGGGUCAACGCUCGCAGUCAGGAUCGGGGCUCCUCCCGAUCCAUCCCAGACGGCGAGGUCGUGCGGCAGCGGAGGGGCUGCGGCGAGGGGCGGCCGGUGUCUGGCGGCGACGGGGCGAGGGGAGCCCGUCCCCGGCUGGAUCCGGCGACAACGGGGCCCGGGUGGCGAAGGGGAGGCGCGGCGGAGCUCGGCUCCCAUGGCGGCAGGGAGGAGCACGGCCUGGUGGUUUGGGGCGAGGAGACGCGGUGCAGCGCGGGGUCGGCGGCGAAGGGGACUGGCGACGGCGGGGGAACGCAGUCCGGCGACCUGACGGAGGCGCGGCGGAGCGGGGUCCGGUGACCCGGCGGCGACACGCCGACGACGGGGUCGGGCAGAGGCAACGGGAGGAGCGAGCGGGGCGCUCGGGCUGGCUACGGCCCUCGGGCCCAAAUCGGGGCCCGGGCGGGCCUGGGACGGGCCUGCGGCGGCGGGAGGCUGCUGGGGACGUGGGGANNNNNNNNNNNNNNNNNNNNNNNNNNNNNNNNNNNNNNNNNNNNNNNNNNNNNNNNNNNNNNNNNNNNNNNNNNNNNNNNNNNNNNNNNNNNNNNNNNNNNNNNNNNNNNNNNNNNNNNNNNNNNNNNNNNNNNNNNNNNNNNNNNNNNNNNNNNNNNNNNNNNNNNNNNNNNNNNNNNNNNNNNNNNNNNNNNNNNNNNNNNNNNNNNNNNNNNNNNNNNNNNNNNNNNNNNNNNNNNNNNNNNNNNNNNNNNNNNNNNNNNNNNNNNNNNNNNNNNNNNNNNNNNNNNNNNNNNNNNNNNNNNNNNNNNNNNNNNNNNNNNNNNNNNNNNNNNNNNNNNNNNNNNNCUGAAAACGAGGAGGAGAGGGAUGGCUGCGGCUGGGUUAGGGAAGGGGGGUAGGCUACCAAAUUUGGAGGGGGGGUGUCCAUAUAUAGCAAAAAGCUAGGGUUUGGGGGUUAGGAGGGGUUUCGGGACCCUCGAUCGCGAUUAGACGAUCAGGAACGGAGGGGGGUUUAGGUGGGCUGCAGGUGGGCUGAGAAGAGGGGUUGGGCUGAGAGAAGAGGAGAGAAAGAGAGGCCCGGCGGUAGUUUCGGAGACCGAAACGUUCGACGAAGGUACCGGCAAUGGUACCGCUAUGUUUAAGGGUUGGGCAGUCAAAUGGACUCCGAAUGCGACGAAACUUGGCAGGCGGCCUGUCUACACUAUAAUAAGACCGCAUGACAAGUUGCAACCCAUUCCUAGAACAUUUUUAUGCCACUUAUAAAAUAAUAUUUCGGAGGUGCCGCGGGCGCGUGCGAGAGUGUCGGGGCUCGGAAUGGACAACGGAGAGAACCGGCGGAACCCGAACGGAUGCAAGUUUUAUAAAAACGAUGCCGAUGCAAUGCGCAUGAUGCUAUGAGAUGAGAUGCAUAACAAGAACAAAAGCAGAACAACAGACAAAACCGAACCACGGAGGAAAAUAAAUCACAUAGCCGGAAAUGGCAAGAGUCGGAGUUACGAAUAUGGAAAGUUGUAUCCGGGGCGUUACAAGGACUCCCUCACACGCUGACUGCUGACUCGCCUGCUGAGCAAGCCGCCGAUGGUUCUGAAUACCCUAAAGUCUCUAGCCCGGCCAAGACAGACGACCCCGAAUACGCUGAUGUUGAGAUUACCAAGACUGGCUACACUGAGCCGGGGAGACCCAUAGUGCUGGCCAAGUGUUCUGCCAAGGAGGAGCACCUAGAACAUCACAAGGUCAGGUUUGAUGUUGCUGAUUAUACUCACAUGAUAUUGGGGAAGUUUUUUCUGGCUAUCUUAGCCAAGUACACAACAGCCGUGAUGUCGAAAUUGAUAUGGUGAAGCAAAUGCACCAGAAGUUUGAGGUAUAAUCUCUUCCUUUCCUUGAAUUAUCCUUACUACGCUAGCCCCCAAGUCUAUUGCUUAUGAUGAAUAUGCUGUAGACUUAGAACGUACAUGUAAACAUUAGUAAUAUCCUUUGGUCAAACUUGUAAAAAUUUUGGCUUAAUCCGUAGUCCCCAAGGGCCGGGUUAAUCAACAUGAAUAAGACAGCCCUUCACCUGCUAGUAUAGAAUAUAGUACUUGUGUAGAUUGAACAACAAUAUGCAUUAGCCCCCAAGUGCCAAGUAUUGUUGCUUGCAAAGUGCUUGGGACUUACUCUCAUGAACCGCCAUGAAGAUAGAAUCUUUCGGUAGACGUUAGCCCCCAAGUGCCAAGUGUUGUUGCUUGCAAAAGGCUUGGGACUUAACAUUGUAUGCUAACAGUCAUGAUUUUGACCCGGUAUUUGUACAUGCCACCACCACUCAAGUUCAAUCAGAAGUUUUUGACUUGAAGAACCGCCUGGAAUCACAGGAGACUGAAACCCAAAGAGCCAACUCCAAAUUUGAAUUCAGUGUAUCUGAACAAGAGAAACUAAAAAAAAUACUUUGAAGUGGAGAAAAAGGCCUGGGCUGAAGAAAAGAUUGCUUUGACCAAUCGAGCUGAGAAAACAGAGGCGACUCUUGAAGAAGGGACUGCCGAAUUAUCCGGCUUAAAAUGCCAUGUAUCUCAGAUGGUCUCAGCAAUCUUUGGUAAGUCGCCCUGCAAGUGUCAAAUAUUUGAAUCUUUCUAGUGAUCAUAUAAAUUGUUAUUAACUCACUUGACAUUGCUAUGCAGGCCCAAGAAGCUCAAAUCUCAACCAAGACAUGCUGGUGAAGCUAAAGGCAGUUUAUACGCUUGUGGAACAACUUUACACUAGAUCUCAGCGCGCCUUAGCCACAAUGGUCCUGUCAAACGAAUUCCCCACACUCCUGGUGGAUGUGCUAAGGAAGCUUUUUGUGCUGCCCCAGCGAUUCAAUGAACUAAGGGGAUCAUCUGCGAGAGCCGGAGCCGUGGCUGCCUUAAGCCGGGCCAAAGAUUGGCUACUGGAAUUAGACCCGAUGGACAUUGCCAUUGGGUAUCCAAGCUUGAAGGAGGACAUCACUUCUUUUGAACAGGAGGACUUCGCCACUUGUGUGAAAGAAAUACGCCCUGUGGCCACCCUCAUUGCUGAUGAGGUGGAUCUCACCAGGUACCAACCUGGUUAUGAUGUGGAGAAUUGGCGGAUACCAACGCCUCAUUAUAAAGUGAUCAGCCUGAUCCCACCAAUCCGUAAGCAUACCUUCGCCCCUGAAGUUGACCCGGCCGGAUUAAUUGAUGAAGCUGAAUUUGAAGCUUUGAAUGGCAUUGACUAGUCAUCAUCAACCUUCCAGGACAGGGAACAAGACGAAAGAGCGGAGAGGGUUGAUCCGGAAGCUUUAGGUUAACAAGAGAAUUGACCCACCAGGCGGCUCAUAUUUGUAACCUGCUGAAAA